UCAGUUUUAUUAAAUGUAGGGGCUGCGUCAUGUUGGGAACGAUGCCCAUUAUCGCCUCUAUGCCCAUGCAGUCUUUGACCAUUACAUGUUGAAGGAAAGGAAGGUUGAGCGACGCGUCAUGCGUCAUCAGCACCCUCUUCAGGUUUCUGCAUCCUAUUAUAUCAAUCUUUGUAAGAUGACAAGUUGCACCGAUCGGCGGUAGCCCACUUACUACCUCCUCUAAUCGCUUGCAAUCUUUUAUUUUAAUGGACCUCAGAUUUGGAAAGCGAGUGGCCAGCCACUGCCAUUUCACCACCCACUUCAUUUUAGGACACCUGUACACUUCUAUAUUAUAAAGAAAAGGUGCCGCUAUAUUAAUCCCCUCUAGUUCCUCUGAGCCCUUGAUUUUAAUCCAUUGUAGACAUCGGAGCUCGUGCCCCUCCUUCAAGAAAUGCUUCAGCUUGGUACACCGAGUGAUAUUCAGUCUCCGUAGGCAAGGGAAGUGGACAGCACCCAGCUCCUCCAGCUUCUCCCAUUCCUCUAUCUCCAGCUCCUCUAGAUUAUUAAGUGGGCCUACCUCGCACAAACUUGUCACCCCACUGCACCGUCCCACUUCCAGUACUUGCACAUUUUUGGGAAGUAGAGCGCGGCCAUCCCCACCAAUUUCUCCAUCUAUCGUUGCUGCAAUACUAUGGCAACUUUCGAUGAUUAUACGCCUCUCGUGCUUAUCCCUAAAAAAGUAGUUUCUUGAUGCACUAAGUGCCAGGUCAUAUGGUUGUGAGCUGUUUUGCUCAUAUGGUUGGGAGCUGUUUUGCUCAACAAGCCUCACAUAUGCAUUGAAUGUUUCAACAUCCGGAACAGAGCAAUAGAAUCCUUCCACCGUUGUUAAUUCUAUCUCUUCCUCGCAUUCCAUGAUGUAAUUAAUCAUCAGAUAUUGCAAGUUCACCAGCUUCCCCAACAAUCCUUCCGGUAACGUCUUGAUCUCUGUGUCAAGUAGAUCAAGGUACGUCAGCUCUACCAACAUCUCCAUCCCCUCCGGCACUUCUCCAAGCAUUACACACCCACUAAGGUCCAACUUUUUUAGGAAUCCUAACUUUUGUACACAAGGUAUACAAUGUAAUUCCUUACACUCUCGGAGUAACAGUGUUUCUAAGCUCUCCAAGUGAGAGAUAGUGUCCGGUAAUUCCGUGAUUUUUGUUUUGCUGAGAUCUAGAACCUUCAACCCCUUCAUAUGCUUGAAGAAAGAUUCGUGGAUGACUUCCAAAGAGACGUUGUUAUUCAACGACAGCCUCAUAAGUUUAGGACAAUUUGGCGAUAUGCCGUAUGGGAUUUCUCUUAUAUCGUUGCUUUGUAAAAAGACUUCCUCUAGGUGAUCGGUCCAGAACUUAUCCUUUGGAAUUUCUUUCAGUCCCAUGUUGGCCUUGACCAUGUGAGUUGUGCUCGUCACUAUCUGCAAUGCCAUGUCCCUUAUCAAGGGGUGUACAAACAGAAACCCUCUGUAUAUAUCAACCCCCAAGCAAGCCUUUUUAAUUUUGUCCAAUAUGGUGUUACCUAUAUUGUGCAAUUCUUGCCAAGUGGCUAUUCCACUUAACAAGCCCUCAUCUAUGAAAGAUUCUAUCAAAUCCUUUUCGAUGAUUUUAGCUUUAGAGUACUCUCCAAAACAGAGUAUUAAAUGCAAGAAACACUGCUGCACUUGAAGAUUACCCAAGUUCAUGUAACUGAGUUUCAGUUUCUUGAACACACCAAGUUCCAUCAUCGAAUUUUCUAAUUGCUGCAACAAGUCUUUCCAUUCAUGCACUCCCUUUAGUCCCCUCAUCUGAGUUGCAAUCUCAAUGAUCCCAAGUGGCAAACCUCCACACUUAUCCAAAAUGGAGCUUGCAAUUUUUUUAACUUCUGAAGGGAGGUCUCUCCCAAAGCAAAGCUUUUUUAAAAAUAAGACCCAACAAUCAUCUCGCAAAUCUAGAGGACCUAUUUUGACUUGUUUUUGGCAGACCAUCUUCUCACAUACAUCUAGCGAUUGAGUUGUCAUUACCAACUUAAUGCUUCCUUUCUCAACUGGAAUUCCCACAUCCUCAAUGUCAAAGUGCAUCCACAGACCAUCUAAACAUAAGACAGCCCUCUUUCUCUUCAAAUGCCUAUUCAAUAUGCAUGCCCUCCUCUUCACAUCCUUAUCCAUUGAGAGAUUGUCUAGUCCGACUACAUUGGCAAUCUCGUUUUGUAGUUUAUAGAUGCUAAACUUCUGAGGUACAGUGACCCAGAACACAUCACUAAAGGUAGGAUCCUCAAGUACUCCAUUAUGGACAUGCAUUAGAAUGGUUGUCUUGCCAACUCCCGCCAUUCCAUAAAUACCAAUGAUGACAAUCUCAUCCUCCAUUAGAUAGUUGCAAAUCUUAUUUAUUGUCUUCUUACUUUCCUUGUCUACUAGCUCUGUUGUUACCAAGGGUAAACUUUUCCUACGUCCAGCAGCAUAUGUUGUCCACCCUUUUCGGAAGCUACAGUGGCCUAGAAUANNNNNNNNNNNNNNNNNNNNNNNNNNNNNNNNNNNNNNNNNNNNNNNNNNNNNNNNNNNNNNNNNNNNNNNNNNNNNNNNNNNNNNNNNNNNNNNNNNNNUUGGACCAGCUCCCGGUAUUCCCUUCUACCCUUUGGGUUUUCAUACCCCAUGUCUCCAACCCCACCCAUGUCGGUUUUUGGAUGGCUAAGUUCUCCCAGUCUUCUUUUCAGAGUUGACAUAUUCUCGUCACCCACCCCCCAAGCCCCUGGUUGACUAUCCACGAGUGCAUCAUCUGUCCUCGCAUCUAACAUCAAGGAAACACUCAUAGUAUUUUCUAGAAACAUAAUGUUCACAAAACAAUACGAAAUGUAAGGUUGUGUAUAUAUAAGAAAAAAAAAAAAAGGGGGGGGGGGGGGGGGUGCCUUGGGGGUCCUUGGGAUCGGGCGAGAGAAAGAGAAAGAGAAAGAAAGGGGGCGAGAGCACUUGCCCUGUUGCUGGGUUUAGUUGCUAUCGGUUUGCUUUGAGCUGUUAAUGGGUUCAGGUAGUAUCUGGGCCUGUAUGGGAUGGGUUGAAUUGUUAUUUAGGCCUGUAUGGGAAGUGGUUCUCCCUGUAUUUUACAUUAAUAUAAAAAAAAUGAAAAUUGAAGUAUGUAUUUUAGCAUAAAUUACUCGUGAAAACGUAUCAUAUUUCAUAUGAAUCUUCAUGUUUUAAACAAAGUGAAAUUCCAAGUAAUAUAUAUUAGUGUAAAAUGUAUGAACUCGAUAACAGUUAGGGAAUUUUUAAUGGUAGUCAUUACAUGACAUAAAGAAAUAUGUAUGAAUUCAACUCAAUUACUGUCAUAUUAAGAGAAAAUAAUAAAAUCUUUCAAAUAAAUAUUUAAAAAGGAAAAAAAAAGAGUUACAAAGAAUGUUUGAGAUUUAAAUAAUUGCUAAUUUGCAACAUUAGAGAUUAUUAAAACUAAUCCUUUUUCCGGAUGAAACUCAUGGUAUUGAAUGGGGUAAGUAAUCCUAGUUAAAGGCAAAAUGAGUGGAGAGUGCAAGAAAAUACUACUUGCAAAGAGAAUAAGCAAUUUCUUUCAAUUUAGAAUCCUAAGUGUCACUCCUAAAGGCAACACUCAAGAAUGAGCUUGUUAUUAUAUAUUUUUAUAGAUGCUAACAUUUAUGUAUCUAUUCUUUCAAAAUGUUUGAGCGGUACAAUACUAGAAAAAUUUAGAUCAACCCCAUAAGUUAAAAGCAGAAGUUAAAAAUAAAAGUCCCCUUAACCAGACCCUAAGUUGAAUCUUGAAAUUAAAACCUUAAAACAAAAAAAAAGGAGAUAUACCUCAUGUCUACAUCUAAGGUAUGAAGACUAAUAUCCCAACUGUUCUAUAAAAAAAGAACUAUACUUGCUUUCAAUUAGAUCAUUGAUUGGUGGGUGACCCAUUUGANNNNNNNNNNNNNNNNNNNNNNNNNNNNNNNNNNNNNNNNNNNNNNNNNNNNNNNNNNNNNNNNNNNNNNNNNNNNNNNNNNNNNNNNNNNNNNNNNNNNNNNNNNNNNNNGUUAAUGUCCCAACAAUUCCAACCAUACUUUAUUCAAAAAUAUGAAAACAAGCAAUAUUCAUAUAAUUUAAAUUUAAGAUGAAUGAAGGUGUUGUUAGUUAAAGUCUCAUAUAGGCGGCAUUUGAAUGUGAAAACAAUCAAUUAAAGGAUGAUUUGGAGGUAAGUAUGAAUCAUUGAAAGAGCAAAUAAUUUAUUGUACGCUGUCAGAAAAUAAUCAUAUGUUUAUGAUGACUUCUUUUCUGUCAUUACAUAUUUUGUGAUCCGUCGAGAAGCAGUUAAUUUAAAUUUUAGGUUCAUCUAAUACUUUUUAGUUUGGAAUUAAAGUAUUUACUAUUUAGAUAUGAUCAAAUGCAUGAUCAAAGAUAAUUCCUAUCUCUGUGCGGUUGACAGACAUCAAAGGUUCCCAUGACAUAUCUUUUAUGCAGCACUUUAUUUUAAAUCACCAACAGUAAUUAGCAUAUAAACCCUCGUAAUUUUAUAAAUGCGUUGCUUGGCCAAGAAAUAUGAGAUCAGAACACAUUUGGACUCGUUGAAGGGGAAACAAGGAAAUCUUCAUGAAUUUUGUGAAGUCGUCAAGACAAUACCAGUCCCCUCGACACAUCGAAAAUAUUUUGAAAACUGGAAAGUGCCUACCAAAUGCAUGCUUACCCCUUCUAUGCAUCCUCUUUUUUUUAACUUGGAAGUGCUUUUGGUAAUUUGUUAGGGAAACAUGGAUGAAAUAUGAAAUGAUGUUCACAAUUUUGGCACAUGAGAUUGAAAUUGAACCGAUGCCUAUGCAGACUGAUAUAAUUAUCCAUCGCCAAAGUCAGCCCACUAGCAAGGAAAGUUCACUGAUCAAGCGAUCUCAUAUACACCUUCCUCUCUCUCUCUCUCUCUCGCGAAGCUCCCAUGGUUCAUACGACUCUGUUCAUUUGUUUAAAAGUAAAUGCUCUUCACGUAGGUGAUUUGAGGGGAUAGAGAGAGCCAUGGCUUUUCAAGAUUUGAAUGUCACACUUGAAAAGCAUUUGUCUGUUCAUUUUCAAAGAACUAUUGAUUAUUAUUGACCGACUCUUAAACUCCUCUGUUCAUUUUCUAUUACUAUUAGCAAUCUAAAUGUCCUGCUAUAUCCAAAAUCUUAGGUAAGGAUUAAAAGAAAAAAUUCGGUGUCCUGCAUGAGCUUUUAACAUAUGGUGAAUUUCGAAGUUGCACAUACCUUGUGGAACCUCUGCAUUGGGUUCUCCCCCUUCUACAUUUACUGGGGGUGGCACGUUAGUCAAAGCUUCAGGUGCAAGGUCUCCGCCGCCGCCGGGAUAACUCAAAUUCCAAGGCGGAAUGUUAGAAUCAACGGCAUGAGAUUGAGGAGGUUGUGUCCAGAAUGAAAAGUCCCCAUGUGUGGUCAUGUUUUGAGUAGGAAGAUACUGACUGGGCACAUUCAUCUCAUGAAAUGGACGAAAGUCUGAUGAACUUGCACCUACAGUGCUUACGGCAUUAGAGCUCAGGUACGGCAUGACAUUGCUUGCAAUCACGGGCUGAUGCAGACCCACUUCAACGUUAUCUGGUCUGCUGCUCAAUUCCACCGCUGUUUUACCCUUCAACGCCUUUAGGGCUUCCGAUCUCACUCCGCUAUCAACAUCCUUGCAGUCAUUGAUCCCAUAUCCUCCAACUCCCGCUAAGUGGGCCUUGAUCCUGGUCGCGCUUCCAGCAUACGGAUUCCCGCAGAAGUUGCAGUUCCAGUGUUUGUUAGGCAGCAACUUCACAUGCUUCCAAAAGGGGUCCGUCUCUCUCGGCAUAUUCUCUGUAUCCCACAAAAGAAUGAGCUGAUAUGUUUCAAGAGAGACCUUGAAUAUUUUGGGUGAAGAAUGGCACCGGGGCCUGUAAGAUAUUUAAUUAAUUUUGGACUUGGGAAUUGGGUGAAAGGUCUUCGUCAAUUCCCAAUUCUUUUGGAAAAAGGCUCUGCUUCGGUGACCCUCACCCUCAUUUCUAGCCAAAUUCUCUUUUCAUCCUCGGAUAUUAAGAAAACAUGUUUGAUUGGGUUCUGGAAAUUUUGCUCUUCAGAUUUGUAACUACUGCCGUUUUUUCAAUGUUAUUUUCUCUUUGGGAACGCGGUUUUCUUUAUUGUUCAAUGAUCAUGGGCGUGCGCACUCUUUCUUGGGUUAUCUCUCUACCAUGCAUUCUCCCUUCAACCCCUAAUCUCGCCCCUUGACUCUGCUUACAGCAAAAUUUCAUGGCCGGGCUAAGCAGCACCCUCAAGUUUUCCAUUUACUUGAGUUCUUUGAAUGUUAAUUAGUCCAAGGAUGCACGGUGAACUAUUCGCAUCAAGUAUGGCUUGACCGGCGGCUUUCCUAGUUACUUUAAGUUGAGAUUUGCAAUGUGACUCAGACAUGGAUCUAUAGCAUUCUGACCCGGCGCUUGACUGGCCACUCAGCUAAUUAUGUAAUUUAUUUUCCAUAAAGCAAUAAAAAUCUUCGCUCUCUGCUCGCCGGAAUUACUAUCUUACGUAACGGAGAUCAAAAAACACCAAAACAGUUGUUUCCGAAACAAGACCAGACAUGAUUUAGGAACGAGUUGGUCACCACAACUCUUUUUGUUCAAUUUUUUGUCAGUUGAAGUCCUAAAAAAGAGCAUGAGAGAUCGCUAAAACAGAUAUAUAUGAGUGGGGAUGAUACGAUACGUACCAGAAGAAGAACCAAAGCUGCUCUUGAAAUUCUGAGUCCCAGAUCGUGAUUACCAUCCAGGAAUCCAACCAAGAGUUGGCUGUGUAUGCCCCAGCGCAAUUUUCAAGGGAGCAAAAAGCAAGAGGCUAUGGUAGUCAAACAAAAAAAGGUUUGCUUUCGGAGAAAUGAUCGAGAUCUGGCUUGCGAAAAGUCAAACAAAAAGGCGUUUGUUGGAUGUGUAUGAGAAAAGAGAUAGAGACUUGGCCAUGGGCAAAGUCUUCAACCAUCAUUUAGCCACUAUGGAGGUCCGGCUUGGGGAAAGUCAAACAAAAAGAGGUUUGCUGAAUGCGUCCGAGAAAAGAGGAAUAGGGACUUGUCCCUGGUAGAAGUCUUCCAACCAAUAUUUAGCCACUAUGAAGUAAAUAAUAAUAUCGACAACAACAGGUGGUUAGGGUAGUCAAACAAAAAAAGGUUUGCUGGCGAAGAAACUACGUUGUCCGUGCUUCCGUAGCGUGUCCAACACGCUCGGACACGCGGUCAACGCAUGGGNNNNNNNNNNNNNNNNNNNNNNNNNNNNNNNNNNNNNNNNNNNNNNNNNNNNNNNNNNNNNNNNNNNNNNNNNNNNNNNNNNNNNNNNNNNNNNNNNNNNGGGGGGGGGGGGGGGGGAAACUUUGUUUUAAUCGAAAAAAAUAAAUAAAUAAUUAAAAAAAUAAAAAUACUGAAUUUUAAAUGAUAAUAAAUUUUGAUCAUUGUAAAAAAUCAUAAAUUUAUUUAAAUAAGUUGAUUCUAAUUUCCAAACAUAGAUACGUAUUAAUUAUGAAUAUGUCUUUCGAAUUUUCAAUGAAUUAAUUUAUUAAUAUUAUUAGUGUAAAUUCAUUGUACGCUCUUUUUUAAUUAAUUAAUUAUUUAUGAAUUUAAAUCAAAUUAAUUAAAAAUAAAAAUAUUUAUUUAAUAUUUAACGUGUCGGAACGUGUCGAAAUUCUCUACUUUUUGAGAACUGACGUGUCACGUGUCGCGUGUCGGUGUUACAUAGCGAAGAAAUGAUCGAGAUCCGGCUUGCCACGUCGGCCUCGCCCGUAGCAAAGGUUCGACAUUUGACUAGAGGAAGCAGAUAGGGAAAAAAAGAAAGAAAAAAAAGAAAGGAAAAAUAGAUAGAAAAUAAAAAAUAUUAAAAUUGUUCACGUCAAUAUCGACACGUCGAAUAACUGGUAUUUAUAUUAAUGAUUUCCGAUCAAAAUUGAUUGAAUUCGCUGAAUUGGUAAAUUUAAAACUUAGUUAAUAAAAAAAUUAAUUAUCAUAGAAUUGACACAAUUACAAAAAAUUUAUGACUUUUUUAGUAAUUUUUCUGAGUGUAUUUUUAUGUUAUCUUAUCAAAAAAAUAAUGUAGUGUACGCUGAUAUACGGUCCAGCGUUGCAAUUCUUCCGUAAUCAACUCGAUGACUGACAUACAUGAAAUUUUUAGUUGGACGGUUGACAACACACUUUGAUCGGACAGUAAAAUUUCCACCCAAAAGUGCACAGGAGAGCCAUAGCGUUUCCACCUUCUGAAGUUUUGUUUCUUCCUCUGCCUUCACAUUUGUAAAAUGUUGCAAAUUCACCAUGAAAGGUCCAAAUUUUCUUACUGGUCUCUGCUUUCCUAGGUAAGGAAUACAAUGCGAUUCACAAAACUAUCCAAGUGACAUUUAUUCCAAUCUCUUCAAGUAAGAGAUAAUCUAUGACAGUUCAGCAGGGAACAGCAGUUUUCAACCAUCUUAGGGUACCAACAGUAAGAGAGAAACUGUAACGAGAUUUACAAACUAGUAGCAGCCACCACCUGUCUCCAAUCUUUUUUUUUUUAAAAUUGAUCANNNNNNNNNNNNNNNNNNNNNNNNNNNNNNNNNNNNNNNNNNNNNNNNNNNNNNNNNNNNNNNNNNNNNNNNNNNNNNNNNNNNNNNNNNNNNNNNNNNNNNNNNNNNNNNNNNNNNNNNNNNNNNNNNNNNNNNNNNNNNNNNNNNNNNNNNNNNNNNNNNNNNNNNNNNNNNNNNNNNNNNNNNNNNNNNNNNNNNNNNNNNNNNNNNNNNNNNNNNNNNNNNNNNNNNNNNNNNNNNNNNNNNNNNNNNNNNNNNNNNNNNNNNNNNNNNNNNNNNNNNNNNNNNNNNNNNNNNNNNNNNNNNNNNNNNNNNNNNNNNNNNNNNNNNNNNNNNNNNNNNNNNNNNNNNNNNNNNNNNNNNNNNNNNNNNNNNNNNNNNNNNNNNNNNNNNNNNNNNNNNNNNNNNNNNNNNNNNNNNNNNNNNNNNNNNNNNNNNNNNNNNNNNNNNNNNNNNNNNNNNNNNNNNNNNNNNNNNNNNNNNNNNNNNNNNNNNNNNNNNNNNNNNNNNNNNNNNNNNNNNNNNNNNNNNNNNNNNNNNNNNNNNNNNNNNNNNNNNNNNNNNNNNNNNNNNNNNNNNNNNNNNNNNNNNNNNNNNNNNNNNNNNNNNNNNNNNNNNNNNNNNNNNNNNNNNNNNNNNNNNNNNNNNNNNNNNNNNNNNNNNNNNNNNNNNNNNNNNNNNNNNNNNNNNNNNNNNNNNNNNNNNNNNNNNNNNNNNNNNNNNNNNNNNNNNNNNNNNNNNNNNNNNNNNNNNNNNNNNNNNNNNNNNNNNNNNNNNNNNNNNNNNNNNNNNNNNNNNNNNNNNNNNNNNNNNNNNNNNNNNNNNNNNNNNNNNNNNNNNNNNNNNNNNNNNNNNNNNNNNNNNNNNNNNNNNNNNNNNNNNNNNNNNNNNNNNNNNNNNNNNNNNNNNNNNNNNNNNNNNNNNNNNNNNNNNNNNNNNNNNNNNNNNNNNNNNNNNNNNNNNNNNNNNNNNNNNNNNNNNNNNNNNNNNNNNNNNNNNNNNNNNNNNNNNNNNNNNNNNNNNNNNNNNNNNNNNNNNNNNNNNNNNNNNNNNNNNNNNNNNNNNNNNNNNNNNNNNNNNNNNNNNNNNNNNNNNNNNNNNNNNNNNNNNNNNNNNNNNNNNNNNNNNNNNNNNNNNNNNNNNNNNNNNNNNNNNNNNNNNNNNNNNNNNNNNNNNNNNNNNNNNNNNNNNNNNNNNNNNNNNNNNNNNNNNNNNNNNNNNNNNNNNNNNNNNNNNNNNNNNNNNNNNNNNNNNNNNNNNNNNNNNNNNNNNNNNNNNNNNNNNNNNNNNNNNNNNNNNNNNNNNNNNNNNNNNNNNNNNNNNNNNNNNNNNNNNNNNNNNNNNNNNNNNNNNNNNNNNNNNNNNNNNNNNNNNNNNNNNNNNNNNNNNNNNNNNNNNNNNNNNNNNNNNNNNNNNNNNNNNNNNNNNNNNNNNNNNNNNNNNNNNNNNNNNNNNNNNNNNNNNNNNNNNNNNNNNNNNNNNNNNNNNNNNNNNNNNNNNNNNNNNNNNNNNNNNNNNNNNNNNNNNNNNNNNNNNNNNNNNNNNNNNNNNNNNNNNNNNNNNNNNNNNNNNNNNNNNNNNNNNNNNNNNNNNNNNNNNNNNNNNNNNNNNNNNNNNNNNNNNNNNNNNNNNNNNNNNNNNNNNNNNNNNNNNNNNNNNNNNNNNNNNNNNNNNNNNNNNNNNNNNNNNNNNNNNNNNNNNNNNNNNNNNNNNNNNNNNNNNNNNNNNNNNNNNNNNNNNNNNNNNNNNNNNNNNNNNNNNNNNNNNNNNNNNNNNNNNNNNNNNNNNNNNNNNNNNNNNNNNNNNNNNNNNNNNNNNNNNNNNNNNNNNNNNNNNNNNNNNNNNNNNNNNNNNNNNNNNNNNNNNNNNNNNNNNNNNNNNNNNNNNNNNNNNNNNNNNNNNNNNNNNNNNNNNNNNNNNNNNNNNNNNNNNNNNNNNNNNNNNNNNNNNNNNNNNNNNNNNNNNNNNNNNNNNNNNNNNNNNNNNNNNNNNNNNNNNNNNNNNNNNNNNNNNNNNNNNNNNNNNNNNNNNNNNNNNNNNNNNNNNNNNNNNNNNNNNNNNNNNNNNNNNNNNNNNNNNNNNNNNNNNNNNNNNNNNNNNNNNNNNNNNNNNNNNNNNNNNNNNNNNNNNNNNNNNNNNNNNNNNNNNNNNNNNNNNNNNNNNNNNNNNNNNNNNNNNNNNNNNNNNNNNNNNNNNNNNNNNNNNNNNNNNNNNNNNNNNNNNNNNNNNNNNNNNNNNNNNNNNNNNNNNNNNNNNNNNNNNNNNNNNNNNNNNNNNNNNNNNNNNNNNNNNNNNNNNNNNNNNNNNNNNNNNNNNNNNNNNNNNNNNNNNNNNNNNNNNNNNNNNNNNNNNNNNNNNNNNNNNNNNNNNNNNNNNNNNNNNNNNNNNNNNNNNNNNNNNNNNNNNNNNNNNNNNNNNNNNNNNNNNNNNNNNNNNNNNNNNNNNNNNNNNNNNNNNNNNNNNNNNNNNNNNNNNNNNNNNNNNNNNNNNNNNNNNNNNNNNNNNNNNNNNNNNNNNNNNNNNNNNNNNNNNNNNNNNNNNNNNNNNNNNNNNNNNNNNNNNNNNNNNNNNNNNNNNNNNNNNNNNNNNNNNNNNNNNNNNNNNNNNNNNNNNNNNNNNNNNNNNNNNNNNNNNNNNNNNNNNNNNNNNNNNNNNNNNNNNNNNNNNNNNNNNNNNNNNNNNNNNNNNNNNNNNNNNNNNNNNNNNNNNNNNNNNNNNNNNNNNNNNNNNNNNNNNNNNNNNNNNNNNNNNNNNNNNNNNNNNNNNNNNNNNNNNNNNNNNNNNNNNNNNNNNNNNNNNNNNNNNNNNNNNNNNNNNNNNNNNNNNNNNNNNNNNNNNNNNNNNNNNNNNNNNNNNNNNNNNNNNNNNNNNNNNNNNNNNNNNNNNNNNNNNNNNNNNNNNNNNNNNNNNNNNNNNNNNNNNNNNNNNNNNNNNNNNNNNNNNNNNNNNNNNNNNNNNNNNNNNNNNNNNNNNNNNNNNNNNNNNNNNNNNNNNNNNNNNNNNNNNNNNNNNNNNNNNNNNNNNNNNNNNNNNNNNNNNNNNNNNNNNNNNNNNNNNNNNNNNNNNNNNNNNNNNNNNNNNNNNNNNNNNNNNNNNNNNNNNNNNNNNNNNNNNNNNNNNNNNNNNNNNNNNNNNNNNNNNNNGUUUCUGUUCUUUUUUUGUUCCAGGGAACAGAAACAAAAAAAAAAGUGAUUUGUUCCGGGGAACGGUUCUUGAACAAAAGAACGCGUUUGGUAACGUUUGUUCCGGGAAUAAAAAAUGAGUAGAAAUACGUUUGGUAAACAUUUCUUCCGUGUCUUCAAAAUAAUGUGCUUGUGGGCACGCACGUGCGCCAUAUUGUGACAUAGGUGGACCUUGCAAUUGCAACCCAAGAGCAGCAUUUCUCGCUUACCUUCUAAUAUCAAAAGAUUUAUAACCUGAUCAACGAUCAACAAAUGAGCUCACAAGAACGGAUACCACAAUCACACGACUCAUUCAAAUAGAACCGUACGCAUUCCUUAGAAAUUGCUUCUGCCAAUGCAGUUUGCGAUCAAGACAAAAAGCCCACGAAAGCAUUCUUCGCAGUCUCAAAGCCUUCUCCUCGUGGCAAGAAUCACUCAACUAAAAUGACCCACGUCGAUCGUCUCUCAAAUCACAACAAUGAACAUACACAUACGAAUAGGAGUUCCAUGAUGGAAAUUGGUGACCGAGAGACGGAGCGAGUACCUGCUCUAGGGAUUUAGGCCUAUUGAGGGCAGCUCUCCUUUCGUUCUGCAUAUACAACGUAAGCGUCCUCCCCCAAUCUUUUGGACUUUGGCGUGGCUUUCCGCCAUCUAAGCUUGCACGGAAGCAAUUAAGAGAAGGUUACCGUUAUCGUCCAACCGAGGAAUCCGUGCCGUAUCUUCAGUUUCUUGCCACGGCGAAAAGUGGUUCGCGCUUGGAGUGGUCUUAACAAUUUUUUCAGUUUCUACCUAGGAUAAUUGUUUCGAUUUGUAGUGUUUUUUCAAUUUUGGUGUAUGAUUGACCUAAAAGCCACAGAGUUUUUGUUUAAAGAAAACCAAGGAUUUUUCUACCAUGCACCCAAAAUUUUUCCUUCGUACAAUUGAUCUUUACAUUUAGAUGUAGCCAACUACGCAUGGUGUCUGCAAAAUACAAAAGAGAAAUUAACGGCUAACGAAAAUCCACAUUUUCAAUUUUGAAAGUUGAGAAAUCGACGGAUUACUUGACAAUUUUAUGAUUAUUACAAGGUAUGGCUUCCUCCAUCUAGAUUUAUGUUUUAUUGUAGCUCAUUUCAAAUAGGCAUGAACUGUUCGUGAAAUUUUUUGUGAGAAUUUGUAGUUGAAGUGACUAUUGUUUGCUUAAUUGAUAGUAGGCAUUCGGUCUCACCGCAUAUUGAUGUCACAUGCAGAUGGAUCAAAGAAGAUAUGCCUAUAACGGACUAAGGAAGAUAUGCCUAUAACGGACUAAGGAAUUUCUUGCUUAAGCUAAUUAUAAAAUCUAGCCAAAUAUGAGCUAAAUUUGAUUUUAUUUAGAAAAACUAAUUCAUUCUUAUGUUAUAUAGUUCUAGUAGUAACCUUUUUAAUCACGAGUUUAGAUGACCUUGACCACGAGUGAAGAUGGUCUCCAGAGACCAUUUUCCACUCCAUUAAUGAGGCAGUCACUUCAAUUAAAGGGGAACAUAUACAAAUAAGCAUAUGGUUUGCUAGAUGACAACGUAGUUAUCCUGUAAAUGGAUAGUGUUCAUAUCUAUUUUACAAUCCAGGAAAUUGCAAAUCCUGGAGUGGAUUCAAUCAACAAGUGGAUAAAUAUACUAUAAGUCCUGAAAUUUGUGAUCGGGAUUUAACCCAUUCUUCCCUCAUGUAAGUUUCGAGUUGUAACAAGUUAGAUGUAGAAGUUGCUCAAUCCCCAACCUAUUUACCAAUGCAGGUUUCUUGCUCCCUUGUCACCAACACGUUCUUUCACAUGUUCCCGAUAACUCAGACAAAGCACAUUUGUUCAAAUUUAAGAAAGAAUGAAUGAAGGGAACGGUUUGUUAUCGGAAAUCCUAGUUGCGAUGGAUUAGGGCGACGAGAAAUAUUCACGGUGCACGAUUGAAUAAAGGGAAGAAUAAUGCACGAUGCUCGGGGAACCUGCACAACAUCAAAUUGACAUUCCUUGUCAAGUCGUUAUGCACAUUGUUCUGCGUAGUAUAGAUGCCAUUAAGAACCUUAGCCCGCUUAAUUGAGCCCUGGAGAACAUUUAAAACAUGAACUUGCUUUGCAAUGGCAAAGAAAGGAUCCAUAUAGCUAGGCCCUUUACUAUUACCACAAUUGUGUUGCUGUGAUCAUAAACAAAUGUUUUGGCAAAUUAGUGAAAGCAAAAACACACACACACACAGGCUUGUGAUCAAGAUAAUAUGAGAAUCUGAUCAUUUAGCAUAAAUUACGUAAUCAAGAUAAUAGUCUAGCAUAAGUAGGUGAAAAAAUCCAUUGGUAUAUUAUCAAUGAGUCGAAUAUUCUGAAGGAGUUAAGGCACUUUUUAAAGAUAGCACUUGAAAUUAGCCUAUCAGAAAACCUUUUCUAGUUAAUUGCUAUUAAGGAAACCUAGAGGUUUCUAAAUCCUCAAGGCAUAGACAACCAUAGGCUUGUUAUGGCACGGGACCGAAUCGACAUAGCCCUGCUUCUACUAUAUUAAAUGCUACACAAUUGUUUUUGUCAAAAGCUUAACUGUUAGGAACGGUACCCACAGUUUUGUAAGCAUGGUUCUUGACAUUCCCCUCAAUAUCAGCCAUACUUUAUCCAGUACGUGGAUAUAACCACAUUGAUGAGGAUAAGCAUAAUCGCUGAACACUGACCAAACAAAGAGGGAUACAAUAUGAAAUCAUGCGUGGAGCACUUAAGACCAUUUUAAACACUCAAUUUUGCCAAAAGUUCAAACUGUCAAUGAACUUGCACAAAAUGCAUAUCAAGCAUACUCCUCAGAAGGGGAUAACAACAUGAAAGAAUAAUGAUAAUAAGAAAGACUGAGUUUCCUUGAUAACUAAAUAUUCUCUCUAGAUGCAAAAAGCUAUUACAGAAUUUUGACUGAAGAUAAUUCUGGUAACUUUGAUCAAUCUAUAUCCUCUAUCGAAAACUAAUUGUUGAAAGAAACACGUGUCUAAAAUUCUUUACUCUCAUCCCGCUAUAAUUCCUAAACAAGGAGAACAAAGGUUCUUUCAACUUGUACUGAAGCUGAUCUUUUGUGUUUCAGGCUACUUCUUGUUGUUACAGCCAAACAAUGUUUAGUCAUGCCGACCAUGGUGCCACAUAUACAUCCAAUUUUCACUAUCUAAAAUCUGUGGUACCACCUAAAAACGGUGUGGUAUACACCCAUUAUCCCAUAAACAGGAAGAGAACAAAUGAUUUCAUACACCCACAAGACUAUUCCACACAUGCAGAAAUCAUAAGCACUAGAACAUGAAUUCCCGCCUACAAAGAUAACAUCAGGUCGAUACUGUAAUUCAGUGACCCCGGAGGAAAUGUUUGCAUCGUACCAAUCAGUAACCGCGUGAAAAGUUUGCAUAUUCAAAGCGGGUGAUGAAGAAUUGUUGGGUCCUCGAUCCACUGCGGUAUCAAGAGAGAUAAUAUUAGAGAGAGAUAAAAUGAAAUGAAGAGCAGAGAAAACAGAGAGAAAAGUAGAAAUAGUCCACAUAAGAUGACAGAUAAUCAGCUAGCAGGAAAAAAGCCACCUGUCCAACCAGAUUAGUCUAGACUCUAGAUCCUCAAAACUUUGGUUCUCAUCCUUCCCAGAAUCUAGGGAAUACAUAAUCAGCCAAUUGCAAUUUCAGUUUAGCCAGAAUUUCGAGCUUCGCAAUAACCAUUGGUUCUGCACAGCCAUAAUCGAUCAUGAAUGGGAACAGCUACCACAAAAGACCACCUGACCAACUGAAUUUACCUGGAAUCUAGAUCUUUCCAAUCUGUGCGGAUCCCAUCUUUUCCAGAAUCAAGGAGAUAAUUAAUCACUUGUUAGCAUAUUCAGCUUUUCAUUAUCACCGAUCCCCUAACUCUAAUAGCAAUCAAUUAAUUCCACAUCCAGAAAUGCAUGGCAAAUGCAUUGCACUCCCCUAACAAAUGAAAUAAUUCUGGAACUCCAUAGCCAACAGCCAUUGAUCAUUAUCACAAUGUCGAAUUCCCAUACCACCACUAAAUUCCAGAUUCCAAUGAAUUGGAUUCUAAACGACACAACUAGAACAGAGACGAGGACAAACAGAUCGAUCAAAAGCCUAACCUGAUCGCACUACAACUCUCCCGGUUUGACGACACGAAUUGACCCGAUCAAAUUACAAGCCGGAUGCCGCUUACCCUGGUCCACAUGAUUUUCCAAGAACUCAUAGUUGACGAGACUCUGCCCUCUACUAAACCCCAACUCGCGGCCACCCCCGCCCUCGGCGAUCUGGAACGCGCCGUCCUCGAACACCGGCAUCUCCUCCUCCUCCUCUUCGCUCAACCCAUCACCCCGUCCAACAUUUCUCCUCCCACCGCCAUCCUGAUCCUCUCCGGCGACAUCCUCUGCUGCCCUCCCCUCGCAGAUGGAGCCCUCGAGCGUCUCGCUGAGGAAGCACCGGAACCAUCCUCCCCCGCGGCCUCCUCCUCCGCCGUCGACGGUGGAGAGGAGGUCGAGGCGGCGAGUGAAGCCGUUGCCGAAGGAGGCCUCGCAGGAGUGGAGGCCGGACGCUAGGGUUUUGGGAGCAGGGGACGUAGGAGGGGAGGAGGAUCGGCCAUCUUUUCAGGUGAAUCCAAGUUGCCGUCGCAGUGUAGUAUACUAGUAAUUACUAAUUAUAAUGCAUUUUUUUAUGCAUGAUAAAACGGCUAACAUAAGGUAAUAAAUCCAGAGGAAAUCUCCAUCUUUGAUCAUCAAAGUUCUGAAUUAUAAAAAUAUAUGAUCAAUACUUUUGAUCAUCAAUUUUUGUUUUUUUGUGAAUGAAUGUAAUUUUAAUGCCUUUUGCGCACAAAAAUUCAGAAUUCUACUUACAAAUUCAUUGAAAAUCUUAUUAGAUUGAUGAUAAAGAAUUCUUUUACAUACAAGAUCAAAGAAGCAUCUCAAUCCCAAAAGUAAAAUAAAAUAAAUCGCUACAGAUACAAUUUUUCGAAUCACAAAUGAGUCGCCAUAAAUUUCGAAUCAAAAUUCAAUUCUAAGAAGUAGCAUGAAUUUUUUUCCUUAUGCCUCCAUCCAAGAAAGAAGUUAUUAGAGAUGAAUAGGAGAACUUUUAGAGCUAAGGAAAGCAGCUAGGUGUUUAGAUCAUUUUUCAUUUUCAUUAUUCUAAGAGUAUUUCAAGUAUUUUGAAGAUGAGACAAAAAUGAUGACAUAAUUCUUGUUCUUUGAUUGAAGAUGCUAGGUUUGAUUUAUAUUUAUAUUUUUUCUUCUGCUAUAUUCUAAUUUUCUUUUGUUAGGGCUACCAUAUAGCCUAACUAUGAUAAUAUGAAUUUCAUAAUUUUUAUGUUUUGCAAGUAGUUCCAUUCGUGUGAGUUAUAUAUUAUUAUGCUUAAUAUUUUAACUGGUAUAUAUAUGAUAAAUUUAUUCUCCAUUAAUUUUUGUUAAAUUUUACUGUCAAAUUACCUAAUAGGAUGACACAUGCAAUUGAUAGAUGUACUUAUUUAGGAUUUUACCUUCCAUUUAUCAUAUGUGUACUCAUUUGCAAUUCUUCAUGAUAUUAAUUUAAUUUAACGGAAACUAAUUGAAAGUAAAUUUAUCACAAAUGUGCAAGUUUGGGUUUUUUGUAAUUAAAAAUUUGAUUUGGAUAAAUUUGUCACAUGCGUUUUAAUUUGAGGUUUUUGAUGAUUAAAAAAUUAAUUUAUGGUAAAUUUAUCACAACUGCAUCAAUUUGUGAUUUUUCGUGAUUGUAAACCUUAUACUUAUCGGUAGCCACUAGUCUGAACGUCAUCUGAAGCAGCCUAUAGAGAUGGCAUUUGCCAUCGGUAAUACAAGAAAUAAGCCCAUAACAGAAUAAAUUGACACGGCAUAGACUUCUUUACCCUGUAAGUAGAGUAGAAUUUACAAUUGUGUCUAAUCUCAAAGCGGAUACAAAUGUGGUUACAAAUGGUUCAUGAAUCUUGUAAUAAUCUCACGGAGAGGUCACUCGAAGAUGAUCUACUGAGCGCCAAAGAAACUGCCCUGCAAAAUCAGAACGCAUGGAAUCUUUGACUGGGUAGAAAAACAAAAGGUAGAGAAGGUAUUUAUAAUUCUUUCCCUCGAUAUGGAUUGGACAAGGGCAAAUUCAAUCAUGAAGAACUAUACCAUUCCGACUACUUUGAUCGCGGCGGAGGGGGUUUGGGACAGAGCGGUACCUGCAAAUUCUACCUGCAAACACCAAAGUUCGACAUACGACUGUGUCAAGCCCCGUCGGACUGUCUUGCUCAUCGGGUCAAAAGCCAUCAUCAUUACUCAUGUUGGAGAAGCAAAGCCAUGUUAGCUGGCUUGGAACCGUUUGAAGUCUGUCUACCUCAAAUCACCUACAAGUUCUGAUUUAUGUAGCGGUGCUGAAGUUGACAGAUGAAGCGAAGACAACAUUCCAUUCUGUCUUUCCAACUUCAGCAUCGAUCCAUGCUAUUUCGUAACCCCCCUAGCAGUGUAAUCCAUCAACAUCAUACACUCAAACAUGAAAAGAAAGCAUCCAUCGAUUUUUAUGAAGAGCAACUAAAACCUGAGCUCACCUUCAUAAUAAGCAUAUUCCUCGUUGAUUUCUCAGAAAGUUGCACCAAAUUGUCACAAAACAAGAUUCACAAGACACAUAGUUGCAGCAUCACGAUUCCCUAGCAUACAUAGCAUGUCUUCAAGUACCUUAUAAGCACAUAAAAUCAGACUGACAUAUAUUGCUUCUUCGAUUUGAAGAGCAUAGGCUUGAGGGCAGAUAUUUUUCAAGCAGUGUUGCUUCAAAUGCUCUGCUGCCUCAGCUGAUCCUCGCACCAUAGCUCCAAAAAGUACAAUACAUGAGUUUAUACUCAACAGAUCAUAUAGUUUUAUCUUGCAAUGCAAUUAUGCUUAGUUGAAAAUGUACAUCAACAUAAUAACUAUCAUUUGACCAGCAAAAUAAGUGCUACAAUCUUGUGAGUGAAUAAGUUGUAUCUUCCAGAUGAAAUUGCGAGCAUCACCAGGUGAAACCUCACUUUAGAUGGAAAACAAUGAGAACUACUUAUAUCAGUAGGCAUGAUAUCUGCCUGCACGGACACUAAGAUGCUUUAGGAUUCUGAACCAUGACUGCCUUUGGAGCAUAAUGACAUAGUUCGACGUUGAUAUAAGGAACCAACAGUCUCUGGUCAUCCUUCAAACCAUUGAAAGCAUGUAGCCUUACGAGCUUUAGGGGGGCGACAUGGGCGAGAAUUGAUUUAUUGCUCGGCUGUCUGCACAUCCCUCGAAGUCCAUGUAUGUCAAUGAGCAUUUGACUUGCACCUGAUACUCCAAAUCACGACGCAUAUAGAAGGCAGGUUCAUCAAACAAUUAAAUAAUUAAUUUAUGAAUUAAACUCACCAAUGCAACCUAAUUACAGCACAAAGUAGAGAUAAGCAUCAUUUGUUCCACAUCUUCACAGAGUUAUAGUUUUUGCAAUUAAAUAUAUAAAUAAAAGCAAACUUGUACGAAAGCGUCGGGAAGGGUGGAGAUCAGAAAAGGCUCAAAAUUCCAUUAAUUUUUAUUACAAUAAGGAAAGACGGAAAUAAUUACUCAAUCACCGUGUGGUAGCAUGCCAUUAAUAUGCUGUGUCCUUUUCUUCAAGGCUUCUGAAAAAGGAAGAAAAAAAUAAGUGAAUCAACAAAACAAAGUAGUGUUUCCCUACCAGUUAAGGUUAGACAGUUUAUUCCCCAUCCAUAUUAUAAAUCUCCAUCAUGAAAGUACUCUUUUCGGGAGGUAACGUGAGAUAUGGCUGUACUUUAGUUGUGGAAUAAAACUAUGCAUGCCGUGCAUCACUUGUGGCAGAACUCACAUUUAGUUCAGUCGAUGCCACUUUUGAGGGCUUCAAACUAGGAGGUCGUUCAUCAAGUUUUCCAUCCACGUUGCUCAAAAACUGCAAAGCCCCAUAAGCAAUCCAGUCAAAUAUCCAAAGCCACUUUAGCACCAUGGAAGGUUAAAAAUGAUGUAGCAGAACACUUCUGUACUAAAUAUGACAGUGAAAGAAACGACUCGCUUCGACUGAAGAGUUUCAUUAGGAAAGCUCCCCCCGCUGAAAGAAUAUUAUGUCGUUCAAGUCAACCAGGCUAUCUAUCUUACGGCAAAAUCAGUUCUGCUGGACCAAGUAAUACUUACUCUGUACGUAAUUUACAUCCAACUGUACUAGAAUAGGUUACAAGGGAUAAUCAAAUAUCAUUCUUCGGCAUGAAAUAAGCAUUACGUGUCCAAAGCUCUAACCCAUACCAAUCACAUACUUCAACGCAUUAUCCCACUUUGUUUUGUUUUGUUUUGUUUUGAAAGAAGACGUAAAGUUGUGGAGAAGACAAGAGAAUUUUGGAAAAAAAAUGUGUAUUUCAUUGUAUAUUGUUGUUGUACAGAUUUAUGUAAAUAUAAUACAGAAAAGAUAAAGUAAUGGCAAAAAUAUAUUUUGUGAAAUCAAUUGAAAUCAAAUUUAAUCUCAAUCUAAAUUCCUAACUAAUUUAUGCACAAUCAUAAUCAAGCAUGAUUCCGAGCGUAUCUCUAGGAUCCGAUGCAUAUCUUCUAACACUCCAUCUCGAGCUGGUUAGUAGAUGUCUAAGACGCCUAGCUUACUUAAGAGAUAUGCAUAUCGUCUUUGACAUAGAGGCUUGGUGAAAAUAUCUGCAGGUUGCUCUGCCGUUCCAAUUCGUCUUGUCUCGAUUAUCCCUUCCUGAAUUUUUUCCUGAGUGAAAUGACAAUCCAUUUCUAUAUGGUUCGUUCUUUCAUGUACUAUGGGAUUCGCUACAAGUUUGAGUGCUGCAUCAUUGUCACAAAACAACUUUGUCGGACCCUUCAAAUUUAUCCCAAGAUCCCGAAGUAAUCCCCGUAUCCAUAUAAUCUCACAGGUAGUCUUUGCCAUAGCUCAAUAUUUUGCUUCAGCUGAAGAUAAUGAUACGGUUGUUUGCUUCUUGGUCUUCCAUGAAAGGAGAGAUUCUCCAAGCUUAAUGCAAAAACCUGUAAUGGAUCUUCGGCUCAUGAGCCCGGGCUCGUGGGAGUGGGCGGAGGGCGGCCGGAGCUCCACCGUGACCGAGUGGGGGCUGGUUUGCGGGAGAAGUACAAGGUAGGGCUGGUCCAGGCCUUGUUCUUCGGCGGGUGCAUGAUUGGUACGCCGCUCUUCUCUAUCCACCUUCUUAAAUCAAUCCAGAGGUUACCCUAACGUUCCGCUUGCCAGAGCUUAAUACGUGCUUGCGAUAUUUAAUUGAAUUAUUUAUUGUUUGGUGCGAUAUAUGGACUAUAACUUAAUAUUCGCCAGUUCUAGCAUCAUGCAAUAUAUGGAAUGUCAGGUAUUUCUGAUGAAUUUCCCUUUUUCCUGUUUUAUUCAUUUAAGGGUUGAACAAUUUGUAGCCACACAUGCCUUUUUAGCCUUUGUGGUCUCUUCUCUCGAGCCUCUGUUUCCUCGUCGUCCUCCUCUCUUGUCGCCAAGCAGUUUGAAUUUAAUAGUAGGGACUGGUGUUCGGAAUCUUUAGGGUUUAAUGUGGACCGACAAUCUUGAUGCUGAGGAUAUGCCAUGUUAAUGGAUAACGUUACUAAUUGACAAGACUUUUUAUUAAAAUACGAGACCCGUGUUCAGUUUUCGGCGAAACUCGCGUAAGAGGAAAUAGAAAAUUUAAUGGCUUGGCACGAUUAGGGCAGAGUGUUUAUCUUGGACCUUGGAAUUAAUCUUUUUUUGUCUUUUGCAUGUUUUAUAUGUCGACCCUAGAAAAGGAAAUAUCAGGAUUAUUAUCGACCACUACCUCUUGCUUUUUGUCGUUUUAUUGGAUUCCUUUGCCGAUUCGAAAUCGUUGGCUACUUGGAUGAUGAUUCGAGAUCAUGCUCUUGUUCUAUCUUAAUGCAUCCUGGUUUCUUUAUUUUUCUAGAUUUUGCUUGAAUCUUUUUCUUUCUUUAAACUUAUAUUGCUAAUUUUGAGAGCAGAAGUUUUUCUUGCUCUUGCGUUUGAAUUCGUCGCUGAACUAUUCAAAUCAAUAGGUGGGGCCGUCUCGAUGUUUCAAUGGAUGUGAUAUAACCCCCCCCCCCCCCCCCCCCCACAAAAAAAAAAAAAAAUUGAUGGAUGUGUUUUGUUUAGUGUCUGAUCAUCACUUCGAGUGGCGAUUGGCAAAAGCACGGGAAGUUCCUCUUUCAUACUUUAUGGAUAGGUCAAUCGUGUCGAGAGGUGUAGCGUGGUAUUGACUUGAAAGAAAGCGAACCAAAACGAUAUUAUAGCCCUGCGAACGAGUUUCUUUAAGAUAAGCAUGACUGAUUAGAAAUAAUUAAACAAAAUAAUGCAUGAAUCUUUCUUAAUUGCUUGUUUAUCAUGAACUCUGCAAUAUCAUUUCCGGGAUAAAACUAUGUUUUUAGGGAGAGAUGAGCGGUAGGGUCCAAGGGAAGAGAUGAAUUCGUUUGUUUGCGGAGAGUUUCUUUUCUUGUUCUUUUUUUUUUCCAAGUGAAUGAAUCUUUCGAUGUAGGACAGAUCUUCGAAAAGGAGAUAGACGUCUUGUCAUGGACGGACUAGUUUUUGAACUUUCUUCUUGGUUCUGGGUUUGCAGCGUCCAAGAAGAAAGUUAAACGCGACCAUUAAUUGGAUCUGAUAUUUAUCCCGAAUGUUAGUGUGUGGCGAUGAGAUAGAGUGCGUCGAAGGAAUUUCCAAUUUAUCCAGAAGGUGGAGAUAUUAUUUGUCACGGUUCGUGCCGGUGAACUUUAGUCUCUUUUUCCCACAGCUACUCCAACAUGGAAUGCGUAGAAAUUUCAUGAAAUUUUCUACUGCAGUCAAGGAGCACUCCUAUGCUUCCCAUGAAAUGCCUAACAUGCAUUAGACAAGAGUUGCAAUGGUUUCAGUUAACUGAACACAAACAAAAUUGACUGGGGUGUGCGCUUUGUCGAAUGCAUGACUGGCUGUGGUUGAGGUGCAUAGCAAGUACUUUUCAGUCUCACAAAUGCAGUAUAAAUUUUUCGCUUCAACUGGUUGAUGGAAAAGCAUUGAUUUCAAUCACUCUCUAUCUUUUCAUCCUUUUACCUAGGACAAUCGUCUGAUCCCAACUCGAGUGCCAAGUGAUAACCGGAAGCAAAAUGGCACAAAGUUCAAUUUAGAUUCGUCUGAUUAGUUUACCUGCUCAUGCAAGAAACUGGAGGAGAAUGCAUUAGGAACUGAAGCAAUUAGAACCAUUAUGCAGUAGCAUUAGCUCGUUGUCUGACUGCUUUAUUGAGACACUUCAAUUUCUGAGGGAUUGUAUUCAUAGUCUGACGACUUCUUGUGCCGUGUGUUGCAGGAGCCGGGACAUUUGGCCAUCUCUCGGACUCGUUCUUGGGAAGAAAAGGCUCUCUAACGGUGGUCUGUAUCUUGAAUGCCAUCUUCGGUUGCUUGACGGCCCUCUCUCUGGAUUACUGGACCUAUUGCCUCCUCCGCUUCAUUACUGGAUUUAGCACGGGUGGGGUCGGCCUAUGUGCUUUUGUACUAGCCACUGAGCCUAUUGGCCCAAAGAAGCGCGGAGCGGCAGGAAUGUCCACUUUCUACUUCUUCUCAUGUGGCAUAGCUCUUCUCUCUGGCAUCGCUUAUGCGUUUCGCUCAUGGCGGGAGCUCUACAUCGCUUCCACCAUUCCCUCCAUGCUCUUCCUUGUGGGGGUCCUCCCUUUCAUCUCAGAGUCCCCGCGGUGGUAUCUCGUCCGGGGAAAGAUUGACGAGGCCAUGAAGCUUAUGCGAGCUAUCGCCAAAGCCAACAAGAAACACCUCCCUGACGGGGUCAUCCUCGCACUUGAUGAGGAAGUGAAUGAAAACUCGAACGAUGGUCAAUCCUGCAAAGAUCAGAUGGACACAAAGGAUGCGAUUGCAGGGUCUCUCAUCGAUGUGGUGAAGUCACCUGUCACUCGGAUUCGCCUUUUCUUGGCGGUGGCAAUCAACUUUCUUUGUUCAGUCGUGUACUACGGCAUUAGCCUAAACGUUGUCAAUCUCCAGACCAACCUUUACCUUAGUGUGUUCCUCAACGGCGUGGCUGAAAUGCCAGCCUUUACAAUAACGGCCCUAUUGCUUGAUAAGUUCGGGAGGAAGCCGCUGGCAAUCGGAACACAGUGGUUCAGUGGAAUAUUCUGUCUUAUGGGGAGCUUGGUGAUGAUACACGGGGAAUGGAAAGUGGCGAGGAUGGUGUGCGGAAUUCUCGGGAUUUUCGGGAUGGCCGGCACGUAUAAUUUGCUCUUCAUCUACAUGGCUGAGCUGUUUCCGACCGUGGUGAGGAAUGCGGCUCUUGGCUGUGGAGCUCAGGCGGCGCAAAUGGGUGCGAUUUUGGCGCCUUUAGUGGUGGUCUUAGGAGGCGGCUUCCCCUUUGCGGUCUUUGCGGUUUGUGCAAUUCUGGGAGGGAUACUAGCAUUUUACCUCCCGGAGACACUGAAUCGGCCUUUGUAUGAUACAAUGGCUGGAAUGGAAGGUGGGGAGAGUGUAUGAAGGAGCUCAAUCCUCUUACUUCAAACUAAACUUGAUUAAUGUAGACUUAAAUGACUCUUCUUGAUGAUAGGAUUUUCCGUUUUUUCCUUUGGGACAUGAGAGUGCAGGAUGGCAGAAUAUCUCUUAUAAAAGGAGAGAACGUUUGUAAGAGUGUAUCUUUCAAAUCACUCAUGUUGCUUUAAAGCAGUUGCCAUCACGUGAUGAGAACACAUUAUACUGACCUUCGACUCUUAGUGUUGUCAGAUUAAUGCAUUAAACUCCACAUAAUGUUGCUAUCAGCAUCACUGGUCCUACUAUCGAUAUGGUGAAAAGAAAACGUUUGUGUCUGAUCAUUAUCAUUCUGCCUUUGUGCAAGAGCAUCAAACCCACCAGUUCUUUGAAAUAAAAGGCGAAUUUACCGCAAGAUUAGUGCUUAAGGGACUACCCCCACUAGGUGGUACAGUCGACUCUAUCCUGAAUAUGCAGAAAAUUACAUCUCUCAGACGAGGAAAAAAUUCUGCUUUUCAUCUUGUACUUUCGCACAUUUCCUAAUCAAGUUUCUCAUACUUUAGUUUCAUAAUCUUUUAUCAAGUCUCUUGGCACCGAAUCUGACCAAACCAAGCCGACGUGGCUGUUGGAUGAUACCAAAGCAUGAUGCGGAUACUUAUGUGGACAUGGGUGGAAAAAUAGAGCCAAUGUAGACGUCAGAGUUGAUGUGGAUAAGACUUUUGCCAAUGUAAACGGUUACGCAGACGUCUACAUUACAAAGAUAUUAUCCCUUCAAACUAUGGCGUUGUCCGGGGCUGUGUCAGCUGAAUUUGACCAAAUUUGGUGUUGAAUGGACUUAAUUAGAAAAUUUGUGAAGAUUGAAUGAUCUAAUUAGAUAAAUAAAAAGUAUAUUAACUUAAAAAAGGGUGUACAAGUAUAUGGAUGAAAAGUAUAAAUAUUUUGAUGAAGCUGGGUAGAAUUUUGUGAGUUUUGGCAUAAUGGAGGAGGAAAAGGCGGGUCAGUUCAAGAAAAACAAACGGAACAGUUGGCCAGUGUUCUCUUUACCGAGGAAAUUACAUGCAACUGUGAGAAAUCCAAAAGUAGGGUUCAUGCAGAAUCAAAGUGGUGAAGGAACUCAAUUGUGAAGUUCUUUUUCUCGCGUUUACUCUCUACUUUCUUUGUGGUUGUGUAAUGAAUCCUAACAAUCGUGAAGUUAUAGAACUUGGAGUCUCAAAUAGACAAAGACGCGCAUGAAGUAGACAUAUACUCUCUGAGAGCUCCACCUCUCUUCACAUUCUCUUUGUCCUUUCAUUUCCUCGCAAUUUCAAUUCCUGUUUGUUUUCUUUCCGAUGUACUUCAAUUCCCAUGAAUUUCCUCAUAAAGUAGCUUCAGCUCGAUACAUUUGAAUCUAUUGACACUUGGUUUCGAGUUGAUUCGUCACUACAUCCAAAUCCCAUUUGCAUAUUUUGUGUUCGGGCAUGAAACUGCGGAGCCAAUCGUCUGAAGGUCGGCACAAUCGAUUGACUUGUUUUUCGUCGACUGCAAUGAAAGGUGACUCUACAGCAAUAUUUAGUGCUUAAGGACUACCAUCACCAGGUGGUACAUCUAAUUCUGAACUGGAUAGACAGAAAGUUGUAUCUCUUUGCGAGCAAGAUGCAUGCAGGGGAAACCAAAAGAUGCAUUUAGAGGACAAAAACAUGAAGUGGGGCCAUCACAUAUGGCCACAAGAAAAGAAACCAACGAAAUAUUAACUUAGAUGACAAGAAAUUUAUUCCUCUUCUUGUGACCUUGAGGUUUAAGCCCCGUUGGGAGUAUUUCACGGGUAAAAUUCUAUUUGAAUGUACUAGACUAUCAUAGGAAAUUGCGCCUCUAAGAUCUUUUGAGGAGAUAGACUUGUCAAGAUGCGCCAAAGUUAGCUUGGACAACCAUUUAACUGUUAAGAAAAGAAGGCAUAAAUCAAGCACAUCUUAUUACGGGAACCAGAAGUACCUAGACAUCAAUCGAGCCGGAUGACUUAGCAAUGGCGAUAACUUUUGAUGUCCACCGCUCUCAGCAGACAAUUCAUCAGUGGAGUCAUCUGUUGAUUUCAUCAGUCUGGAUGCGGAGGUGAUUGUCCUAGACAGAAUGUCAUGCCACACACACUUUAGCUUACAAGAACUUGACUUGUGGCCCGUUCUUUUACUAACCCCAUCUAAUUUCUGUCCACUAUUGCUUCCAAAAGAUCAGUCCUCAAAGAUUUCACAAAGUCGUAAAGAAAGUUAACUAGUCAUCUCCCACUCAUCUCCUUUUCACUACAGAAAACGAUUUAAAGAAAUUAGAGUUAGUCAUACCACCUAGUGAUGACAGUCAUUUGGUUAUUUUCAUUGAAUAACUUACUAUAGGGUAAUUUAUCUCAAUCUAUCAACGACGUAGAAUGAUAUCGAUUACAACAAAACAUGAAUGUUAUAUGUUUGUUUUGAGGAAAUGAAACUAGAACAGGUCUAAUGGUCUCGGAAAAUUAGGGUUUUAUCAAUUCCCCCAAUUUGGUUUUCAGUUUUUGGUUCCUAAAAAGAUGUAAUUGGAAACCAGACCGGGCCGAAAUGAAACUUGGAACCGGACCUAUUCCCAUAGGUUCGGUCCUCUGGUUCUCGAAUCUACUAUAGAACCAUGCUCACCCCUAAAUAUAUCCCGCCAAGUAAUUUUUCCCAUGUUUUUGUGAUUUUGAAAUUGCAAUUGUAAAUUUCUUCUUUUUGACAAUUACUAAAUUUGGUAAGGAGUUGGCAACUUAUUUUAGUAAUCUGCAGAUACUAGUAAAGUUCCUAAAUGGUCGGUGAUUUGGGAAUGCCGGAUGGAAUUUUCGUAAAAUCAAUUUCCGGAAAUUUUGAACGCAAAGAAAUAAAUGUCUCAAGAAUCUAACUGGAAAUUUGAAUAGUAGGUUUCGAGUUGCUUUCCUCUUACAUAAUCCAACGAUUGUCUUUGCUUGUUUGAAACAAACGGUGUAGAUGUGNNNNNNNNNNNNNNNNNNNNNNNNNNNNNNNNNNNNNNNNNNNNNNNNNNNNNNNNNNNNNNNNNNNNNNNNNNNNNNNNNNNNNNNNNNNNNNNNNNNNUCGAGGGCACUCUCGAUUUGGUGAAUCACAGAAAUCAAGAUGGAUAUUUUCAUAUCCUUUCAUGUACAUUAUUUAAUAUUUACGAUAUAUCUAUAUAAAUAAACUUAAAAAUACGCAAACAAAGAUUGUAAUAAUCUUUCAUAAUUCCCUGCCAAAUCUAGUAAAAGAGAGAAACUAUAAUCAUUCAUUUUUGUGAUUAUAAAAAAUAUUACUUUGACUUUUUCGCUACUUUGAAACUUCAAUAAUAACCACAAAAUUAUAGAGGAGGAGUUUCAACUCUUUCUUGAACUUUUGACAUGAACUAGAGAGUUACGAAGGAAAAGAAGCUUCGUCUCUUUUGCCAUUUUCACGGAACAUUGACGUGAACUAAAAAACCAUGGAGGAGUCAAGAAAUUUCAAUGUGAACUAGAGAUAGAAAGGAGAUGGAGAUGGAGAUGGAGACGGUCAGUUUUUAUUUAUUUAUUUAAAUUUCAUUGCCCUCAUUUUUUGAGCAUUAGAAUGAUCUUUUUAAGUUUGAAUUGGUUCAUUUAAAAUCUAGGUUCUUCUACUUCAUUUUUAUUUACUUAAAUCUUUUAUUCCCCUCCAACAUUCCUUAAUAAAAAUUCUAUCAAAUAAUAUACUAUACCAUUAUACCUAAAAUAUGUUAAAAAAUGAUAAUAUAUAAAAAUUUGUGAGCCUUAUCCCCAGAUAGUGAGGGCUUUGUGGCCCUAGCUUAGAGGGGGUUGUCGGCCCUCACCUAGUGGCCACUGACCAUGGCCAACCCUUUGAACUAAGAAAGGAAAGCUAGGUGAGGUGGCCACUAGGAAAGCUAUAGCCAUGUACACAAUAUCAAAGCUUGAUAUGGAUAAAAUUUAGCUAAUGUAAACACCCAUGAGGACAUCCACAUCAAAAAAAGAAAAAAAGAAAAUUAUUCACAUUAUACCCUCACAACGUUGGAAGCCACUCCACUUCAACUAGAUUCGGUUGGAUUUGAGGCAGAAGAAACUUAAUUAGAAAAUUUAUAAAAAUGAAAUGGAUUAAUUAGAUAUAUUAAAAGUGCAAGAAUUAGAAUAAAAACGUAAAAGUAAGAGGCGAAACAUAGAACUUUUCUGUCAGAAAAGCAAGUUGUUUUUAAUGGAAGUAAACAUUAUGCAUUUUUACAAAGGGAUCCAAAGUUGAGCCAUGUCAAUGGAAAUAGACACUAACAUAUUAAAUACACAUGCUACGUAGAUACACCAGACAUUUGCAAGAUGGUCCCUCUAAAAUCAAACCUACUAUGGCAUAUCGGGUUGAGACUUGAGAGUAUCUAUUCAAGCAACGAAAAUAGAGGAAGUGACAAGUAAGGAAGACAAAUCGAGAAAUACAGAGAGAGACGCUUAUCACAGAUAGGAUAAGAAGGCAAAAAUAAAUUAAGCAUGUCAUCACAGAAAUCGGAGGUACUUCAAAAAUCAACCGAGCAAGACGACGUAGAAAUGCCGAUAACUUUGUUGUCCACUGCUAUUAGAAGACAAUUCAUCCUCAGCUGAUCAUCUACGGCCUCAGCAAUCGUCUGGGUCUAGAACGAUUAAAUUUUGUUAGUCAUUUGCAAAGAUCAUCAUCGUCCUAUGUAAAAUAUCAUGCCACAUGACUAUUAAUGAAAAAUCUACCAACAUAUGUUUGGCAAUGCAUUUUGAUAGAGCUUAUAAAAACACGAUCUUUGGCCCAUUCGCUUAAUGACACCUAAAAAUGAGAAAAAACUAAUUUACAUUGAUUUCAUUUUUUUUUAUUACAGUACAGCAAUUAGUUUAAAAACCGAAAAGGAGUUUGCAAUUGAAAAUAGGAGUACUGGGCGAGCUAAAAUAGAAAAGGUAACAGAAUGAAAAGGUUAAAAAAAAAAAAAACAGUUAGACAUUCUCUCUUAAAUUGUCCCAACUAAUAAAGUAGAACUUAAGAAUUAGACCCGAUAUUUUGGCACUUUUAAGUGAAAUUGCCAUUAUUAUUCUUUGAACAAUGCCACAGCAACUAAUUUUCAAUGAUAAUAUAACCAUUUUGAUAUAUUUUCAAGCUAUAACAAAGUAAUAUGCACUGGGCCUAAUAGUUAGUAUAAAGUUCGGAAAAGAAGAAAAGUGAUUUUUCCGUACCGUGGGAGAUCGAUGGUUAAAUGGAGAGAAUAAAAGAAACGUGAAAAUUUUGGGUAACUCACCAUACAUAAACUCGAUGAAGGGUUCGAGGGAGAUAGGGGCAAGGGGAUGGUCCCACUCCAGCGCUUGCCACGUCAUCUUGUCAUCUAUCAAAAUCUGUCCAAGGGAGGGGGGAGGAGAAAGGAGGCCAUUGUCAAGUGGGUGCAGUCGCAAAGGAAUACUCUUCAGCUCCCGACAAUCUUCUAUUUCAAUAUAUUGGAUGUGAUCGCAACUCUCCAUCCGAUCACAUAUCCUCUUCAGUUUCGGAAGAUUCCCUAGAGUCAGGCGUGUUAACUUUGGGAAGGAGGAUUGCGUCAUGUUGGGAGCAGUGCCUAUUAUCACCUCUAUGCCCUUGCAGUUUUCGACUCUUAUAUCUUGGAGGAAAGGGAUGUGGAGCAACAUAUCAUGCGUUAGCAGCACUCCCUUCAUAUUAUUGCAGCUGUAAAUUGUAAUAUGUGUAAGAAGACAAGUGGCACCGAUUGGCAAUGGCCCACCUAUUAUUUCCUUUAAUUUCUCACAAUAAACUAGUCCAAUGGACUUCAGAUUUGGAAGGCGAGUGGUCAGCCAGUCCCAUUCCACCACUCUUUUCAUUUUACGACAACGCCGCACUUCCAUAAAGUUUAGAUUGGGCGCAGCUAAAUCGAUCCCUUCCAAUUCCUCUGAGCCUAUGAUUGUAAACCAGCGUAGAUGUGGAAGCCCCUGUCCCUCCACUGAGAGAUGCUUCAAUUUGGAACAGCAAUUGAUGUCCAGUCCCUCCAGCUGAGGGAAGUGGACAGCACCCAGCUCCUCCAACUUCUCCCAUUGAUUUAUAACCAGCUUCUCUAGAUUCUCCAGUGGGCCUACCUCACUCAAACUUGUCACCCUAUUGCCCCCUCCUACUUCUAGUACUUGCACAUUUCUUGGAAGUAAAUUGCGGCCAUCCCCACCGAUAAGUCCAUCUACCCUUGCUGUAAUAGCGUAGCGACUUUCAAUACAUACACAUAUCCUCUGAUCAUGCCAAUUGGAAACGCCUUGUUCAUGAGGUUUUACAAAAAACAAUUCAAAGAAAUUAGAUACUUCCUUGACAUAUCAAAUUAAAGAGAGAAUGUAAACAACAUGAAGAAAUUAGAGACUUCCCUGACUAAUCAAGCUUAAUCAAAUUAAACAGAAAGAAAUUCAAUAUGUGCAAAUAUGCAAUUGGAAGUCCAAGAACAGGUGUUCCUUUCUAAAAACGAGUAAGACUAAUUUACACUGGUUUAAUUUUUUGAUUAAAGUUCAGCGAUUAAUUUAAAAAGCAGGUUAGAGUUUGAAAGCGAAAAUAGAAGUACUAGAUGAGGGAAAACAGAAUAGGCAACAAAAAGAAAAUGUAAAAAGCAUUUAACAUGCUCCUUUAAACUCGCCCAACUCAUGAAGUAGAAGUCAGGAAUUGAUUCGAUAUUUUGGCACUUUUAAACGUCAUAAUUUACCAAAAUGAAGAAGAAGUGUAGUAUUUUUAAGGUACAAUAGGUUAAAAAGAGAGAGAGAGAGCGAGGACUGUUCAGUAUUAUCCUUUCAAAGUGAAAUGUGUGUUUUCUUUAUCGAAAUUUCAAUAAUAAUAUAACCAUUUUGAUAUACUUUCGAGUUGUGAUAAAAGUCAUACAUACUGGGUCUAACAGUGUGGUAUUAAGUUUCCCCAAAAAAAAAGGGAAACUUACUGUACCGCGGGAGUGCAUCCUUCGAAAGGCCCACAGGAGAUGGAGAGGAUAAAAGAAAAUUAAAAUUUUGCGGGUGACUUACCAUAACGCCUCGCUAAGUGUUGAAGUGAAGGAUGGAAACAGGAAUGGUCCCACUCCAGCGACUGCCACGUCAGCUCAUCUAUGCAAAUAUCCUUAUCUAUGCAAAUAUCAUCAUCAUAGCAAGGACCCUUGUCAAGCAGAGGAAGCCUCUUCAGCUUCGGACAUUCGUCUAUUCUCAUAUAUUGGAUUGAAAGCCAACUCACGGUCCCUUCACAUAUGGUCUUCAGCUCUGGAAGAUUCCUUAGAGUCAGGUUUAUUAAAUGGAGGGGCUGCGUCAUGUUGGGAACGAUGCCUAUUAUCGCCUCUAUGCCCAUGCAGUCUUCGACCCUUACCUGUUGGAGGAAAGGAAGGUUGAGCGACAUGUCAUGCGUCAUCAGCACCCUCUUCAGGUUGCUGCAUCCUUCUAUAUCAAUCUUUGUAAGACGACAAGUUGCACCGAUCCGCGGUAGCCCACUUACUAUCUCCUCUAAUUGCUCGCAAUCUUUUAUUUUAAUGGACCUCAGAUUUGGAAUGCGAGUGGCCAGCCACUGCCAUUUCACCACCCACUUCAUUUUAGGACACCUGUACACUUCUAUAUUAUAAAGAAAAGGUGCCGCUAUAUUAAUCUCCUCUAGUUCCUCCAAGCCCUCGAUUUUAAACCAUUGUAGACAUCGGAGCUCAUGCCCCUCCUUCAAGAAAUGCUUCAGUUUGGUACAUUGAGUGAUAUUCAGUCUCCGUAGGCAAGGGAAGUGGACAGCACCCAGCUCCUCCAGCUUCUCCCAUUCCUCUAUCUGCAGCUCCUUUAGAUUAUUAAGUGGGCCUACCUCGCACAAACUUGUCAACCCACCGCACCGUUCCACUUCCAGUACUUGCACAUUUUUGGGAAGUAGAGCGCGGCCAUCCCCACCAAUUUCUCCAUCUACCGUUGCCGCAAUACUAUGGCAACUUUUGAUGAUUAUACGCCUCUCGUGCUUAUCCCUAAAGAGGUAGUAUCCUGAUGCACUCAGUGCCAGGUCAUAUGGUUGGGAGCUGUUUUGCUCGACAAGCCUCACACAUGCAUUGAAUGUUUCAACAUUUGAAACAGAGCAAUAGAGUCCUUCCACUAUUGUUAAUACUAUCUCUUCCUCCUCUUCCAUAAUGUAAUCAAUCACCAGAUAUUGCAAGUUCACCAGCUUCCCCAACACUCCUUCUGGUAACGCCCUGAUCUUUGUGCCAAGCAGGUCAAGGUACGUCAGGUUUGCCAACAUCUCCAUCCCCUCCGGCACUUCUUCAAGCAUUGCACACCAACUAAGGUCCAACUUUUUAAGGGAUCCCAAUUUUCGUACACAAGGUAUACAAUGUAAUUCCUCACAGUCUUGGAGUAACAGUGUUUCUAAGCUCUCCAAGUGAGAGAUAGUGUCCGGUAAUUCCGUGAUAUUCGUUUUGCUGAGAUCUAGAACCUUCAACCCCUUCAUAUGCUUGAAGAAAGAUUUGUGGAUGGCUUCCAAAUAGAAAUUGUUAUUCAACGACAGCCUCAUAAGUUUAGGGCAAUUUGGCGAUAUGCCAUAUGGGAUUUCUUUUAUAUCGUUGCUUUGUAAAAAGACUUUCUCUAGGUGAUCAGUCCAGAACUUAUCCUUUGGAAUUUCUUUCAAUCCCAUGUUGGCCUUGACCAUGUGAGUUGUGCUCGUCACUAUUUGCAAUGCCAUGUGCCUGAUCAAGGGGUGUACUAACAGAUAUUCUCUGUGUUUAUCAACCCCCAGACAAGCCUUUUUUAGUUUGUCCAAUAUGGUGUUACCCUUCUUGUGCAAUUCUUGCCGGGUGGCUCUUCCACUUAACAAGCCCUCAUCUAUGAAAGACUCUAUCAAAACCUUUUCAAUGUUUUCUUCUUCUUCAAAAUACCACUCUCCAAAACAGAGUAUUAAAUGCAAGAAACACUGCUGCACUUGAGGAUUACCCAAGUUCAUGUAACUGAGUUUCAGUUUCUUGAACACACCAAGUUCCAUCAUCGAAUUUUCUAAUUGCUGCAACAAGUCUUUCCAUUCACGCACUCCCUUUAGUCCCCUCAUCUGAGUUGCAAUCUCAAUGAUCCCAAGUGGCAAACCUCCACACUUAUCCAAAAUGGAGCUUGCAAUUUUUUUAACUUCUGAAGGGAGUUCUCUCCCAAAGCAAAGCUUUCUUAAAAAUAAGACCCAACAAUCAUCUUGCAUAUCUAGAGGACUUAUUUCGACUUGUUUUUGACAGACCAUCUAUCAAAUACAUCUAGCGAUUGAGUUGUCAUUACCAACUUAAUGCUUCCUUUCUCAACUGGAAUUCCCACAUCCUCAAUGUCAAAGUGCAUCCACAGACCAUCUAAACAUAAGACAGCUCUCUUGCUCUUCAAAUGCCUAUUCAAUAUGCAUGCCCUCCUCUUCACAUCCUUAUCCAUUGAGAGAUUGUCUAGUCCGACUGCAUUGGCAAUCUCAUUUUGUAGUUCAUAGACAUUAAACUCCUGAGGUACAGUGACCCAAAACACAUCAUUGAAGGCAGGAUUCUCAAGUACUCUAUUAUGGACAUGCAUUAAAAUGGCUGUCUUGCCAACUCCUGCCAUUCCACAAAUGCCAAUGAGGAAAAUCUCAUCCUCCAUUAAAUAGCCGCAUAUCUUUUCGAUUGUCUUCUUACUUUCCUUGUCUACUAGCUCUGUUGUUACCAAGGGCAAACUUUUCCUACUUCCAGCAGCAUGUGUUGUCCACCCUUUUCGGAAGCUACAGUGCCCUAGAAUAUCUUUAACUUCUUUGCUCAAAUCAUUUAAUCUUUCUACCUGCUGUGGAGAAAGAGAUCUGCCUUCUCGGAAUGCUUGGACCAUGCUCCAGUAUUCUCCCCUUAUCCUUUUUGCUUUCCUACACCAUGUCUCCAGCCCAUCCAUGUCUGCUUCUUGAUUGCUUAGUUCUUCCAGCUUUCUUUUCAGAGUUGGCAUAUUCUUGUCGACCAGCCCACAAGCACUUGGUUGACUAUCCAUGAGUGCAUCAUCUGUCCUCGCAUCUAACAUCAAGGAAAUACUCAUAGUAUUUUCUAGAAACAUUAUGUUCACAAAACAAAAUGAAAUACGAUGAAGUGUAAGGUUGUAAAUAUAUAUAUAUAUAUAUAUAUAUAUAUAUAUAUAUAUAUAUAUAACAAAUUAUCGAGGGAGGGAAGGAGAAAGAAAAAAGAAGGGGGGGCGGGGUUUGUUGGGGGUCCUUGGGAUUGGGCGAGAGCACUUGCCCUGUUGCUGGGUUUAGUUGCUAUCGGUUUGCUUUGAGCUGUUGAUGGGUUCAGGUAAUAUGGGAUGGGUUGAAUUGAUAUUUUGGCCAGUAUGGGGUGGGUUGAAUCAUUAUUUACGCCUGUAUGGAAAGUGGUUUUCCCUGUAUUUUACAUUAAUAUAAAAAAAUGAAAAUCGAAGUAUGUAUUUUAGAAUAAAUUACUUGUGACAACGUAUCAUAUUUCAUAUGAAUCUUCCUGUUUUAAAUAAAGUGCGAUUCCAAGUAAUAUAUAUUAGUGUAAAAUGUAUGAACUCGAUAACAGUUAGGGAAUUUUUAAUGGUAGUUUUUACAUGACAUAAAGAAAUAUGUAUGAAAUCAACUCCAUUACUGUCAUAUUAAGAGAAAAUAGUAAAAUCUUUCAAAUAAAUAUUAAAAAAAAAAAAAGAGUUACAAAGAAUGUUUGAGAUUUCAAUAAUAGCUAAUUUGCAACAUUAGAGAUUAUUAAAACUAAACCUUUUUCUGGAUUAAACUCAUGGCAUUGAAUGGGGUAAGUAAUCCUAGUUAGAGGCAAAAUGAGUGGAGAGUGCAAGAAAAUACUACUUGCAAAGAGCAUAAGCAAUCUCUUUCAAUUUAGACUCCUAAGUGUCACUCCUAAAGGCAACACUCAAGAAUGAGCUUGUUAUUAUAUAUUUUUAUAGAUGCUAACAUUUAUGCAUCUAUUCUUUCAAAAUGUUUCAAGCGGUACAAUACUGGAAAAAUUUAGAUCAACCCCAUAAGUUAAAAGCAGAAGUUAAAAAUAAAAGUCCCCUUAACCAGAACCUAACUUGAAUCUUGAAAUUAAAACCUUAAAAAAAAAAAGGAGAUAUACCUCAUAUCUACAUCUAAGGUAUGAAGACUAAUAUCCCAACUGUUCUAUAAAAAAAGAACUAUACUUGCUUUCAAUUGGAUCAUUGAUUGGUGGGUGACCCAUUUGAAUGUCACUCAAACACGAUCGUAACUAAUAGCACCAGGAGAAAACUGAACCAUAUAUUAUCGAUGGCUUGGAGACAAUGCAUGACGAUAUUUUGUCCCAUUAUCGUACUUUCGUUAAUGUCCCAACAAUUCCAACCAUACUUAUUCAAAAAUAUGAAAACAAGCAAUAUUCAUAUAAUUUAAAUUUAAGAUGAAUGAAGGUGUUGUUAGUUAAAGUCUCAUAUAGGCGGCAUUUGAAUGUGAAAACAAUCAAUUAAAGGAUGAUUUGGAGGUAAGUAUGAAUCAUUGAAAGAGCAAAUAAUUUAUUAUAUGCUGUCAGAAAAGAAAUCAUAAAAAUAAUCAUAUGUUUAUGAUUUCUUUUCUGUCAUUACAUAUUUUGUGAUCCGUCGAGAAGCGGUCAAUUUAAAUUUUAGGCUCAUCUAAUACUUUUUAGUUUGAAAUUAAAGUAUUUAGAUAUGAUCAAAUGCAUGAUCAAAGAUAAUUCCUAUCUCUAUGCAGUUGAUAGACAUCAAAGGUUCCCAUGAAAUAUCUUUUACAGCACUUUAUUUUAAAUCACUAACGGUAAUUAGCAUAUAAACCCUUGUAAUUUUAUUUCCAAUUAAGAUUUCGUGUUGUUAAUUUUAUUGAAAUGCAUUGCUUGUCCAAGAAAUAUGAGAUCAGUACAUAUUUGGACUCGUUGAAAGGGAAACAAGGAAAUUUUCAUGAAUUUUGUGAAGUCUUCAAGACAAUACCAGUCCCCUCGACACAUCGAAAUAUUUUGGAAACUGGAAAGUGCCUACCAAAUGCAUGCUUACCCCUUCUAUGCAUCCUCUUUUUUUAAUUUGGAAGUGCUUUUGGUAAUUCGUUAGGGAAACAUGGAUGAAAUAAGAAAUGAUGUUCACAACUUUGGCACAUGAGAUUGAAAUUGAACCGAUGCCUAUGCAAACUGAUAUAAUUAUCCUUCUCCAAAGUCAGCCCACUAGCAAGGAAAGUUCACUGAUCAAGCGAUCUCAUAUACACCUCCCUCCCUCUCUCCCUCUCUCUCUCUCUCUCUCGCACGAAGCUCCCAAGGUUCACACGACUCUGUUCAUUUGUUCAUUUUCUAUUACUAUUAGGAAUCUAAAUGUCCUGCUAUAUCCAAAUUCUUAGGUAAGGAUUAGAAAACAAAUUCGGUGUCCUGCAUGAGCUUCUAACAUAUGGUGAAUUUCGAAGUUUCACAUACCUUCUGGAACCUCUGCAUUGGGUUCUCCCUCUUCUGCAUUUACUGGGGGUGGCGUGUGAGUCAAAGCUUGAGGUGCAAGGUCUCUGCCGCUGCUGGUAUGACUCAAAUUCCAUGGCUGAAUGUUAGAAUUAACGGCAUGAGAUUGAGGAGGUUGUGUCCAGAAUGAAAUGUCCCCAUGUGUGGUCAUGUUUUGAGUAGGAAGAUACUGACUGGGCACAUUCAUCUCAUGCAAUGGAUGAAAGUCUGAUGAACUUGCACCUACAAUGCUUAUGGCAUUAGAGCUCAGGUAUGGCAUGGCAACAAAUGAAGUCUCUCUCUGACCAUCUUCAUUGUUUGCAAUCACAGGCUGACCAUCUUCAUUGCUUGCAAUCACAGGCCGACCAUCUUCAUUGCUUGCAAUCACAGGCUGAUGCAGACCCACUUCAUCGUUAUCUGGUCUGCUGCUCGAUUCCACCACUGUUUUACCCUUCAUCGCCUUUUGGGCUUCUGAUCUCACUCGGCCAUCAACGUCCUUGCAGUCAUUGAUCCCAUAUCCUCCAACUCCGGCUAAGUGGGCCUUGAUCCUGGUCGCGCUUCCAGCAUAUGAAUUCCCACAGAAGUUGCAGUUCCAGUGUUUGUUAGGCAGCAAUUUCACAUACUUCCAAAAGGGGUCCAUCUCUCUAGGCAUUUUCUCUGUAUCCCACAAAAGAAUGGACACAUAAGUUUCAAGGAAGACCUUUGAAUUUUUUGGGUGAAGAAUGGCGCCGAGGCCUGUAAGAUAUUUAAUUAAUUUUGGACUUAGGAAUUGGGUCAAAAUCUUCAUCAAUCCCCAAUUCUUUUAGAAAAAGGCCCUGCUUCAGUGACUCCCACCAUCAUUUCUACCCAAGUUCUCUUUUCACUCUCGGAUAUGAAGAUGACAUGUUUAACUGGGUUCUGGAAAUUUUGCUCUUUAAAUUUGUAGCUACUUUUAUGUUUAUUUUUUCACUGUUAUCUUAUCUUUGGGAACGUGGUUUUCUUUCUUGUUCAAUGUUCAUGGGUGUGCGCACUCUUUCUUGGGUAAUAUCUCUAUCAUGCACUCUCCCUUCAGCCCCUAAUCUUGCCCCUUGACUCCGCUUACAGCAAAAUUUCAUGACCCAGGCUCAGCUGCACCCUCAAGUUUUUCCAGUUACUUGAGUUCUUUACAAACUAAUUCUAAGGAUACAAGGUAAACUUUCCAGUUUACAAGCAUCAUGUAUGACUUGACCGGUGGCUUCCAAAAGCUAGUUUGAGUUGAGAUUUGCAACGUAGUUCAGACAUGGAUCUAUAGCAUCUGGGACGAAGCACUUGACUGACCGCUCAGCUAAUUAUGAAAUUAAUUUUUUAUAAAGCAAUAGAAGUCUUCGUUCUGGGCUCACCGGCACCACUAUGUAGUAGAGAAUACAUUCCGAUAAAAAGAAAAUCAACAAAACCCAGACAACCCAUAAAUCGACGAUUACGGAGCGACAUAAAGUAGAGGAAUAGAGACCGAAGUGCAAAAAUUUGGGUUCACAGGAGAGAAAUGGGAGAACGAAAAGGGAGUAGAGAGAUUGAGAGAGAGGGAGUACCUCCGAGCUGGUGAGAAGAGGGCUUGGGGUUGAAUCCCUAAGAGAGCGUCCGCGAUGGAAAACAAGGUUAUAGCUGAAGCGGAGUAAAAAACCGGGGGCAACCCUCUGCUUUUGUGCAGAGGAAGGAGCCGAACACCUCGACGAACAUCGGAGACCUGCCUUGGACGAUCUAUAUAUAAUAAUCUUAAAACGUCUAAGACGUCUCAAGAAAAAGGUAAUCUAUAUGUAUUCCGGAUGGGUGGGUCCAUACUUGACUGAGCAAAACGUUUCGACUGUUCAGUAGAAAGUAAGGCCUUUAUUUUUAAUAAUAAAAAUUAAGAAAACGUCUAAAACGCCUUUAGAAAAAGGUGAUUUAUAUAUAUGUAUAUACAUUCCAAAUGGGUGGGUCCAUACUUGACUGAGCAAAACGUUUCGACUGCCCAAGAAAAUAUUCAGUGGUUCGUGCGCGCCACGUCAUCCGCUGACCUGGCGCGCACAAACCACUCACAUACCGAAACCUGUCCCAAGCGGGACCCCCUCGAAAAUGAGAAAAGAGCUCGUUUUCGGCUGGCUCGGCUCGGCUCCUGCAGUAGAAAGGACGGUCAGCGAUUCCUCCCGCUCAAAAUUUUUUCUCUCUCCUCACUUAAAUGGGCGGGUUCUCUCUCUCCUCUCCUCGUGAAAGAAAAAAAACGCUCAGAGCCUCCUCUGUUUCCUUCUCCGCGCAUCCCACCUCCUCCGGCUCCGUCUCCGGCUCCGCCUCCGUCUCCGGCUCCGUCUCCGCCUCCGGACCUCCGCCUCGGCCUGCACCUGCCCAAAAGCGUCGCUGGCCAUCUGCCUCUGCAUCUCGGUCUCGUUCCCGAGCGGCACCAGGCUCCCCGCCGCUGACCGGGCGUUGUCCCUGACGCUGGCCCGCUCGGUCGCGAGGGAGAUCUCGGCGGACUUGGGCGGGGUCGACGGCGCGGCGAAGAAGGAGAGGCCUGCUGCAUUUUCUCUCUCUUUUUUUCAACGGAGCGCGCGCUAUUUCUUCCCGCUUCUGCCUCUCUCUUCCUCAAGCACUCCUCUCCUCUCUGUCCCGAGCCCUCUCACUCACCCCAAGCGCCCCCUCCUCUCUGUCUCGAGCCCUCUCACUCACCCUAAGCGCUUCUCUCCUCGCCUCUGUCCUCGUCGCCGUCAUCGACUUUCCAGCCGUGGCUCCAGAAAUCGCCGGCUGCCGACUGGCCUCUCGAGCUUCUUUGUCUUCUACUCCUUAUUCGGUCCCGAUUUCGGGCCCAAGGAUUUUGAAGCAAAAGAGGUUUGCGAGGCUAGAUAUACUGGUGGCGGACGGCGAGAGCACGAUCGACCUGAGUCGUUACUCUUCGCUCGGUGAUUUCAGGCUCGACGUCGAAGCAGAGAAGGAGGAAGAACAAGAACGAGAUGAAGGAGAAGAAGGAGAAGAUGGGUCCUUGCUUUUCUGCUUCUGGGUUUAUCUCUUGAAGUCCGCCACUUUCCCUUGUACCAUUUUCCGUCAGGUAGAGGAAAGCCGCCGUUUUUCCAUCUUUUUUUCGUCCCUUUUUGGUUCGUUGGUUUUUGAUGGGAGGGACGGUGUUCGUUUCUCAAUUCUGUGAAUUUUUUUAUGUUUGGAGAGGUUGGGUGUUAUGAGUUGCUUGUUUGGCGGUUGUUUUAGUGAUUGAUCACUCACCGGUUGUUGGAUUUUGUGAUUUGAAGGGAUGCUUUGCGUUGGUUUGGAUCGAUCACCAUUGCUCGGCUCUCGGGUUGUGUCUGUUGGUCUGAUUACGAUGAGUUUGAAUUAUUGUGGAAUUUUCCCAAGAGUGUCUUUUCACGUUCACUGAAGUUUAUUGCUGUGUUGUUCCUGUUAGAUGGUAUAUUGAGUGUCAAUGCCUGUUGGUGGAACCAAAGCUUAUUGAUUUUCGUGGAUUUGUCUGGGAUCAAUCCUUUGUAAUGCGUCAAGUCUUGUUUUUUUUUUUUCCGUCCCCUAUCGCAAUCUAUCUUGGUUUGUGACACAAGGGACUAGUAAAAAAUGGUGAUUAAGGGAUGAUGUAUACCAUAAUCACAAAUAGUGUUGCCUGUCACUUCUCUUUUCAGCUCAAAGUUCUAUGGUUAAUGGGGUUAAAAAUAUUCUUUCACACAGGUGAACUCAGAUGUCAAGGAUGGUUUUCCAAUUCUCGUUUUGAAUGGAGAUAAGAGACUCACGCUUCUGCCACUGCUUCCUCCACAAAAAGAAUCUCCUGAUUCUGAGGUUUCUCCUUUUUCAAGUGAAAAAUUGUACGCUUCUUCAGAUAGCGAGUUUCCAUCUGGAAAAUGGGUCCAUGUUGGCUGUCAGGUAUGUAUAUCAAGUGUCUGAAUUACUCUUUCUACACAUGGUUUUUAAACUGCUCGUUCCUUUUGAGUUGAUAACUGCUGAAAUUUUUAUGGCUAUAGCUGAGCACAUUAAUGUCUGUCAUGUUUACCACUUAUUGGUUUGAGCUGUCGAGCUGUCGAACUGAAGCAAGUUGUUACUGAACAUUUUAUCUGUCUGUUUUACCUUUAACCAAUCAUUUUCAGAUGUAAUUGGAAUUGUAUGAAUGGUGCAUGAUCUUCAAAUAUAUAAAAGUAAGGCGUAUUGGAUAGAUAUUCAUAUAGCACGUAGAACUGUUGCACUUUCAAUGUGACUGAAAAGAACAAGCUUUUAUAGAGUACAUACAUGGAGUAUGAUUCUAUUCAUAUUCAUUGGAGUGCCUGUGAUUAACUAAUUGCAUGCAUUAUCUGGAGGAUCUUGGACAAGAAUUGUUAUCUGCAAAAUUUCAUGUAAGUCUAUGUCUCUCAUUGUUGGUCUGAUGAAAGAGAUAAAGUAGAAUUUUAGAUUGCACAAAUGGUGCUCAACCGAAAGUCUCUUGUCAAUCUUAUGAUGUCAUUGUCUUUCCUAAGUUUCUUACUCUCAGGGCCUUUUUCCCUUUGUAAAUUGCUCAAAGUUCUAUCUUCAUGGCAGGUCUCAAGUGAACUUUUACGGCUUCACAUUGACGGGGAAGUGGUGGAUGAGAAGCCCCUAAGUGCCACAAAAGAUGGAGAACCUAGCCCUUUAAGGAAAAUAAGUUUGGUUAGUACCAGUGGAACUGAUGAUGGUAUAGAAGGUUAUUUAUACAGUCCAAAGGUCUUGCACCCUUCUUCAUCCAUUGAGGAUCAUUAUAAGGUACCUUCUGUCGAGUUUGUUUGACCUUAUUCAUGUGGAUAUGAUUUCUUUAAUGAAUAUUUUCCUGUAAUGCCAGGACUCACCUGUACACUUAGCUAUUGACAAGUCAUUUGCUUCUGACAUAGAAGAAGGUAGUGAUGGUAUCUGGAGUAUCGUGGGUGGAAAGGUAAGUCGUUGUAUCUUCCUUUUAAUCCUAUCGCCACUACAUUUUUUAAAAUUUUUUUUUUUGACAAAAUCUAAUUGAGUGUCACCUCCAGUGUUAAGCAUUUGUCGUUGAACUGCCUUGACGAAGUUGAAUCUUUUUUCUGUGACGUCAGGAAGCAAUAUUUCUAUAUUAAUAGCUUCCGACUUUUUUGUUGUUUUUCUUUCAAUAGAAAAAAGUUGGCUCUAAAGCUGCCUCUUUGGAAAAAGUAUCAAUUUCUGAUAUGGCUUAAGUAUUUGCAAUUUCAGCUUUUCCAAUUGUUUCCCGUUGUGCUUCCAAAGCAAGAUUGCGAAUUGGAGAUUCCUUGUAAUUGUCCAUCCAAAAUGAAUUUAUAUUAAUGAUUGACUGACUGGGUCAUAGCUUUCCUUGCAAGUGUGUCUGGGAAAUGAGACGGGCGGAGAAAGCUUACUCAAUGGUGUUUUACAUUCAGCGUGGUUGUAUGAGUCUGUUCUUCCUUCUUUGAAACCCAAUAGGCUCCUUAUAUGCAAUGUUCAAUUUGCUCCUUAAAAGUCAGGUGCCAUGCUCUAGCUACGGCCUUCUUCCAAUAUGCAGUGACAAUUGGUUUACUGAAUUGCAGGCAUCGUGUCGGAGGAACUUUGUGUUGGAUGUUGUCUUGCUAGAUGCCUUUGGCCAGAUUGUGAAUAAGGAAAUGGAGGUUUGCUUCUUCUUGCUUCUUACUGUGGCUCUCUCUCUCUCUCUCUCUCUCUCUCACCAACCCCACCUAAAAACAACUAUCAUAAGAGAAAAAAAGGAAAAAAAAGAAAAAAAUCAUAGAUAAGAUGCAGUUAAUAAUUGACUUUUUUUUGUGUUUCUUUUUUGGUAGGUUGUUGCUUCACUUUUGUAUGCUAACAGUGGGUCACUGGUGGAGAAAACCAGUGAUGAUGAAGCCCCGCCGUUGACAAGCUAUGAUGGAAUCGAAUUCGAUUCCUAUGAGAAACCUAGCAAAUUAUUGCAUGGCCACGCUUCUUUUAAGCUCAAGAUAUCUCAGGUAGAUGUUGGUUGGGUGAUUUGUACUCUUUCGAAGUCCACUGGAAAUGGAGUGGAGUUCCUCAACCGCCACCUUUCGGCAAAGCUCUUCCAUGACAAGGAGAGCUUGCACCCUCUGCUUGAGUUCCUUCAAGUUCAUUGCUACAAAGGAAAGGUAAGCCCAUGGGCAGAUAACACUCAUCUCACUCUCUCGGAUCUACUUCUUAUGCGCCGCGUGUAUCACUCAAUUGUAUUAACAAGAUUGUGUAAAUGACAACUCAGAGGAAACAUUGCAACAUUCACAUAACUUCAUGACUGUUGAAAGGACAGUUCAGAGUUGCUCAUAUUUUAGAUGCAUGGACUGAAUCCUUUUUUUUUUCACUAACAAUUACUUGAGACUCAUUUAUGCUGAUCUGUGAUGCAGAACGUGAUGGUCAACACAAGAAUUCAAAAUGUCUUCUCGCCCCAACAUGUCCUGAGGAAGGCAGAGGAGUACCUCUCUGCCCUCAAACCUGAGACACCUCACUCUCAGUUCGAGCACAAGUUUCAGGAAAUUGGGCUAGAGAGGGGCUGGGGGCGACACCGCCGAGCGUGUGCUUGAAAUGAUUCGGCUUCUUCUGGAUCUACUUGAGGCUCCCGAUCCAUGCACCCUCGAGAAUUUCUUGGGAAGAAUCCCCAGGGUCUUUAACGUUGUUAUCAUGUCGCCUCACGGUUACUUUGCCCAAGACGAUGUCCUUGGAUAUCCCGAUACCGGUGGCCAGGUCAUUAAUCGUCUCAAAUAUUGAUUUAGCAUCUCUUGCCAGUAUUUCUACAUGCAAUUCCAUCAUCAUGCGUUGUUCACAUUUUGUAGGUUGUGUACAUCUUGGACCAAGUUCGUGCAUUGGAGAGUGAGAUGCUUCACUGUAUCAAACAACGAGGGCUGGAUAUUACUCCUCGGAUCCUCAUCGUAGAUUCUUGCUUUUUUACUGAUAUUGGAAUAGUUUUUUGCUGGUCAAUCCAACUAACUCGUUAUGUUUGUUUUGUGUCCUGCCCCUCUUGGCUGCAGGUCACUCGUCUUCUUCCUGAUGCAGUAGGAACCACGUGCAACCAGCGUCUUGAAAAGGUUUUUGGAACAGAAUACUCCUACAUUCUUCGAGUUCCCUUUAGAACGGAGAAAGGGAUGGUGUGAAAGCGGAUUUCACGAUUUGAAGUGUGGCCUUACUUGGAAACAUACACCGAGGUAUAUUAGCUCAUAAGAUUAUACUUUACGAGGAUUUCUUGUUGACAUUCCAAUCGCUUUUACACUUCCUGGACUGUACCGAGUCGUCCAUGGCGUUGAUGUUUUUGAUCCCAAAUUCAACAUCGUGUCACCAGGAGCUGAUAUGAGCAUUUAUUUCUCCUACACGGAGGAGAAGCGGAGGUUGAAAUCUUUCCAUGCUGAGAUCGAAGAACUUCUGUUCAGCGAUGUGGAGAACAAGGAACACCUGUGAGUUUUUGGAGUUUUUUUCCCCUCCCAUACUGGACUUGGACCUACAUUAGCAUCCUGUGUUUUGCAUGAUAAUGUUCAAGCUCAAACAAAAGCUGACAUGGAUGUGUUGGUUAAUGUCAAAACAGAUGCGUAUUGAAGGACUGGAACAAGCCAAUCUUGUUCACCAUGGCAAGACUGGACCGGGUCAAGAACUUAACCGGGCUGGUCGAGUGGUACGGAAAGAAAACCCGCCUGAGAGAGCUGAUCAACUUGGUUGUGGUCGGUGGUGACCGAAUGAAGGAAUCUUAGGACUAGGAACAGCAAGCCGAGAUGAAAAAGAUGUACGGGCUGAUUGAGACGUACAAUUUGAAUGGCCAGUUCAGGUGGAUCUCCUUCCAGAUGAACCGGGUGAGGAAUCGAGAGCUUUACUGGUACAUCUGCGACAUGAGGGGAGCAUUUGUGCAGCCCGCUCUCUACGAGGCUUUUGGACUGACCGUGGUGGAGGCCAUGACAUGUGGAUUGCCGACCUUUGCAACUUGCAAAGGCGGUCAGAUCAUUGCGCACGUCAAGUCUGGAUUCCACAUUGAUCCUUAUCACAGGGAUCAGGCAGCGGAGAUCCUCGCGGACUUCUUCGAGAAGUGCAAGGUGGACCCAAGCCACUGGGACAAGAUCUCACAGGGGGCGAUGCAGAGAAUUGAGGAGAAGUAAGGACCGGGAUUCUUGUUAGGUUCAAUCUUUGAUAGGAAAAAAGAGCACAUUUCAACUUGUUCAAGAAACAAGUGGGUAACAUGUGGUGCUUUGUUUUUGGUAGGUAUACAUGGCAAAUUUACUUCGAGAGGCUGCUCAACUUGACGGCGCUGUACGGCUUCUGGAAGCACGUCUUGAAUCUCGAUCGUCUCGAGAGCCUCCGCUACCUGGAAAUGUUCUAUGCCCUAAAGUAUCGGAAAUUGGUAAGAGACUCGGCUUCUCAUCUGAUCAUGAGCGCGACAAUCUGCAUGCAUAUCUUGACUCCUUGUUCGGAUAUUCACACUGCUCCUUUGUCUUGACAGGCUGAGUCGGUUCCCCUUGCCGUUGAGUGAGUUAGAGGUGAACAAAAGGGCAGAUCUCAAGAGGCAGACAGCUCCAAAUUCUCUCGAGAGUUGAGGAAUAAUUGCCAUUGCAUUGGAUUGGAAGAGAGCCUUUUCUUUUGCUUUUCUUUUUGCAACUGCUUUCGUCAAUCUUUCUUUUGCUUCUCUCUGCUGUGAAUGUAUGUUGGGUUAGGUUCUUCAAAAAGUCAAUUCAAUGAAUUCACGUUCAACCAUUUUUCCUUCGCUUUUAAGCUAGCAAUGUGCAUCCAAAUGUGUUGCAUCGACACAACACAUUGUCAAAAUUGCCUUCUAUUUCUGAGGUAUUCUAUUUCUAUCUACACCUUCAUGUGUAAAAGAAGAAAAAAACUGGCGGAGGCUAAAACCAUCUCCCAUUACCGAUGCGCCUACCCAGAAAUAGAAUGCAAAGAGUUCCAUACCCUCCAAAUCGUGCAUCAAUCCACUAGUCAUGUAGCUACUCCCGUAUGGGUCUUGUAAGUUCCUUUUUCAUGGCGGCUUCUCUUGGAUAGAACAUAAUUGCCAGCACCAAAGAGAAUGUAAGGCCAACUAUCCCGCCAAAUGGUUGGAAAGGAUGAGUCCCCGUUAUCCAAAGGGGGAAGUUGGGGUUGUAGAUCAAAAAGCCACCUGAUUGUAGAGUGCAACUUGAGACUAAUAUCCCUGCGUGGAGCCCAAUUGGAACACAGGCUACCUUCACCGAUUUGUUGAAGCCCGGCCAAGCUUAGUGAUAAGAGCCACAGCCCAGGUAUUGCCCAUGGAGACCUGAAAUGCGGCGGAUAAGUCAAGUAUCUUUGAUGUUGACUCAAAGGGAAGAUCAGGUCAGAAGCAAAUUGAUCAAGUGCAUGACGGAAACAUGAACCAGGUUCCAAGCAGAUGCUUUAACCUAAAAGAGAAAGGAUGAAAGAUCAAGCUAAGAAGAAAGAACGUUGUCCUCAUUGUAGCUGCUAAAGAAUGUGACAUGACACUAACAGAUCUAAGCCUUUCAAGAAGGCAAGUUUGGCAAGUCAUAAGUUUGCCUUCAUUGUCAGAAUGUUUAUUAUGUAAACUUCUCUCGAUAAAAAAACAAAAAAUUUGCAAGCAUGUUCAAUCUAGAACCAAGAUUUUAGUAAGAACAGGUUAGCAGUGUUGCAUGAUUACUUUAAAAUAGAAAAGGGUGGUCACCAAGUUAAAACCUGAUUUCCAGGAGUGCUGAUUUACUUGUCAUAUUUUGAGUAACAUGCUUUUCCUGGCCCCAAUAGACAUUUUCCCGCAACAAAUGAAGAACAGAAAACUGAAGGAGAAAAUCCAAGGACAAAAAUGAGUCAAAAAGUUGGAAGGAACAUGACUUCAUUAAAGCAGUGUACCUCCGGAACAGGGAGAAUGCAAGCCCUGACAAAAUAAUUCCCGGGUGAUAUCCAAGAUCAGCAGCAAUGUCUUCAGUUAACCAUGAUCUGAAAAGCAACUCUUCCGAAAGGGCAACAGAAGUUGCUGUAACAGCACCUCGACCGACCAAGAUGAGAAUUUGCCCAUAUGACUUGAGCCUUGUCAUGGCAUCUAAUGACAAUGAAUGAAGACUUGGAGGCCAAGAAAAACUCACGCAGCCUAAUAAUGAAUUAACAUACUGUACAUCAUCAACAGGGGCUUUGCUUAAUCAACGAAAAAGAAGGCAAGGCAUAUGCCUUGGCAUGGACAUACAAUACCAGUCCAGCAACUAAUGACAGCACAAUUGCUUUUCCUCUAACCACAAACAGCACGAUUUUUUGAAUCAUAUAAAAAUCUAUUGAACAACUACAAGAAAACAUAUUUUCACUAAAUCCAAUAGACACAAGGAUGGAUUGGGUGCCCCUAUGGCUUCAAUACAUCCAUGACAAGUCUUGCCUGAAAGAAACAGAUUCUGCAGCACCUUGAAGGCCCCUUUCUGAAAUCUGAGGACAAUCUUCCACCACAAGCAACUCUAACUUUUGUGAUCCCACAAGUGGCUUCAGGCCAUCAUCGGUGACUCCUAGGCACUUUACCAAUCGCAAGGUCCGCAAAGAAGGAAAGCGGAUAACAUGCUGCAGUCCCUCGUCACUUACCUCUUGGCAUCUGACAAACUGCAAGAACUCCAAAUACUGAGCAGAGCACAGUGCCUACGAGCUUGCUUUUCUUCUUAUCCAUGUUUCUACCACCCCACUCAACAGUUUCUUUAAGUGUUCCCCAUUCCUUGAGCAGCUUUAGGGCACCCGACAGCCCUAACCCCACUGCAGCUUCAUGAAUUGUCUCAUCCAGAACAACUUCCUCCUCACCCUCAUUAACAGGACCUUCAUCAUUACCAAAUUCUUUAACUUCUGUCCAGCGUCCGGGCUCAUCUUAUACUUCAUUAUCUGCUUUCGUCUCAUCCAUGAAGACAUCUUCUGUGACAGGCUUAUGAGAAACUGGAACGAGGGGUAAUGGCACAAUUUCAGUAACUUGAUAAGAAAAUAACAUCACAUAUUCUUUCAGACACCAAAGACCAUAUCAAGCAAUUGGUGGAUAUAACACUGAUUUGAAGAGGAAGUAACUUCAAUUACAUGAAUGAAAUCUCAAAAUUGCAAUGCAAGCCCAAUAUGCAUGUCCCUCUCCCUUUCUCAGUAGAACCAACAUCAUUCUUAGCCAGCAUAUAUCCUGAAAACUAACCGUGGUUUUAAAACUAAGCAACUCCAAUAUGGCCAAAACAGUUGAAUAAGUCCACCGCUCUUCAAGACAGCAAUCCCCUCGACCAGCGAUUAGGAAUUUAGUUUGGAAGUUAAAAUGCAUCCCAAAUAAACAAGCUACUGUGACUGCAUGAGCAACAGACUGCAAGUUGUAUGUGAAAAGUUCACUUGUUUGCAAGUUGUCCAGGAUGUUGUUCAAUGAGGCACAUCAAGUGCACUGCUUGUUCGCACAUACACAGAAGGCAAAUUCUAAAAUAAGUCACUCACAAACAAUCUUUCAGUAUGCAUACAGUGAAAGAACAAGAAAUGUUGCUCAUUGACCAUCCAAACAAUACCAGGAUUCUAAACUAAACAGCCAACUUAAACUAGUUUUGACCCAAUAAGCAGCAAUGCUAUCCAAAUCAGCAAAAGGCAGUAAUUUGAAAAAUCUGGAGAACAAAAUAAGGGUUCCACAGUUCAGAAAGAAAAUGUGAUCGCAAAUUGUCCAGGCCAACACAGAAUUAAUCGAAUGUAUACCUUCAUCAACCUCGAGGCCUGAAACAAAACCUUCUAUUUCUGUCAUGACAACCCUGCUUUCCUGUGAUUCUCCAAUCACGACACUCUGAUUUUCUGCAUUUUGUGCGCUGGGAAUGCUACUGGCACGAAGAGCUAUCGCUUUAGGACCAGAAGCCCCCUCCUCUUCUUGCUUCUUUAGAGCCAAUUUCCUAGCUCUCUCUAAAGAUUUAUAAAGAUCUUCAUCAUCAUCAGCAACGACCAUGUUUUCGUCAUUCUCCGUCUUAACAGGAAGAGUUUGCUCCACCCGCAGUAACCUAGAUGCCUCCUCUGCUUUAGCAUAGGCCAAUUGGUAGGCAUUCUUUCUCAUCUCAGCCUCGAUUUUCUCUUGUUCCUCUCUGCUAGCCUGCCUCCUCCCAUCCUUACGUGAUCCAAGAUCUCCAACACCCAACCCUGCCGAAACUGCUUCCACUUCAAGGGCAUCUAAGUCCAACUUCUCUUUCUUCCGUAAGGAUUUCUUUUUCUUGGGCUUUCUGAAUCGAAGCAAUUCUUCUUGAGUGUAUUAAUUGGACGAGGUCUUGGCAGAUGAGGUGAGAUCUUUACAAUGACUAUUUGAAUAAACACCCUGUAGCCUCCUUCUUAGCUGUAUAUGAAGUACAUGAAACUUUUUUAGAACGACCAAGCAGACCUCAUUCCUAUUCUAACUAAUGCUGAACCACAAUAUGCAUAAAAACUAGUUACCUCUUCCAAUUUCCUUUCAGCUUAUAGGUCAAACAUCCACUUGAGUCAAGAGGUACCCCUGAAACCAUCAAAAGAAGUGGGAACGCAAUAGCUAGAUAUGACACUUGUAAUCAGAAAAGAGAAAAAAAACUAACCUCAUCUUGAGCCGGAUCGUCAUAUUGUGGUAGUAUUUUCUUCUCUGAUGCAGGGUCAUCACUGAAUCUAAAAAUGACAGUGCUAAUAAUAAGUUGAGUGUAUGCAUAUACCAAUAGGGAAACCGAGAUGCAAGUGUGGGACAAAGACAUGUGACAUGCAAUACACAGUUAAUGCACCUGCCUAACAUCUGGUCUAUGUUUGUCAAACAUAUGAACUUGAUUGAAUCCAUACCUUCUGCAUUGACAUCAAAUCCAGCCCAUAUUGCUUAAGGGGAUAUUCAUACCCACGGAUCCGCUUGCCCCAUAACAUAACAAGUAUCGUAACAGCAAUGUAAAGGCCAAAAAUGCAAGCAAAAUCAGCAAUUCCGGAGGAGCUAUGCGACAUCCAGCUCUGCACAAGUGUUGGAAAUAGAGGAACAACAACAGGCGACCAGAGAACAAGAACCAUGGCAACGAACCCCACAAUCCUGAGAAUAUCCCAGCAGAAAAUUGCUCAGAAUAUAUAGCAAAUUGCAGAAUAGACUUGGGAACCCAUUCAAACUACAGAAACUAGAAAAAGUGAUAUAAAGAACAUGUGUUUUCGAAAGAAUUCUAAGAUAUCACAUUCCGUGUGCAAUAUCUGUUCCAGGCCAGGGAAGAUUAUUGUUGAUUUCUUAACAUGUGUUACCUUUGCAUCAAAAAAUACAGAUCUCUUAGUUGAAAAAAACUAUCUGGAGGAGCUGUUCAAGACGGGAAACAAUGUGAGAAUCUGACUAAGUUCUAUGGAUUAUUUUGCCUGUCAGACCACAUUUACCAGAAAUCUGAAGCGACUAAGGGAAGAUUAUUGUUGAUUCCUCAGCUCACACUUUCUGGAGCGACUAAGACAAUGUUCACAUUUACCAGAAAUCUGACACAGGCAACUAUGAUAGCAAACCGAUAAAAAAAAAAAAAAAAACACAAGGAACUACAGCCUCUCUUACCACACGGAGAGCAACAACGAACGGAAUUCUAGAACUGACCUUACCGCUGACCACGUCGGCAGCGAAAUUACAGACGGCGUCGAGCGUGCUCUCAAUCUGCACCUUCAGGAUCCAGUCGGCGCGAGAUCCGACUUCCUCAACCAGUGGUGCCCGACCAUGGGCCCUCGUCCGGGUUCGCCAUCGCACCCUUCUCCAGCUCCUCCAUCUCCUUGAACGCGGCCUGGAACUGGGGCUCCAUCUCCUCCAUGAACUCGUCCGUGAAGCCAAUCCGGCUCACGUCCAGGAAAAGCCCUAGCUCCCGGUGCUGGUACAGUCGGUUCACGUACCUCCUCCACAGCAAGCGGCAAUCCUUCUCCAGCCCGCGCCUCUCCUUCUUCUCCGCGCCGUCGACCCCACCCAGGUCCGCCGAGAUCUCUCUCGCGACCGAGCGGGCCAGCGUCAGGAACAACGGCCAGUCAGCGGCGGGGAGCCUGGUGCCGCUCGGGAACGAGACCGAGGCCGCCUUCCUCUUGCCGGAGGCCGAUGGCUUCGCGGCGGAGGCCGGCGGGAAUCCUUCUCCAGCCCGCGCCUCUCCCUCUUCGCCGCGCCGUCGACCCCGCCCAAGUCCGCCGAGAUCUCCCUCGCGACCGAGCGGGCCAGCGUCAGGGACAACGCCCGGUCAGCGGCGGGGAGCCUGGUGCCGCUCGGGAACGAGACCGAGAUGCAGAGGCAGAUGGCCAGCGACGCUUUUGGGCAGGUGCAGGCCGAGGCGGAGGUCCGGAGGCGGAGACGGAGCCGGAGACGGAGGCGGAGCCGGAGACGGAGGCGGAGCCGGAGACGGAGCCGGAGGAGGUGGGAUGCGCGGAGAAGGAAACAGAGGAGGCUCUGAGCGUUUUUUUUCUUUCACGAGGAGAGGAGAGAGAGAACCCGCCCAUUUAAGUGAGGAGAGAGAAAAAAUUUUGAGCGGGAGGAAUCGCUGACCGUCCUUUCUACUGCAGGAGCCGAGCCGAGCCAGCCGAAAACGAGCUCUUUUCUCAUUUUCGAGGGGGUCCCGCUUGGGACAGGUUUCGGUAUGUGAGUGGUUUGUGCGCGCCAGGUCAGCGGAUGACGUGGCGCGCACGAACCACUGAAUAUUUUCUUGGGCAGUAGAAAGUAAGACCUUUAUUUAUAAUAAUAAAAUUAAGAAAACGUCUAAAACGCCUCGAGAAAAAGGUAAUCUACAUAUAUGUAUAUAUAUUCCGGAUGGGGGGUUGUACUUGUACUGACUAGGCAAAACGUUUUCACUGCCCCAUAGAAAAUCUAUCACUUUUUUUUGGAAAAAAAUCUAUUAUUGACUCCACAACAAAUUCAGUCGACGAAUGUUAAUAUGCCUAGAUUAUUAGAAGUAUUUUGAUCAUAUUUCUGACUAUCACAAAAUUUCAAUCAGCAUUUAAGCACCGAAAAAAAAAAAAAGGAUCCUUCACGAGUCCGCUUAAGGUUGGUUGACCCAAAGCAACGUGAAAAUUUGUGGGUCCGAGUUGAAUAGACUCGAUUUUUUGGCAGGUUGGGAAAAAUGUUUCCAGAGUGGAUUUCCUUUUUUUUUUUAUUAUUGAACGUAAAUAUUUCAUUCAUAUCUCAAAUGAUAUAUAAGAGGUUUUUCAAAAAAAUCGAACCAAAUUGAAUUAUUAGGAAAAACUUUCGAAUUGAAUCGAAUGAGACUAAGCUCGGUUCAGUUUGGUUUUUCGAUUUUUGGUUUUAAGCUUAUGUUUUUUUCUUUUUUCUUUUCUGUUGUAUAUAUUUUUCGUUUUCAAGAAAAAUUUUUUUAUCAGUUUGUUGAUUUGGUUCGGUUCGAUUAACCGAUAAAAACCAAACCGAUAAAAGAAAUUUCGUUUUUACUGAGAACCUAACCGAACCAAAAAAAUUCAGUUCGGUUUUCAGUUUGUUUUUGACACCCCUACUCGGUGAUCUGGAACGCGCCAUCCUCGAACACCAGCAUCUCCUCCUCCCUCUUCGCUCCUCCCCAUCACGUCGUCCAACUUUUCCCGUCCCACCGCCAUCCUGAUCCUCUCCGGCGACAUCCUCAGCUGCCCUCCCUCGCAGACUGAGCUCUCGAGCAUCUCGCUGAGGAAGCACCGGAACCAUCCUCCCCCGUGGCCUCCUCUUCCACCGUCGACGGCGGAGAGGAGGUCGAGGCGGCGAGUGAAUCCGUUGCCGAAGAAGGGCUCGCAGGAGUGGGGGCCUGACGCUAGGGUUUUGGGAGCAAGGGAGGUAGGAGAGGAGGAUCAGCCAUCUUCUCAGGUGAAUGGAAGUUACCGUCGCGGUUAAGUAAAUAUUAAUUAUAAUGCAAUUUUUUUAUGCAUAAAUGGCUAACAUAAGGUAAUAAGUCCAGAGGAAAUCACUAUGUCUGAUCCUCGAAGUUCUGAAUUAUACAAAAUAUGAUCAGUACCUUUGAUUUUCUUUUUUGUGAACAAAUGUAAUUAUAAUGCAUCCUAAGCACGAAAUUUCAGAAUUCUACUUGUAAAUUCAUUAAAAAUCUCAUCAAAUUAAUGAUAAAGAGCUUUCGUAUCAGCAAGAUUAAAAAAGAAUCUCAAUCCCAAAAGUAAAAUAAAUAAAUCAUUACGGAUACAAUUUUUUUGAAUCACAAAUGAAUCACCACAAUUAUCGAAUCAAAAUACAAUUUUAAAAAGUAAUGUGAUUUGUUUCCCUUAUGCCUCCAAAAAAAUAGAUUUCUCUUUUCCUUAUGCCUAAAAAAUAGGGGAAAAUUCCAAAAAGGUCCCCAAAUGCUCUCAUUUUUUUAAAUAAGGCCCGAAAUGGAUUUUAUUUCAAAUCAUGGCCCAGAAUGAUUAUACUUGUUUCAAAUAAUGGCUUGAUCAAGGACAUUUUCGUCAUUCUCCUUUUUUCUCAUUUUUUUCCCUUUUUUUUUUUUCUCGUUCUUCCUCCUUCUUCGUCGGUGGCUAGAUUUAGCGAGGGUGACCUCACUCGCAACCAACGAGGGUAAUCGAGCCCUUGCUGGCUGCAGGUGCCCUCACUAGCUGCAAGCAAGCAAGGUUCGGCCUCGCCUACGGUUGGCGAGAGCCGACCUCAUUGAUGGCCGAGAGGGGCGGCCUCUCCCCCAGGGCGAGGGUCGCCUCGCCCAAGCGAGGCCUUCCCUCGCCCAAAACCCUCUGCAAGUAUCACCAAUGCCUCGCUAGCCAGCCAUCGACAAAGAAGAAAGAACCAGAAAAAAAAAAAGGAAAGAAAGAAGAAAUAAGGAAGAAAAAAAAAUUGAUGAAAAUCUCCUUGACCUUAGGCUUUUAUUUAAAAUAAAGUUCACUUUGGACCUUUAUUUGAAAAAUUAAAGACACUUGAGCCCUUUUUUGGAAUUUUUCCAAAAAAAAUAUAGUGCAAAGAAAUGGAUUAAACAUAAAUAAAGACGUCGAAUUUCCCUUGGACGACGCCCUUGUGGCAUCGGCUUUUCCCUUAUUACUAAUUCUAGAGCACUUUUUCUCCUUCAAGUGGGGAUCUCUCGACUUUUUAAUGGGUGUCAUUUACCAAAAAAAAAAAAAAAUUCAACGGAUGUGUUUUCUCUAGUGUCAUCCUUACUUGAAGUAGCAAUUCACGACGCAUGUGACGCGCUCCACGCCUCUUCCAUAAUUUAUGGACAGGUGAAUCAUGUUAAAAGUGCGCAAAUGUAAAUCUUUUCUCGAUUGAUUGUUUUGUAAGUGUCAGGAAGACACUUUUCGGGAAAUUUAUAAUGUUAUUCUUGAUUUAAACUAUGUGUUAAAGGAGAGAUAAUCAGUAGAACCGAUAGAAGAGAUGAAUUUGUUGUUCUGAGGAGUUUCUUUUCUUUUUUCUUUUUCAAUUCGAAUAAACCUUUUUUUAAAGGAGGAGCUGAUUUUCAGGGAGGAGAUGGACAUCUCGUUGCGGGCCGCUCUUUUUAGCUUUCUUCUUAGCGUUGUGAUUGCAAUGUCCAACCCGUGUUUGGAGUCUCAUAUAUUUGGUCAGCUAUUAGUUUAUAAUUGACAAGGAAGACAAACCGAGAAAUACAGAGAUGCUUAUCACAGAUAAGAAAAGAAGGCAUAAACAAAUUAAACAUAUGUCAUCACAGGAAUCGGAGGUACUUCAAAAAUCAAUCGAGCAGGACGACGUGGUAAUGGCGAUAACUUUGAUGUCCACUGCUAUCAGAAGACAAUUCAUCCUCAACUGAUUAUCUGCAGCUUCACCAUUCUGGCUAUAGAACGAUUGAGUUUUGUUACUCAUUUGCAAAGAUCAUCAGCAUGCUAUAUAAAAAUAUCGUGCCACAUGACUAUUAAUGAAAAUCUAUCAACAUAUGUAUGGCCCUGCAUUUCGAGAGAGCUUACAAAAACAUGAUCUCUGGCCCAUUUGCUUAAUGACGCCUAAAAAUGAGAAAAACUAAUUUACAUUGAUUUAAUUUUUUUAUUACAGUACAGUGAUUAAUUUAAAAACCAAAAAGGAGUUUGAAAUUGAAAAUAGGAGUACUGGAUGAGGUAAAAAUAGAAAAGGCAACAAAAAGAAAAGGAAAAAAAUAGCAGAUCACAUGCUCUCUUAAACUGUCCCGACUAAUAAAGUAUUAACUUAAGAAUUAGACUCGAUAUUUUGGCAAUUUUAAGUGUUAGAAAAUUGCCGUUGUUAUUCUUUGAACGAUGCCAUGGCAAUUAAUUUUCGACGAUAAUACAAACAUUUUGAUUUUCGACGAUAAUACAAACAUUUUGAUUUACUUUCAAGCAAUAAUAAAAGUUAUACGCACUGGGCCUAAUAGUUGGUAUAUAGUUCAGAAGAAAAAGAAGGGAUUUUACCGUACCGUGGGAGAUCGAUCUUUGGAUGGAGAGAAUAAAAGAAAUUUAAAACUUGUGGGUCACUCACCAGUAAUAAACUCGACGAAGGGUUCGAGGGAGAUACAGGCAAGGGGAUGGUCCCACUCCAGCGCUUGCCACGUCUCCUGAUCUAUCAAAAUCUGUCCAAGGGAGCGGGGAGGAGAAAGGAGGCAAUCAUCACGUCGGUGCAAUGGCAGGAGGCCAUCGUCACGUCGGUGCAGUGGCAAAGGAAUCCUCUUCAGCUUCGGACAUCGUGAUAUUUCAAUAAAGUGGAUGCGAUCGCCAAUGUGAUCGCAACUCUCCAUCCGAUCACAUACCCCCUUCAGUUCCGGAAGAUUCCUUAGAGUCAGGCGUGUUAACUUUGCGAAGGAGGGUAGUGUCAUGUCGGGAGGAGUGCCUAUUAUCAUCUUUAUGCCCUUGCAGUUUUCGACUGUAAUCUGUUGGAGGGAAGGGAGGUGGGGCAACACGUCAUGCGUCAGCAGCACCCCCUUCAUGUUGUCGCAUCUAUCUAUUUCAAUCUUUGUAAGACAAGUGUGCUUGGUUGGCAAUGGCCCGCCUAUUAUUUCCUCUAAUUUCUCACAAUGUUGUAUUCUAAUGGACUUCAGAUCUGGAAGGCUAGUGGCCAGCCAGGCCCCUUCCACCACUCUUUUCAUUUUAGAACACUGGGACACUUCCAUAAGUUUUAGACUGGGCGCAGUUAAAUAAAUCCGCUCCAGUUCCGCCGAACCAUCGAUUUUAAACCAUAGUAGAUGUGGAAACCCAUCCCCCUUCACCGAGAGAUGCUUCAGUUUGGAACACCGAGCGAUUUUCAGUACCCGCAGGCAAUGGAAGUGGACAGCACCCAGCUCCUCCAACUUCUCGCAAUCCUCUGCAGUCAGCUCCUCUAGAUUCUUCAGUGAGCUUAGCUUGCUCAAACUUGUCGCUCCACUUCCUACCGUCAGUACUUGCACAUCUUUCCGAGGUAGAUUGCAGCCAUCCCCACCAAUUUCUUCAUCUACCCUUGCCGCAAUACGGUUGAUAUAUUUAACGAUGCUUUGAUCGGAAACCUCUUCUUCACGAGGUUCUAAAGAAAACAAUUGAAAGACACUUCUUUGACAUAUUAAAUUAAAGAGAGAAUGUAAACAAUCUGAAGAAAUUAGAGACUUUUUCUGGCCAAUUGAACUUAAUCAGAUUACCGACCAAAACAACUUAAUCAAAUUAAACACAAAGAAAUUCAAUAUGUGCAAAUAUGCAAUUGGAAGUCCAAGAAAGGUGUUCCUUUCUAAAAACGAGAAAGAAUAAUUUACACUGGUUUAGUUUUUGAUUAAAGUACAGUGAUUAAUUUAAAAAUCAGAUGGGAGUUUGAAAGCGAAAGUAGAGGGCACUAGAUGAGGUAAAACAGAAUAGGCAACAAAAAGAAAAUGUGAAAACAUUUAACACGCUCUCUUAUACUCGCCUGACUCAUGAAGUAGAACUUAAGAAUCGACUUGAUAUUUUGGCACUAUUAAACGUUGUAAUUUACCAAAAUGAAGAAGAAGUGUGGCAUUUUUAAGGUACAACAGGGGAAAAAGAGAGGGAAAAAAAAAACAAAAAAGAGCGAGGACUGUUGCCAGUAUUAUUUUUUCAAAGUGAAGGGAGUGUUUUCUUUUUUGAAAAUUUAAUAAUAAUAUAGCCAUUUUGAUGUACUUUCGAGCUGUGAUAAAAGUCAUACGCACUGGGUCUAACCAUGUGGUGUAAAGUUUGCCAAAAAAAAAAAGGAAACUUACUGUAUCACGGGAGUGGAUCCUUGGAAGGACCGGCGGGAGAUGGAGAGGAUAAAAGAAAGUAAAAAGUUGCGGGUGACUUACCAUGAAUCCUGGCUAAGCGUUCAAGUACAGGUUGGAAAAGGGACUGGCGCCACUCCAGCAACCGCGACCGCGACAGCUGCUUAUCUAUCCAAAAAUUAUUAACAACGCGGGGAGGACAAGGGACCCCAUUGUCAAUCUUAGGAAGCCUCUUCAGCGUCGGACAAUUUCUUAUAUCGAUACAUUCGAUUGAAUGGCAACUCACGGUCUCAUCAUAUAUGGCCUCCAGCGCCGGAAGUUUCCAUAGAGUCAGGUGUGUUAAAUUUGAGUUGGGAUGCAUCGUGGCGGGAGCAGAGCUUAUUAUCACCUUUAUGCCCUUGCAGUCUUUGACUGAUAAAUGUCGGAGGAAAGGGACGCUCAGCGGGAGGCCCCACGUCAUCAGCACCCUCUCCAGCCUCUUGCAUCCUUCUAUUUCAAUCUUUGCAAGACAAUAAGUUGCACCGGUAGGCGCUGCUCGCUCACCUAUUAUCUCCUUUAAUUGCUCGCAAUGUUUUAUUUUAAUGGACCUCAGAUUGGAAAGGCGACUUUCCAGCCACUCCCAUUCCACCACCCUCUUCAUUUUAGGACACCUGUACACUUCUAUACUAUAAAGAGAAGGUGCCGCUAUAUCAAUCCUCUCUAGUUCCUCUGAGCCCUCGAUUUUAAACCAUUGUAGAUAUUGGAGCUCAUGCCCCUUCUUCAAGAGACGCUUCAGUUUGGAACACCCAGAGAUAUAUAGUCUCCGUAGGCGAGGGAAGUGGACAGCACCCAGCUCCUCCAGCUUCUCCCAUUUCUCUAUCUUCAGCUCCUCUAGAUUAUAAAGUGGGCCUACCUUGCACAAACUUGUCACCUCAUCGCACCGUCCUACUUCCAGUACUUGCACAUUUUUUGGAAGUAGAGCGUGGCCAUCUCCACCAAUUGCUCCAUCUACCCUUGCCGCAAUACUACGGCAACUUUUGAUGAUUAUAUGCCUCUCAUGCAUAUUUCUAAAGGAGUGGUCUCCUAAUUCGUUCAACCACAGUUCAUAUGGUUGGGAGCUGUUUCGCUUGAGAAGCCUCACGCAUGCAUUGAAUGUUUCAACAUUUAGAACAGAGCAAUAGAAUCCUUCCACCUUUGUUAAUUUUAUCUCUUCCUCUUCCUCUUCUUCCUCUUCCUCCUCUUUUGCCGUCACUUUUUUAAUCACCAGAUAUUGCAAGUUCACCAGCUUCCCCAACACUCCUUCUAGUAGUGUCUUGAUCUUUGUGCCAUGUAGAUCGAGGUACAUUAACUUUACCAACAUCUCCAUCCCCUCUGGCACUUCUUCCAGCAUGGUACACCCACUCAUGUCCAACUUUCUUAGGGAACCCAACUUUCGAACACAGGGUACACAACGUAAUUCCUCACACCCUCGAAGUAACAGUGCUUCCAAGCUCUCCAAGUGAGACAUGGUGUCCGGUAAUUCCGUGAUUUUCGUUUUGCUGAGAUCUAGAACCUUCAACCCCUUCAUAUGCUUGAAGAAAGAUUUGUGGAUGGCUUCCAAAGAGACGUUGUUAUUCAACGACAGUCUCAUAAGUUUAGGGCAAUUUGACGAUAUGCCGUAUGGGAUUUCUUCUAUAUCGUUGCUUUGUAAGAAGACUUUCUCUAGGUGAUCGGUCCAGAACUUAUCCUCUGGAAUUUCUUUCAAUCCCAUGUUGGCCUUGACCAUGUGAGUUGUGCUCGUCACUAUUUGCAAUGCCAUGUCCCUUAUCAAGGGGUGUACUAAGAGACGCUCUCAAUCUAUAUUAACCCCCAGGCAAGCCUUUUUUAUUUUGUCCAAUAUGGUGUUUCCCCUAUCGUGCAAUUCUUGCCGGGUGGCCAUUCCACUUAACAAGCCCUCAUCUAUGAAAGACUCUAUCAAAACUUUUUUGAUGAUUUCAUCUUCACAGAAGUACUCUCCAAAACAGAGUAUUAAAUGCAAGAAACACUGCUCCACUUGAAGAUUCCCCAAGUUCAUGAAACUGAGUUUCAGUUUCUUUAACACAUUAAGUUCCAUCAUCGAAUUUUCUAAUCGCUGCAACAAGCCUUUCCAUUCAUGCACUGCCUUUAGUUUCUUCAUGUGAGUUGCAAUCUCAAUGAUCCCAAGUGGCAAACCCCCACACUUAUCCAAAAUGGAACUUGCAAUUUUUUUAACUUCUGAAGGGAGGUCUCUCCCAAAGCAAAGCUUUUUUAGAAAUAAGACCCAACAAUCAUCUGGCCGAUAUAGAGGACUUAUUUCGACUUGUUUUUGGCAGACCAUCUUAUGACAUACAUCUAGUGAUCGAGUUGUUAGUACCAACUUAAUGCCUGUAUUCUCAACUGGAAUUCCAACAUCCUCAAUGUCAAAGUGCAUCCACAGACCAUCUAAGCAUAAGACAGCUCUCCUGCUCUUCAAAUGCCUAUUCAAUAUGCAUGCCCUCCUCUUCACGUCCCUAUCCUUUGAGAGAUUGUCUAGUCCGACUACAUUGGCAAUCUCGNNNNNNNNNNNNNNNNNNNNNNNNNNNNNNNNNNNNNNNNNNNNNNNNNNNNNNNNNNNNNNNNNNNNNNNNNNNNNNNNNNNNNNNNNNNNNNNNNNNNNNNNNNNNNNNNNNNNNNNNNNNNNNNNNNNNNNNNNNNNNNNNNNNNNNNNNNNNNNNNNNNNNNNNNNNNNNNNNNNNNNNNNNNNNNNNNNNNNNNNNNNNNNNNNNNNNNNNNNNNNNNNNNNNNNNNNNNNNNNNNNNNNNNNNNNNNNNNNNNNNNNNNNNNNNNNNNNNNNNNNNNNNNNNNNNNNNNNNNNNNNNNNNNNNNNNNNNNNNNNNNNNNNNNNNNNNNNNNNNNNNNNNNNNNNNNNNNNNNNNNNNNNNNNNNNNNNNNNNNNNNNNNNNNNNNNNNNNNNNNNNNNNNNNNNNNNNNNNNNNNNNNNNNNNNNNNNNNNNNNNNNNNNNNNNNNNNNNNNNNNNNNNNNNNNNNNNNNNNNNNNNNNNNNNNNNNNNNNNNNNNNNNNNNNNNNNNNNNNNNNNNNNNNNNNNNNNNNNNNNNNNNNNNNNNNNNNNNNNNNNNNNNNNNNNNNACUCAGUAUUUUCUAGAAACAUAAUGUUCACAAAACAAUAUGAAAUAAGACGAAAUGUAAGGUUGUGUAUAUAUAAGAGAAAGAAAGAGAGGGGGGGGGGGGGGGCCUUGGGGGUCCUUGGGAUUGGGCGAGAGAAAGAGAAAGAGAAAGAAAGGGGGCGAGAGCACUUGCCCUGUUGCUGGGUUUAGUUGCUAUCGGUUUGCUUUGAGCUGUUGAUGGGUUCAGGGAGUAUCUGGGCCUGUAUGGGAUGGGUUGAAUUGAUAUUUUGGCCAGUAUGGGAUGAAUUGAUAUCUAGGCCUGUAUGAAAAGAAAAGUGGUUCUCCCUAUAUUUUACAUUAAUAUAAAAAAAUGAAAAUUGAAGUAUGUAUUUUAGCAUAAAUUACUCGUGAAAACGUAUCAUAUUUCAUAUGAAUCUUCAUGUUUUAAACAAAGUGCAAUUCCAAGUUCAUAAUAUAUGUUAGUGUAAAAUAUAUGAACUUGAUAACAGUUAGGGAAAUUUUAAUGGUAGUUAUUACAUGACAUAAAGAAACAUGUAUGAAAUCAACUCCAUUACUGUCGUAUUAAGAGAAAAUAAUAAAAUCUUUCAAAUAAAUAUUUUAUAAAAAAAGCGUUAUAAAAAUGUUUGAGAUUUCAAUAAUUGCUAAUCUGCAACAUUGAGAUUAUUAAAACUAAUCCUUUUUCCCGAUGAAACUCAUGGGAUUGAACGAGGUAAGUAAUCCUAGUUAAAGGCAAAAUGAGUGGAGAGUGCAAGAAAAUACUACUUGCAAAGAGAAUAAGCAAUCUCUUUCAAUUUAGAAUCCUAAGUGUCACUCCUAAAGGCAACACUCAAGAAUGAGCUUGUUAUUAUAUAUUUUUAUAGAUGCAAACAUUGAUGUAUCUAUUCUUUCAAGAUGUUUGAGCGGUACAAUACUAGAAAAAUUUAGAUCAACCCAUAAGUUAAAAGUAGAAGUUAAAAAUAAAAGUCCCCUUAACCAGACCUUAAGUUGAAUUUUGAAAUUAAAACAUUAAAAAAGAGGAGAUAUACCUCAUAUCUACAUCUAAUGUAUAAAGACUAAUAUCCAAACUGUUCUAUAAAAAAAGAACUAUACUUGCUUUCAAUUGGAUCAUUGAUUGGUGGGUGACCCAUUUGAACGUCACUCAAACGCAAUGGUAACUAAUAGCACCAGGAGAAAACUGAACCAUAUUAUCGAUGGCUUGGAGACAAUGCAUGACAACAUUUUGUCCUAUUCUCGUACUUUUGUUAAUGUCCCAACAAUUCCAACCAUACUCAUUCAAAAAUAUGAAAACAAGCAAUAUUCAAAGCAUUUAAAUUUAAGAUGAAUGAAGGUGUUGUUAGUUAAAGUCUCAUAUAGGCGGCAUUUGAAUGUGAAAACAAUCAAUUAAAGGAUGAUUUGGAGGUAAGUACGAAUCAUUGAAAGAGCAAAAAUUUUAUUGUACGCUGUCAGAAAAUAAUCAUAUGUUUAUGAUGAUUUCUUUUCUGUCAUUACAUAUCUUGUGAUCCGUCGAGAAACAGUCAAUUUAAAUUUUAGGUUCAUCUAAUACUUUUUAGUUUGAAAUUAAAGUAUUUAGAUAUGAUCAAAUGCAUGAUCAAAGAUAAUUCCUAUCUCUGUGCGGUUGACAGACAGCAAAGGUUCCCAUGAAAUAUCUUUUAUGCAGCACUUUAUUUUAAAUCAAUAACAGUAAUUAGCAUAUAAACCCUCGUAAUUUUAUUUUCCAAUAAAGAUUUCGUGUUGUUAAUUUUCUUGAAAUGCGUUGCUUGGCCAAGAAAUAUGAGAUCAGUACACAUUUGGAGUCGUUGAAGGGGAAACAAGGACAUUUUCAUGAAUUUUGUGAAGUCGUCAAGACAAUACCAGUCCCCUCGACACAUCGAAAAUAUUUUGAAAACUGGAAAGUGCCUACCAAAUGCAUGCUUACCCCUUCUAUGCAUCCUCUUUUUUUAAUUUGGAAGUGUUUUUGGUAAUUCGUUAGGGAAACAUGGAUGAAAUAAGAAAUGAUGUUCAAAACUUUGGCACAUGAGAUUGGAAUUGAACCGAUGACUAUGCAAACUGAUAUAAUUAUCCAUCUCCAAAGUCAGCCCACUAGCAAGGAAAGUUCACUGACCAAGCGAUCUCAUAUACACCUCCCUCUCUCUCUCUCUCUCUCGCGAAGCUCCCAUGGUUCACACGACUCUGUUCAUUUGUUUAAAGUAAAUGCUCUUCACGUAGGUGAUUUGAGGGGAUAGAGAGAGCCAUGGCUUUUCAAGAUUUGAAUGUCACACUUGAAAAGCAUUUGUCCGUUCAUUUUCAAAGAACUAUUGAUUAUUAUUGACUAACUCUUAAACUGCUCUGUUCAUUUUCUAUUACUAUUAGGAAUCUAAAUGUCCUGCUAUAUCCAAAAUCUUGGGGAAGGAUUAGAAAACAAAUUCAGUGUCCUGCAUGAGCUUCUAACAUAUGGUGAAUUUCGAAGUUGCACAUACCUUCUGGAACCCCUGCAUUGGGUUCUCCCUCUUCUUCAUUUACUGGGGGUGGCAUGUGAGUCAAAGCUUGAGGUGCAAGGUCUCCGCCGCCGCUGGGAUGACUCAAAUUCCAUGGCUGAAUGUUAGAAUUAACGCCAUGAGAUUGAGGAGGUUGUGUCCAGAAUAAAAUUGCCCCAUGCGUGGUCAUGUUUUGAGUAGGAAGAUACUGACUGGGCACAUUCAUCUCAUGCAAUGGAUGAAAGUCUGAUGAACUUGCACCUACAGUGCUUAUGGCAUUAGAGCUCAGGUAUGGCAUGGCAAGAAAUGAAGUCUCUCUCCAACCAUCUUCAUUGCUUGCAAUCACAGGCUGACCAUCUUCAUUGCUUACAAUCACAGGCCGACCAUUGCUUAUGGCAUUAGAGCUCAGGUAUGGCAUGGCAACAAAUGAAGUCUCUCUCCGACCAUCUUCAUUGCUUCCAAUCACAGGCCGACCAUCUUCAUUGCUUGCAACCACAGGCUGAUGCAGACCCACUUCAUCGUUAUCUGGUCUGCUGCUCGAUUCCACCACUGUUUUACCCUUCAUCGCCUUUCGGGCUUCCGAUCUCACUCGGCCAUCAACAUCCUUGCAGUCAUUGAUCCCAUAUCCUCCAACUCCGGCUAAGUGGGCCUUGAUCCUGGUCGCGCUUCCAGCAUACGGCUUCCCACAGAAGUUGCAGUUCCAGUGUUUGUUAGGCAGCAAUUUCACAUACUUCCAAAAGGGGUCCGUCUCUCUAGGCAUUUUCUCUGUAUCCCACAAAAGAAUGGACAGAUAAGUUUCAAGGAAGACCUUGAAUUUUUUGGGUGAAGAAUGACGCCGAGGCCUGUAAGAUAUUUAAUUAAUUUCGGACUUAGGAAUUGGGUCAAAAUCUUCAUCAAUCCCCAAUUCUUUUAGAAAAAGGCCCUGCUUCAGUGACCCCCACCCUCAUUUCUACCCAAGUUCUCUUUUCACUCUCAGAUAUGAAGAUGACAUGUUUGACUGGGUUCUGGAAAUUUUGCUCUUCAAAUUUGUAACUACUCUUUUGUUUUUUUUUUUUUUUUCAAUGUUAUCUUAUCUUUGGGAACGUGGUUUUCUUUCUUGUUCAAUGCUCAUGGGUGUGCACGCUCUUUCUUGGGUAAUCUCUCUAUCAUGCACUCUCCCUUCAGCCCCUAAUCUUGCCCCUUGCCUCCGCUUACAGCAAAAUUUCAUGGCCCGGGCUCAGCUGCAGCCUCAAGUUUUUCCAUUUACUUGGUUGGGUUCUUUACAAACUAAUUCUAAGGAUACAUGGUAAACUCUCCAGUUUACAAGCAUCAAGUAUGACUUGACCGGUGGCUUCCAAAAGCUAGUUUGAGUUGAGAUUUGCAACGUAGUUCAGACAUGGCUCUAUAGCAUCUGGGACGAAGCACCUGACUGACCACUCAGCUAAUUAUGAAAUUUAUUUUUGAUAAAGCAAUAAAAGUCUUCGUUCUGGGCUCACCGGCACCAUUAUGUAGUAGAGAAUACAUCCCGAUAAAAAGAAAAUCAACAAAACCCAGACAACCCAUGAAUCGACGAUUACGGAGCGACAUAAACUAGAGGACAUGAGACCGAAGUGCAAAAAUUUGGGUUCACAGGAGAGAAAUGGGAGAACGAAAAGGGAGUAGAGAGAUUGAGAGAGAGCGAGUACCUCCGAGCCGGUGAGAAGAGGGCUUGGGGUUGAAUCCCUUAAGAGAGCGUCCGCGAUGGGAAACGAGGUUAGCUGAAGCGGAGGAAAAAACUGGGGGCAACCCUCUGGUUUUGUGCAGAGGAAGGAGCCGAACACCUCGACGGACAUCGGAGACCUGCCUGGGACGAUCUAUAUAUAAUAAUCUUAAAACGUCUAGGACGUCUCAAGAAAAAGGUAAUCUACAUGUAUUCCGGAUGGGUGGGUUCACACUUGACUAAGCAAAACGUUUCUGACUGUCCAGUAGAAAGUAAGGCCUUUAUUUAUAAUAAUAAAAAUUAAGAAAACGUCUAAAACGCCUCAAGAAAAAGGUGAUCUAUAUAUAUAUAUAUAUAUAUAUAUAUAUAUAUAUUAUAUAUUCCGGAUAGGUGGGUCCAUACUUAGACUAAGAAAAAGUUUCGACUGUCCAGUAGAAAGUAAAGCCUUUAUUUAUAAUAAUAAAAAUUAAGAAAAUUUCUAAAACGCCUCAAGAAAAAGGUGAUCUACAUAUAUGUAUAUUUAUUUCGGAUGGGUGGAUUGUACUGACUAGGCAAAACGUUUUCACUGCCCAAUAGAAAAUCUAUCACUUUUUUUUGGAAAAAAAUCUAUUACUGACUCCACAAACAAAUUCAGUCGACGAAUGUUAAUAUGCCUAGAUUAUUAGAAUUAUUUUGAUCAUAUUUCUGACUAUCACAAAAUUUCAAUCAGCAUUUAAGCACCAAAAAAAAAAAAAAAGGAUUCGUCAAAAAAAAAGGAUUCUCACGAGUCCGCUCAAGGUUGGUUGACCCAAAGCAACGUGAAAAUUUUUGGGUCCAAGUUGAAUAGACUCGAUUUUUUGGCAGGUCAGGAAAAAUGUUUCGAGGGUGGAUUUCUUUUUUUUUUCCUCAUCGAAAGUAAAUAUUUUAUUCAUAUCUCGAAAUGAUAUAUAAGAGGUUUAAAAUAAACAUAUUCCAAAAAGUAAAACAACAAAACACAAAAUUGCUAUGAUUGGCACACUUUGAUUUUACAAGAAUGAAUUUGUCUCAGCAUCAAAACAUAACAAAGGGCAAUCGAUUACUAAAUCCCACAUCAUCCACCGUAAUCCCCUUGUUUAUUCAAUAGACGGUGCACGCUUAAGUUCAGCAUUUUAACACCACUAUCAUACAAAUACACUAAAAAUAAGUUGAAAAAAGCUCCCAAAUCUAAAUCUAGAUAGGAUGAGGUUGGACAAGCACAAAAACACCUCUAAAGAAUUCACAAAUUUAGAUUUAGAUCGGAAGAUAAAAGCUCCUAAAACUCGGAUAAGUCACUGCUUCCAAGGCAUUAGGAACUCAUCUUAUUUCUUCUCGAUUUUGUUAACCUUCUUAAUUUGGAGGAUCUCAAGCAAUGGAUUGAUAUCAAACGAUGAAAGCAAAAAAUAUGCCAAGAGAGCAAAGAAGAGUAUGGGUAGUGAGCUAGGAAAAACAAAAAAGAUUAGAUGAAAACAAUAAAACAUUCUCGGAUCAUAUCAGGAUAAAUAAUCUUAGUUGAGAAGAUGGAGCCUCCCUUUGACUGACCAUUAUUUUUCAGGCUUGAACGGGAACAAAUUUAAUCAUUGUUUUAAAUUCCUCCGGCUCUUAACGAAUGCUAAAAGGAUUGGUGUUUUUUAAUUUCAAACAAAUUCUGGUUCUUUUUCUCCAAUCAUAUCCUUAAUUUUAAUUUAGAUUUCAAUACAUAUUAUUAUUAUUAUUAUUUUAUUUCUCUUCCCCUGCCAUCCACUAAAUUCAUCAAUAACCGAAAUUUAUGUUGGGAGUUAGCCAAGGAGAUCGAGAGGGAGAAAUGAAAUAGGGAAGGGGGUGUAUCAGCCUUGACAAGACAUGAUUGCGAGAAAGUAGCAAAUCACGGCGGCGGUGGGGCUCGAGAGGGGGAGGACGGCAGGCCCCUCGGCGCAUGCACCGCCAUCCCUCUCUCUCCAAUGCGGUUGGGUCUUGCGACGUCAGCAAUUGGUGAGGCGGCCCGCACAUUUGUGCUGACCCGGAGCUCCAUUCGGCAGCUCCGUGUCCCCAUGCUUUGCUACUAAUCGAUCGGCAAAUUGGCCAAUAACAUUAUUAUCCUUCUCAGAUUCAAUACGCGCGCCCUUCUCUUCACAUCCUUAUCAUUUGAGAGAUCAUCUAAUCCAGCUACAUUGACAAUCUUGUCUUGUGGUUCAUAGAUGCUAAACUCCUAAGAUACAAUGACCGGAACACAUCAUUAACAUGACUUUCUUUACUAGUAGGCAUUUAUGGAACAAGGGGAGUUGGCACCCUUGAGGGUGUCUAGGCGAGUCUCUAGAGAGCUCAUUGGAUCUUGCCCAAUCAGUCGUAAUGAUCGUCACCAGUGGAUGGCGGCAACUGUGGCAGCCAACGGCAGUAAUGGUAGAAGGAGAAAAGAGAAGGAAGAAGAACAAGAACAAAAGAAGAAGAGAAAAGAAAAGAAAAAAAUUUGGAUUGCUUAAUUUUGAAAUUGUUCUCAAGAACAAAGAAAUAACUCUAUUUUACUCAUUGAUUUUUGUUCUCGAGAACAAAAAUUUACCAAACAAACUUCUGUUCCAAAACUAUUCCUGAAAAAAAAAAUAAUAAAAAUUGUUAUUAUUUGACAAGUUGCCGAACGCGUUCUAAGACCUACACAAUAAAUUGGUUUACUUAGUGAUGGGACAAUCUGUAAUUAGUUAUUUUCAUUAGCAAAAUCUUUUAACCACCCAAUAGAAAAUCCGUCACUUGACUUGGCCAACAAAUUUAGGCCCCGAGUGUUAUUAUGCCUGGAUUGUUAGAAUUAUUUUGAUUAUAAUCAAAAUCCCACACAUUUUUGUUCAAACACAACAUCCACGUAGGAAAACUAAACUCUUUCAAAACGUCCUUUAGUAUGUUGGUCCAAAGCUUAUGAUCAAAUUCCUACAUUUUCUUCUAAUCUUGUUUCAUCGCAUGUGAACCGUCUACUGUAGCGUCUUAUAUAAAUCAGCGGUUGACGCAUUAGCAUUGCAUCGUAUUACGUUGAUCCGUGAGCUUUAUUUUCAUGUGAGAAGGAAGUUGUAAAUUUUACGUGUGUAAAGUAAAUGGUUUGGGAAUUAUUUGGCAUUAACUUUUCCACCAGAUGAAAUUUUUUGCAAGCCAUCCGACCAUGUCAUGCUGUGUUUCUGAUUUUGGCAAUCCAUCCUCUUUUAAGUGGAUUUCCAUACAUCUAUGUACUUGGAUCUCAACACAUUCUUUUAGUGGGAGCUUAUAUGGUCCUUUUAAGGGGUUGAUUCUUCCGUCAUAAUCCCAUUGCAAUUCCAAACUUUUUGUCAUAAGUCUUAUGGAAAGUAUCAAUAAAACUUCUAAGUUUUCAAUCAUUGACCAAGUUCUGUCUUUUUCAUAAUUCUACGAAUGCCAACUCUUCUAGGAAAGAAGAAUUAUUUGUAUUUGUAUUUGUAUUAAUUCAGUAUCAAGGAUUGUACGAUUCCCUCCAUAUAUUUUUUGCCCCUUAAUUAAUUGCUCUACGCAUCACGAGGGUCAAUCUAGCUUGGUCCAAGAAAGGUAAUAGGCCAGGCUGUCCAGUCUGUCAAGUCCCGCUCACGUGUCGCCCUUUCAGACACAAGCGCGCGUCCUAUUCUUUCGUUUCUCACGUUGAAUUCGCCAAUUCGAUUUAUUCGUACAGCUUUCGCAAUCCGAGGACGGUGCCAGGAAACUCCCAACGUUUUGAUCGAUCAUGUCCUAAACUGGAUCCAUGCUGGCCCGGUAACCAAUAAUUCAAGCUCCAACCCCAUUAACGGAGUAGCUUAAAGUUAGAAGCACCAACAAUCAGAGGACCGUCGACAUAACUCGUCCUUACGAAAAUUUCGUAAAAAGGAUCUUCCAUCCGAGGACAACUAUCGUGUGCGAUCGCCCCGCGCGGUCUGCUUUCGAAAUGCUUCCUGUAGCUGCAACCAAUCUGACCAAUAUCUUCUUCCACUUGACCUCCAUAAUGGAGUUUUUUUUUUUUUCUUUUUUUGGGGUCGGAUCCAUAACGGAGUUUAAUGGAUCUUAACUGUGUGCCCUUUUUGCAUAUCUCCUUUUUUUUUUUUUUUUGCACAUCUCCUUUUUCAGUAAUGUGAUGAAGUUUUUAGCUGUAUGUGAACAGACUUUUGUUUGUCAACACGGUAGGACUUCGGUCAAGGACCGGAACUUCUCGGGGAUGGUGUGCUUCAAACUAGAAUAAUGACCCCACAGAAAGAUGGAAAGAAGGAACUCAUUAGUCUCGAAGUUGCCAAUUUUAUAUUGGAGCUUGUCGACGGGUACGUUUCGAUGACUAUAUUAUGGUUCGAUAACACUGGAAAGUAAUAUGGUCAUUUGACAUGCCCAAAAGCAUUUAAACAUAAUCUCAAAAGGAACUGGUUUUAAUGUUGUCCGGAUGGCAAGAUGGCCGGAACAGAUUGCAUCCCUCGCUAGGUUUCAGUUGGAAGAAUCUGAUGCAAACGGCAAUUUGGGUUCUCUGUCCACCCCAGAGGAAAUUCGCAAUGAAGACUGAAGUCACGGGGUUGAUUGACACUAUGGACUAUGAAACGGUCCACAUAGUUGCCUUUACAAUGGAUACGAUUACGGGAAAUCUGUGAUUUACUAGUCUAUUCUUUAUUAAUAUCAUAUUACUAGAUUCUAAAUACACAUAUAUAACUUGAGUUUGUGAUGAACAUUGACAUAAAAGUACUAUACAAAAAUGUUAGAAAAGACACCUACAUUCUAGAAAUCCACAAAAGAGUCAAAUUAAGUAUGAGAAAAAUAGCAAUUUCACCAUGACAAGUACAGUUACUAAGUACUCCGAAUUAACCAAUUCAAAUUACUCGAAGAGGCGCAUUCAAUUGACAGGGGAAACAAAGGAGUACAAAACGAUCACGGGGUAAUAAGAAUAGUAGGGAUUCAUGGAGGUACUUGAAAUGUCUUAACAAAUAAAUAAUUAUAGGAGUGAAAUAUUGAUAUAAUUUGAAAAAAAAUAAAAGCAAGCCUGGACCAUAAAAAAAUAAGAAAAAUAUAUAGGAGGACUUACUUGAAGAGUACUUAGCACAUGCAUUUCCUUCGAUACCUCGAUCUUGCUCAAAAGGCAAAUCAGAUUUUGCCAAAGGUUCAACUUUCCCCACAAGAAGUAAAGCAAUGCAUUCCUUGGUCCUCACAACAUCUUUUGUGGACGAGAACAAAACUCUUAACUCCGUCGGUUCCCUUUAUUUUAAUAAACACAUUCACCAAAAAAAAAACCACAUUCAUAAGGCUCUCCAUCUCCCAUGGACGACGCCGAUCUUGUGAUAUCUAUUCAUUUUAUUUGGGUUUUGGCUGAAACUUUUUUUUUAACACUUCUUUUGCUAAUUUAGAGCGUAACUUUUUCUACGAACCGUUCAGAUCGAUAGAUGGGGGUGCCUCGACAUCCCAAAGGGAUGUGAUUUACAACUCCCCUCCGCCCAAAAAAAAAAAAAGAAAAAAGAAAAAGAAAGAAAGAAUAUAAUGGAUGUGUGUUGUCUGGUUUCAUCAUCACUUCUGGUGGUAAACUGGCAACGCAUGUGACGCCCUGUACGCUACUUACAUACUUUAUGGAUAGGUCAAGAAUGGUGGGCAGUGUCGUGUCGUGAGAUCUGGUCGACCUGAGAGAAGGUGAGGGAAAAUAGUAUCAUAGCCUUGUUGACCAGCGUCUUGUAAGACACGUGCUCAAUUAAAUCUACGAUAACAACUUUUUUCACAAAAAUCUAUAAUAUAAUUUCUAAAUGAAAAUAAUAUGACCGUUCGGAUUAUUUUUCAAAGUCCAUAAAAUCUCAAUGGUACCAAAAUGUUCGAACUUGCCAGGUUUUUAUUUACUUCCCCAAUCAUAUAUUUCCAUACUUUAAGCUAAUAUUAAAGUUCAGCUUACUCGUGAGGAAGACUAUUAAAAUAUUUAAAUAAAAAAUCAUAUUUUCAUUUAACAACUUGAUUUUUUAAAAUAGUUGACAAUAAUCACAAAAUCUCACACAUAUAUUACUACAUCAUACUUUGGAGUCAUUUGAUGACCACGUUAGCUGAAUUUGGUCGGAUUUGGUCUCGGAAGCAUUUGAUUAGUAAAUUUGUUGAAGUAGAAGGAAUUACUUAGACAAAUUAAAAGUAUAAUAAUGUAAUCAGAAAAAGUGUGAAAGUACAAGGGCUAAAAGUAGAAAUUUUCUUUGUCCGAGAGAUACAAUUUUCCGCAAAUUCAACAUAGAGUUGGUUGUGCCACCUAGUGAGAGAGCUCCUUAAGCACCGAUGUUGCGGUAAACUCACCUUUCAUGUCAAUGAACUACUGGGGUUCUUGCUCUUGUGUAAGGGCAGGUUACCAUUCACGCUGGUACUUAAAUGUUUAAAUAAGAGGAUUAGAGUAAAAUUGUUAGUAACAUAAUGGCUAGACAUUUCUUUUUCUACAUUUCAAUAGCAGGGGUAGUAACUUUGAUCCAUCGUAAGUCUCUAAUCGUAAGCUAUAUGUUGCCUUGGACAACAUGGCAAUGCUGUUGAGAUAUGGACGGUUCAUUGUGUCGAGUACAAUGCCUUCAUCUGAAAAUAACUACGAGUCGAAGUUCGGUAUAAGGUGUUCUCAUCAGGCGAUGCAACUGCUUUAAGGCAACACAACAUCUCGAAAGAGAUGUUCUUGCAAACAUUCUCUCCUCCUUUUAGAGACAGAUUUUGUCAUCCUCGUUUCUCACGUCCGAAAGGCAUAACCAAGAAAAAUUAAGAUGAAAGAAAGCGAUCAUAUGUUCCCGUAGUCAAUGCUGCUGUCAUCGCCCGCGACCCUUAAAAUCUUCUACAAAGGAAGUAAUUGAGUGAAACCGAAAGACAAGGAAAAUCCAAUCAUCAAGAACAGUCAUAUAGGUCUCCAUUUAUCGGGUUUAGUUUAAAGUAAGAGAAUUGAGUUCUUUCAUACACUCGUGCAUGCACUCUCCCCACCUUCCGUUUCUGCCAUUGUAUCAUACAGAGGCUGAUUUAACGUCUCCAGGAGGUAAAACGCUAGUGUUCCUCCCAGAAUUGCAGAAACCGCAAAGAGUGCAAGGGGGAAGCCGCCUCCUAAGACCACCAUGAAAGGUGCCAAAGUCGGACCCAUUUGCCACGCCUGAGCUGCCUACGCCUGAGCUGCACAGCCAAGAGCUGCAUUCCUCACCACGGUCAGAAACAGCUCCACCGUGUAGAGAAAGAGCAAAUUAAACGUGCUGGCAUGCCAAAGAUCCGGAGAAUUCCUCAACACCAUCCUCACCACUUUCCAUACCCGUGUAACAUCAUCAAGCUCUGCCGUUAUUGUAAAGGCCGCCACCUCAGCCACCCCCUAGGGGAACACAUUAAGGUAAAGGUUAGUCAGGAGAUUGACGACAUUUAGGUUUAUGCCGUCGUACAUGACUGAAUACAGGAAGUUGAUUGCCACGGCCAAGUGAUAGGCAACGUCACCACAUCAAUGAGAGACCCCUUCGUGUCCAUAUGAUCUUUGCAGGAUCAAACCUGAUAUGAGUUUUCAUUCACUUCCUCAUCCAGUGCAAGGAGAGGUUGGGACACCUGGAGUGCCAUAACUUGGCACGGAGGGACAUUUAAGUGCUAUAAUUUUAAAAUGGUACACUUAAGUGCCAAUAUCGGAGUAAAAUGGAACACUUAAGUGCCACUCCGGCGAAAAUCCGGCCAAAUGGCUGACGUGGCAAUUUUCCGGCGAGUUUGGUCCAAAACGGCGUCGUUUUGCACGCUGACGUGGCGGAGAAAAUACAAAAACGACACCGUUUCGUGUCUACGUGUAAAUAAUAAUAUAAAAAUUAAUUAAAUUAUAUUUAAAAUUAAUUUAUUUAAAAAAUUAAAAAAUUAAGAAAAAUUUNNNNNNNNNNNNNNNNNNNNNNNNNNNNNNNNNNNNNNNNNNNNNNNNNNNNNNNNNNNNNNNNNNNNNNNNNNNNNNNNNNNNNNNNNNNNNNNNNNNNAUGAACGGAUCGACUAAAUUCGCCGGAAUUCGCCACGUAAGUCAUUUGGUCGGAUCUUCGCCGGAGUGGCACUUAAGUGUCUCAUUUAACUUCAAAACAGGCACUCAAGUGUACCAUUUUAAAGUUAUGGCACUUAAAUGUCCCCGGUGCCAAGUUAUGGCACUUGAGUUGUACUUUUGCCAGUGCAAGGAUGACCCCAUCGGCGAGGUUUUCAUGUUGGCUUUGGCGAUAGCUCGCACAAGCUUCACGCCCUCGUCAAUCCUCCCACGGAAAAGAUAUCACUGUGGGAAUUCCGAGUUGUAAGGGAGGACAUAGCAUGGAGGGAAUGGAGGAAGCAAUGUAGAGAGCCCGCCUAGACGGAAACACAUAGAUGAUGCCGUACGAGAAGAUAUAGAAAGUGGACGUUCCUGCUGCCCCGCGAGGCUCAGUGAAUAUCAUGAAAGCGCGUACGAUCCCACCCGUGCUGAAUCCGGUAAUGAAGCGGACGGGGCAAUAGGUCUAGUAAUCCGUAGGGUCGUCAAGCAACAAAGGUGGUGUUCAACAUACAACCACCUUGAGAGAGCCUUUUCUUCUCAAGAACGAGUCUGAGGCACGGCCAAAUGUUCCGGCUCCUGCGACAUACGGCAUAAGAAGCCACCAGACUAUGAAUCAAUCCCUCAGAAAUAGCGUCUCGUUAAGCAGAUAGAUAACAAGUUUAUGCGUAGACGUUUGUAAUUGCUUCUGUUUAUAAUGCACCCUCCUACAGUUUCUUGCAUGAGGAGGAAAUCCAAUUAAUCGAAUCUAAAUUGAACUAUUUGUUUUUCAUUUUGCUUCCAUUUAUCGUUUGACGCUCGAGUCAAGAUUAGACGAUUGUUCUUAGGAAAAAGGAUGAUGAAAAGAAAGAGACUGAUUGAGUUGACUGCUUUUCCAUCAACUAGCCCAAGCUGAGAAUUAUACUGCAUCUGUGAGAUUGAAGAGUAUUUUCUAUGAAGCUUAACCACAGCCAGUCAUACAUUCGAUAAGGAUAAUUUAAUUUAAGUUGUUGGUUAUAUAUCACAAAGUUCCUAAAGAAUCAUGACAAGGCCCAUUCGGAGGACCUUUCAAUUUCCCUUCUGCAUACAUCAUCUACGUCUAUCAUUGGUUUGAUUUCUGCUAAGUGCCUGAGGUGCUGGUGCUAGUCCUCGGACUACGGUCACCGAAUCCGGGCCGUGACAAUUUUGUAGGUAAAUUACAUCUCCGCUUUGUGCCUAAAGGAGCACUUCGUCAAUGCGCUCUCUCUCAUCCCCACACACACUUGCAUUUGCGAUCAAUGUCAAAUCCAAUCAACAGUCACGUUUAUAUCACCAGCUGUCCUAAUGCAUAAGACUCUAAGGACGUAAAGAAGGACGUGGCAAACAUAACCCAAGAAGAAAGUUAAAAAGAGUGUUCCGCGACAAGAUGUGAGAGUGCUAGUAUGAACAAAAUAAAGGAGUUAAGGAAGAGAAUAAGAACACAAGAUUUAUAGUGGUUCGGCUUAAUCCAAGCUUACGUCCACUCUCCCACGAUAACAGCCUUUUUGGCUGCAUUCCACUAUGCAAUCAACAAGAGAUUACAACUCCGAGUGCAAACACUUAGUAGUAGAUCACACUAUCUCACUAAGUCACUCUCUUGGUAUUUCUCUCAUGAUUACAAACGUUUAAGCUCUCAAGAGACAAGUAUAUGAUCUAAAGUCGCUUAGACUUUGGAAUUAUAAAUUCUACGCUCCGUCUCUUACUUGCUCAUCGGUCCAUGAUCUCCUUAAAUACUCCUCCACUUCCAAACUACCGUUGGACAGUAUCCCGGAGAAUCGUCUUCCAAUAUACCCAUUGGACAGCUCUGUAUCUAGAAGAUUUGGUAGCCGUUGAGUGACAAAGGUAAAAUCCCAAAUUGAUUCCGAUCGCCCAUACAAACAAAAUCUUGGUUUCCAUAAGUAAAGCUUCUUCAUAUAGAAAGUUCUUGUCUUCAUCAUCCAAUUGUCAAUCAAUUAGAUUGAAUCAAUCAAAUCAAUCUUGAUGUGGAAUCCAAACCAGAUCACUAGCCGUUGUAUGAUUGGGCUUGAGUUACGAUUCAUCGAAUCUGGAUGUAAAGUCUAAGUCUUGAGACUUUACGAUAUGAGUCUUGAGACUUUACAAACUGGGUCUCUAGACUUUACAAUCUGGGUCUGUAGACUUUAAGGUCUGUACCCAAUUCAGCUUCAGCAUAGAGUCUGUCUUCAGACUUUGAGUCUUGAGUCUGGCAGUCUUCAGACUUUGAGUCUCGAGUCUGGCAGUCUUCAGACUUUGAGUCUUGAGUCUAGCAGUCUUCAGACUUUGACACAGAAGUCUGGAAAUCUUCAGAAUAUAUUUUGGACAUGUGUUACGUUCAGUCUUCUGGUCGUCUUCUGACUUUGAUAAUAUCCUCUACAUGUUUUAACAUCUGCAUGGUCUAUUACUCAACCAUCAAACAUGUUAGUAGCCUUUGAUUUAUUUUGUCAUCUUCAAAACAUCAUAAGGGAUUUCCCUAACAAGAUGCCCACCUGAAAAUCGGUUCUACUUACAAGGAUUUAUUCACAUCAGAAAAGAAAAAAGAAAAAGAAACUCCUCAUAUCUCCUCUCGCGUCCUAUCGUUUCUCUUCUUAAACUUUGUUCCUCUAGAGAUAUUUGUCAUAUUUCUUUUGAUUUUCUAUAUCUAUUUUGAUUAUACAUAUCUAAUUUAAUUGUCUUUGAUAGUAUAGACUCUCCAUGUACUCUUUUCUAUGCAUCGAAAUAUAGGAAAUUUCCUAUCCUCUCUCCCAACAAGAUGUUAUUUCAUGUGUUAGAAUAAUUUACCUAAAUGAAUAGCUCUUUGGUCUACUUUAUUUCUCAGUGGCCCUUUUGACAUGUAUCUACAUUGUUAAAACAGAGAAUUAUUUUCGUUAUUUGAGUUUAAUGAGAUCUGAAAAAGGAUAAGUCAAAUUUUACUUUUCUAGACUUCAGCAUCUUUCCAACAAGGUUGUCAGUAUUCAUUUUGUUUUACUAAAUGAGAAAUGUUGGACAUACAAAAUAUUUCUAAAACUGAUAUUAAAUUUUCUGCGGCCCUUAAUCCUUUGUCAUCUUUAUAUUCCGAUCGUUUCAUGAGCACGAAAAGUGAUUGUUGGACACAUAAGGAUUUGUAUAUCAGUUGAUGCCGAAUUUUCGUAUAGUUAGAAUGACUCUUUUUGUAAAGUCAGUGCGAGAAUCAUGUUUUGCAUGUACAAGGAGCGCCUUGGCUGCAAAAAACAAAACAAAACAAAAGAGCAAGGACCAUUGCCACUAUUAUUCAUUCAAAAUUAGGGACUAUGUUUUUUCCCUUAAUUUCCAGACAGCGCCAUAACAAUGAAAUUUCAAUAAUAAGAUAACCAUUACGCGACACUUUCAAGCUGAAAUGAAAGUAAUUGUGUGGUACGACACAAGGGAUAGAACCGGAGGAAGCGUUCAAGUGCAUACGGGGCAAGAAGAAGGUCCCACUCCAGCGACUCCCAUGUUUGCCGAUUGUCUAUUGUAAUCACUCGAAGAGAAGGCUGAGGAGACGGGAGGCCAUCAUCAGGCAAGAAGAGCUGCACAGGAAUGGUCUUGAGGUGAGGACAUCGUUUCGCACUAAUAUAUCCUAGGGAAUGGCAACUCAUGGUGCCAUCAUGCCAUCACAUAUGCUCCUCAGUUUCGGAAGAUCCCAUAGAGUCGGGCAUGUUAAAUCUGGGAAGGAGGAGGGCGUCAUGUUGGGAACGGUGCCUAUUAUCACCUCUAUUCCCUCGCACUCUUCAACACCUGUUGGAGGAGAGGGAGGUGGAGCAACAUGUUGUGUGUCAGCAACACCUCCUUCACGUUGUUGCAUCCUUUUAUUAUGAGAUUUUUAAGAAGACAAGUGACACCUCUUGGAAAUGGACCGCCAAUCAUCUCCUCUAAUUUCUCACAAUAGCAUGUUGUAAUGCACUCCGGGUUUGGAAGGCAAGUGGUCAGCCACUCCCAUUCCACCGCUCGCUUCAUUUUAGGACACUCACCCACAGAAAUGUUUUGAAGACUAGCUGCUGCUAUAUUAAUCCCUGUAGUACCUCUGAGCCCUUGAUAUGCACAAGUAGUAGACUUGGAAGCCCCUGCCCCUCUUCUAACUUCAGUCUGGAGCACCCAGUCACAUUCAAGCUCCGUAGGUGAGGGAAGUGGAGAGGACCCAGCUCUUCCAAGUUAUCACAUCCAUAUAUCUUUAACACCUCCAGGAUCUCAAGUGGGCCCAUGUCGCAAAAACUUGUCAACCCAUCGCACAAUCCUCCAUCCAGUACUUGAACAUUUUUCGGAAGUAGGGCACAGCCAUCCCCACUAAUCCCUCCAUCUACUCUUGCUGCGACACUGCCGCAACUAUCAAUUAUUAUAUGCCUCUUUUGAUCAUGCCAACGGUAAUCCUCUACUAAUACAUUCAACGCCAGACUACUGUUGGGAGCUGUCCUGCCCGAGAAGCCUCACGCAUGCAUCGAACGUUUCCACAUCUGGAACGCAGCAAUAGAGUGCUUCCAUCUUCUUUAAUUUUGCCUCUUCCCCUGCCCCCAUCUCUUGAAUCGCAAGAUAUUGUAGGUUCCCCAGCUUCCCUAGCACUCCUUCUGGUAACAUCUCAAUCUUUGUGCCAUCUAGGUCGAGGUACGUUAGCUCUACCAGCAUCUCCAAACCCUCUGGCAUUUUUUCAACACCUGCACAUCCUUUGAGGUCCAACUUUCUUAGGGAUCCCAACUUUCCUAAAUAAGAAAUACGACAUAAUGCUGUACACCAUUGCAGUAACAGUGCUUCCAAGCUCUCCAAGUAACAGAUGGGGUCCGGUAAUUCAAUGAUUCUAGUGUUUCUGAGAUCAAGUACCUUCAGCCCAUUUAGAUGCCUGAAGAAAGAUUUAUGGAUGAAUUCAAACUUGACAUUGCCACCCAACAAGAGCCUUGUAAGUUUAGGGCAAUUUGGUGAUAUACUGUACGGGAUUUGUUCCAUUUUGUUGCCUUGUAGAAAUACUUUUUCCAAAUGAACAGUCCAGUAAUCUUCCUGUGGAAUAUCUUUCAAUCCCCAGCAGGCCUUGUUCAUGUGAGUUAUGCUCGUCACUGUUUGCAAUGUCAUAUCUCUUAUCAGGGGGUGCACAGGCACCUCUUCUUCUAGAUUAUCCCAUAGACAAGCCUUUCUGAUUUUACCUAAUAUGGUGUUACAUUGGUCGUAUAGUUCUUGCCGAGUGGCAAUUCCACCUAACAAGCCCUCAUCUAUGAAAGACUCUGUCAAAUCCUCCCUAUGAGCUUAAGAAAUAUCUUUUGCAAAACAAAGUAUCAAAUGCAGGAAACAUUGUUGCACUUGAGGAUUACCCAAGUUCAUGUAAUUGAGUUUCAGUUUCUUGAACGCGUCAAGUUCCAUCCUCGAGUUUUCUAAUCUCUACAACAGGUCUUUCCAUUUGUGCACUUCCUCCACUCCCCUCAUAGGAGUCGCAAUCUCAAUGAUCCCAAGUGGCAAACCCCCACACUUAUCCAUAAUAGACCUUGCAAUUUUUUCAACUUCUGAUGGAAGUUUCUCAAAGUGAAGUUUCUCCGAAAGUAAGCUCCAAUAAUCAUGCUCAUUUAGUCAUUCUAUUUUCAUUUGUUUUUGGCAUUGCAUCUUAUGACACACAUCAAGAGAUCGAGUUGUCAGUACCAAUGUGACAGCCCAGGCGGCGGUGCACAGGAAGGAUGGAUGGUGGUGCGUCUGGGCCUCGGUCCCCGGACGUGCGCAGGGAGGGGGCGCGUCUCCUAUCCCACAUCGCUUAGGGGGGAGAGUCACGGUUUAGUUUAUAAGGCUUGGUUUUCUAACCUGUGUAAUGCAUUUUAAAGCCGUGAGGGCCAAAGACUCAAAGCGGAUAAUAUUACACACUGGGAGGCCCGGGUCCUUAUAUAUGGUAUCAGAGCCAACUUCGGAUCGCGUGUGGGGCCGUAGUGAGGGUCCCUUCCCAAGGGUAGGAGGGAUGGCGGUACGUCCGCGCCCUCGGUCCCCGGACGUGCGCAGAGAGGGGGUGCGUCUCCUAGGCUAGUUUAUAAGACUUGGGUUCUAUCCGGGUCCUUACAACCAACUUAAGGCCAUUCUUUUCAACUGGAAUUCCAAAGUGUGCAGAGAGGGGGUGUGUCUCUUAAGCUAGUUUAUAAGACUUGGGUUCUGUCCGGGUCCUUACAACCAACUUAAGGCCAUUCUUUUCAACUGAAAUUCCGAAAUCCUCAACUUCGAAGUGCAUCCAUAGGCCAUCUAAAUAUUAUUGAACUUAGGAUUCUCAAGCAGCAUUCUAUUAUGGACAUAAGUUUAAACGGCUGCUUGCCAACUCAUCCCAUUCCAUAAACGCCAAUAAUGAAAAUCUCAUCUUCCGUCAAAUAGUCACAGAUCUUUUUAAUUAAUUCUCACUUUCAUUGCCUAUUAGCUUUGAUAUUACCAGGGGUGAGCUUUUCCUGUAUCCUGCAGCACAUGUCGUCGACCCUCUUUGGAAGCUAUUGUGAGCUAGAAUGUCUUCAACUUCUUUACUUAGGUCAUCUAGUCGCUCCACUUGCUGCGGAGAAAGAGACCUACCUUCUCCGAAUGAUUGCACCACGCUCCAUUGUUCCCCUUUUAUCCUUUUCGCUUUCCUGCACCACGUCUCCAACUCAUCCAUGUCAGCUUCUGUGCUGCUUAGUUCUUCCAGCUUUAGUUUCAGAGUUGACAUAUUCUCACCGACAAGCCCACGGGUACCUGGUUAGUUAUCCAUGAGUGCAUCAUCAAUCCUCGUAUCUAAUAUCCACGAGUGCAUCAUAAAGCUAAAUGAAAAUUUAUGAAAAGAAGAACUAAGCAAUUAUGUCGACGUGAAAAUUUAAUAAAGGAUUAAGGGUGUAAAUAAAGGAUCGAGGAUUUUUCCCCGAGGUGGUUUGUACGAGCACUUGCCUUGUUGUUGGGGGCAUGGUCUCUUAAUGGGUUGAUCAGUCUGCAUGUCUGAGGGAUAUUGGGUUUAAAUUCUACUAUGGGUUUUGGGUCUGUUGGGUUUUAUUACUUGAGGUUUGGGUUGAACCUUUCGGCUCUUUAGGUUUCUAUGAGAUGGGUUGAACUGACAAUUGGGUCCAGAUGGGAAGUGACUCUCCUUACACUUUACAUUAAUAUAUAAUAUGAAAAUUAAAAUAUGUAUUUUAGCAUAAAUUACUCAUUAAAUUGUAUCAUAUUUAUAUGAAUCUUCCUCUUUCGAACAAAAUAAAGGUGGAAUUCCUAGUUCCUAUUAUCUCUUAAUAAAUAGUAUGAGGAUGCAAUCAUAAUUAAAAAAAUCCAUAAAGGCUGCUGACAACUGCAAUACUAUAAUAUUGAGAGAAAAUAAUAAAUAUUUAACAAAGAAAUAAACAUAUAGUUUAUAGGAAGAGUUACAACACAUGUUAGAAUUUUAGAUAAUUGUUAUGUAACAUUAAAACUCAUUAAAACUCACGAUCUUUUAUUGGACAAAAUUCACGGGAUUGAACGAGGCAAGUACAAAUCCUAAUUGAAAGCAAAAUAAGUAGUGAGUGCACAAACUUAUUAUUAUGUACUUGUUUAGAUACUGGCUUUCAUGUACCUAUUAUUUUAAAAAUUUUGAGCAUUACAACAUUAGACAAAUUCAAAUCAACCCCAUAAGCUAAGAGUAGAACUUAUAAAGUAAAAGCCACUGUAACGACCCUAAAUUGUAUCUUGAGAUUAAAAUUGAAAAGAUAAGAUACAUAUGAUUUCCACAUCUAAUCCACAAUGACCAGCGCCAUGACUUGUCCUAUUAAAAAAGCGCUAUACUUGCUUUCAAAUUGAUCUUUGAUUGGUGGGUGACCCAUUCAAAUGACGAUAACUAAUCGCCCGAAGAAAAUCUUUCGUCCUGCUAUCGUAUUUUCGGUAGUGUCCCAACAAAUGCACUUGCUACUAGGCAGAACCUCAACAAGCUCCCAUAAUGGAUCCAUCGCUCUCGGCAUUUCCUCUGUAUCCCACAGAAGAAUAAACAGACAUAAUUCAAGUGACUGGGUACCAACAAGGAAAUACUUUUUGUUGUUUUCAAUGUUUUCUUCUCUUUUGGAAGGCAGUUUUCUGUCUUGUUCACUGCUCAUGCUCGUGUAGUCUAUUUCUUGGAUAAUUUCUCAGUUGCCAUGGCCUUGUUGCGCUGAAUAUGGCAGUUUGUCGCAGCCAAGCGCUGGUCUUGUGAUUGCCAAUUAAAGAUUGCAAGGAGUGCAACCUCACUUGCAAAUCUACACUCAUCGAGCUCAAAAUCUCGCCCUUGACUCCGCUUACUGCAAAAGUUCCAUUUACUCGAGUUCUUUUAAUGUCAAUUAAUUCUAAGGUUGCAUGGUAAACUAUCCGAUUUACAUGAGUGGAGAUUGCGAUGUGAUGCAGACUAGAUUAUAUAGCAUCUCUGACCAAGCGCUGGACUGACCGCUCAGCAAUUUAUGAAAGUUAUUUUGACACAGCAAAAAAAGUCCUCGCUCUUUGCUCACCGGAAACGUUGAUUAUCUUAAGUAAUUAAGAGCGCAUUCUGGAAAUAAACUCCAGAACAGUUGUUUCCGAAAAAGACCAGACAAAAUUUUGGUAAGACCUGGUCACCGCAACUCUUUCUGUUUAAUCUGUUGUUAGUUGAAGUGCCAAAAAAGAGCUUGAGAGAUCGCUAAAACGAUAUUUACAAGUGGGUAUGAUAUGAAACGUACCAGAAGAAGAACCAAAGCUGCUCUUGAAAUUCUAAGGCACAGAUCGUCAUUACCAUCCAAGAUUCCGACAAAGAGUUGGGUUUGUCUGCACCAGUGCAAUUUUAAGAGGAGCAAAGGCAAAGGUUGUCGUAGUCAAACCAAAAUAGGUUCCCUGGGGAACAAACGAUGGGCGUCUGGCCUGGAAAAAGUCAAAAAAAAAAAAAAAAAAAAGGCUUGCUGAAUGCGUAUGAGAAAACAGAGAAAAGAGACUUGGCCAUGGUCAAAGUCUUCAACCACGCUUCAGCCCCUAGAAGGUAAAUAAUAAUAAUCUUCAGUUCUGCAUUACUCAAGUCGACAACAAUUUUUGGGGUGGCCUUUUACUCUGGAUGCGAUUUGGAAAGGAAUACAGCAAAUGGAUAUGAACUCCCCGUUUCCUCGUUUCCAUUCAUUAUUAUAUCAUCCUUCCUAUUUGUAUGUUUAUGAUCAAUCGCACAUCAUUGCAUUCUCAACUAAAUUCUGUGCAGAUAAUUAAGACAACUUGAAAUCUCGGUUGUAGCAUGAGCCUUUAGAUUCUGCUACUUGUAUGGUGAAUUCGGGAGCUGCACGAACCUUUUGGGAACGUCCUAAUUGGUUCCAUUCUCUUCAUCAUUUUGGUGGAUGUGCAAUGUCAACCAAAGCUUCUGGUACCACAUUCUAGAUGGAAGCUGGGAACGAUGGAAUUCUGCUGUCGACGGAAUGAGAAACUCCGCUCUGUCCAAUUUUGUUCUGAUGAGGGAGAGAUUGGAACGCCACCCAGCAACUGAGGAUCAGAUGAAUUCAACUCAUCUAAUAUAAGAUAAGACGAUGCAGUUGCACCCACGGCGAAUGAAGGUUCUUUGGAGCUGUCUUUCUUGCUCAUGGAUCGAUGCUAAAUUGGUGGAAUGUUGGAAUUCAAUAACUGAAUGUAGGAUCAGCCUUCGACUUUCCCUUCCAUUCUAUCCUCAACUCCUUACGCUCAAUUGCUUUGGGGACUUCCCCGCGCACUCGCCUAUGGACAUCCCUGCACUCAUUAAUCCAAUAUCCAGGAAUUUCUCUGCUAACUGCCCUUGAUCCUUGUCACCACUUCGCCGCCACCCUACUCCCUCCCGCAGAAGUUACGCUUCCACUUUCGUUUUCGAGUCGAACUCCAGCAAAACAAUUUCGCAUAGUGGAUUUAGGAACAAAUGACUAUCUUUCUGCCUUCCUCAGUUUUCAAAAGUAGACAGUAUCAUAGGAUUCCACUCGUUUGCUUGGUGGGUGGGUUCCUUUUGUCCCUCAAAUCCGACAUCAAUGACAGGGCAACCAACACAGCAAACUCCUCAAUGUGAACAAAACCCUGCACUCCAAACCCUCUCUCUCUCUCUCUCUCUCUCUCUCUCUCUCUCUCUCUGUGGCCUGAGAGCUUUUCUCUCCCUUUCAUGGGAGCUUUCUUCUCCCGAUCUCGAUCUGGGAGUUUAUUUGCAUCCCGUAUAUUAUUUCUUUCUUUCUUGGCGUGCUGCGGAUGCUCCUCCAUUGAAGGUGGCCGAUUCGACGAAUGAGUGAGAUCCCCCACGUUUUAGAGUUUUCCCCCGCUCACCCUACAAGGAAAACCAAACCCUCUCCUUAAAGACCAGUUACCUGGACCCAUACCAGAUCCCACGCCACGAAUUCCUCCAUCUUUAAAAGGUUUGGGAUCUAACCCUCCUUCCGACAACCGAUUUGAGACGUCCACCUACUUUCUCCGUAUCUUGCUGAGAUAUGUGGAAGAGUGUGCACGCCAGGUGUUUGGUUGAUUUUCUAGUACAAAGGUAAUUUCAUAGAUCAGCGGUUGGCUCUCUAUUCAGAUACAUAUGGUUUGAUUUCUUGGAGUGCUGUUGGAGAGCUGUGGUUCGUUCGUUGGCGGUGACAGAUGGUUUUUGUUUUUUGGGUCUGAUAGAUAUCUGAGGAGUGACUACCUUUUUAUGUUAAGCGGAAAUAUGGAGGCGGGCCAAAUUAUGCCCCUAUUGUUGCCAUAUAUAUUAUAGCUUGGAAUGAUAGUUGAAGGCCACAUGCCGAUCUUGUGACCUAGAUAUUGUGUUUCUGUCAAAGAUAAAAUGUGAUAUUAGACGGAUAAAGACUCGUAAAAGGAUUGGAUUUAGUUAGUCAUUCUUGAUUCCCACAGAAAAUAUUGCAGGAGGAUUAGUAGUCAUGUGAAAAUAUCUUGUAGUUUUAUCAUUUUUUUUUUUGCAGAUAAAAACUGAAUUAAUAUUGAGGUUUCUAACAUAGAAAAUCCGAAAUAGUUGUGAUGGCUUUCAUUGUUGUACUCACCUCUUUAUUGUGGUCUUAAACGAGUGGCUUGGGAAGAGUUUAAUGAGACUAUUUAUUGUCCUCAGGCAUCCUAUUAAAGGGGCUUGAGCCCAUCUCGUCACUCUUUAGUGGACUUUAUAGGUCUAGUGGGGCGUGUUGAUCUUAGCUUCAGAGGCAAACCUUAUAAUUGGACAAAUGGCCUAGAGGGCUUUGCAAGCAUUCGGAACAGAAUGGCAAUUUGUUCGACACCGUAGUGUAAGAAAUUCCUUAAUUGGGGGUUGUCCACUUGCCGGUGGUAAACAUGGAUCGCCCUCCUAUUUUACUGAAGUCAACUUCUCCUGAGGAUAAUUCGAGACAAUUUUUUAAAUUUGAAGCCGUAUAGCUGCGGGACUCAACUAAUGUUAACGAAGUGGAAAAGGCUUGGAACAACGAUACGGUAAAUAAUUCAAUGACCUCAUGGCAUAGGAAGCUAAAAUCGAGAGAACUCUCAAAAGGUGGAAUAAGGAACAUUUUUGAUAUUUGCCAACGGUGCCUUAAGGAAUUGAUGGUGUCGCUUGAUUCCAUUCAAAAGGAUGAGCCUUCGUAAGAGGAGCAGGAGGACAAAAAGAAAUCAAGGCGGCUACUAAUGAGCAAUGGGAGAGACUACGUUUUAAAUGGCCAAAGUUCUUUAUUUCUUUGAUCUAGUUUGUUCCAGACGAUGUAUAUUCUUCCAUUAAGUUGGACAACCGCCGAUGGGCGAGACUUGCCUGGAUUUGGACCCCCAUAAGUCGGGAUCGUUUCCAUUGUGGAUUAUGGGAGGCUCACUUAAUCGACAAUUCAAAUGGCAUCCGUUCUAUUGGUCGAGACACAGGCGAAACUUUUCCCUUUGAGCAUAGUCCCAGUAAAGACCUCAAGCUUCUUGAUGUGGCAGCCAUUUGUCCCCGUCCGCCAAAUGAAAAUUUUCGCAAACCAUCCGGCUGGCCACGCUAUGUUUCUGAUUUUGGCAAUCCAUACUCUUUUAAGUGGAUCUCCAUAUAUUUAUGUAUUUAAGUCUGACAGAUCUUUCAAUGAGAGCUUGUAUGGUUUUUCUGAAGGGUCGAUCCUUCAAUCAUAAUGCAACCGUAAUCACACUUUUUAUGGUAAUUCUUAUAUGAAGUGUCAUAAAACUUGACAUUUUCAAUCAACGGCUGAGUCCUUUUCUUUUAAAGUUCGACAAAAGAAAAGUACUGAAAAAGUCAUAAACUUAUCGUGUUGAUACCAAUUUUGCAUUAAACAAUGUAAUCCUAAACUUUUUCAUAUUAGUACCAAUUUCAUCCAUCCGGCCAAUUUAGAUUAAAAAUGGCUAACAUGGAUACCAGCCAUUUUACGUGUCAUGGUCGAUGAUGACGUGGGCAAAUUUUAUUAAUAUUUGUGAAUUUUUAAAUAAUUUUUUGAUUUCUUUACGGUGGCCACCGAUAAAAAGUAAGAAAGAAAAGAAGAGGGAAAUAAGAAAAAAUUCACAAAAAUCAAUAAAAAAAUUAUUAAAAUUUAUCCACAUUAGUGUCGACUAUGCCAUAUAGGACGGUCAAUUUUCACAUCAUCGAUUUCCAACUUAAAUUGACCGGGUGGAUCGAAUUAAUAGUAAUAUGAAAACGUUUAUGACUAAAUUAUCUAAUUAAAAAUUUAGAAUUGAAUUAGUAUAAAUGUAAUAGAUUUAAGACUUUUUUAAUACUUUUCCCAUUUGACAGACACCACCUUUGUGAGAAAUGGUGUGUCGACGGAUUAUACAGGAUUAUACAAUUCCCAUUCGUUUAUUUUUUACCCUUUUAUGAGAUAGCAAAAUAAAUCUAUGAAUCGGAAGGGCAGGUCCAGCUUGGCCCAAUAAAGAUUGGGCUAGGCUGUCCAGUUUAUGAAAUCUUACUCAUGUGAGAGCCCAUUCUUAUCCAUGUCGCCGAAUGCUCUCCCCUCUUUUUUUUUUUUUUUUUUUUUUUUUUUUUUUUCAGGUAGAAUUUGCCUAUUUUAUUUAUUUUUGCCAAACUUUUCUUUCUUGGUCAUACUAUUUUUGCCAAACUUGUCAUCUUUGAAACGUGCUAGGGAUUUUACAACAUUUUAACUCGCUCUGUCCUCGCCCAAUGACCACGAAUUCAAGCUUCAACCUUAUUAAUGGAGUAGCUUAGAAGUGCCAACAGUUAGAGCGCAUGAACAUAACUUGUUCCACUUUAAUAUCCUAAAAAAGUCUUCCGUCCGAGGUCGACAAAUGCGUGCAAUCGCUCGAUGCUUCCUCUGGCUCCUGACUGUGACCAAUCUGUCGGAUGUGUUCUUCCACUUGAAUUCUAUCAUGUAUUUCUUAGUCAAUGACUGAAAACAGGAACAAAGAUAAGAUAAUGUAGUUUAAUGGAAUUUGACUGCAUGCGCUUUUGCAGAUCUCUUUUCUUUGGUGACGUGAUGAAGUUUCUAGCUGCAUAUGAACAACUUUGUCAACAUGGUCGAAAUUCGGUCCAAGACCGGAACUUCCCUGGUUGAGCUUCAUGCUAGAAUAAUGACCCUAGAAAGAUGGAAAGAUGGAAACCAUUAGUCUCAAAGUUGAGAAUUUUUAUAUUGGAUCUUGUUGAUGGGUGCGUUUCCGACACUAAUUUAUGGUUCGAAAACUUCGGAAAAUCAAUAUGCAGUGAUCUGACAUGUUGCAAAGCAUUUAAGCGAAGACCUUAAAAGUAACUAGUGUUAACGUUUUCUCUGGAUGGCAAGAUGGUUUCAACAGACUGAAUUCCAUCCAUCACCAGGCUUCGGAUUCUCUGUCCAGCUCAGAUGAGAUGAGCACUGAAGACUGGUGUCACGGUAUUGAUUGAUGCUAUGGACUUCGAAGGGUCGAUAUAGUUGCCUCUACAAUAGAUGAGAUAAGGGGAAAUCCGUUUUUUACUAGUCAAAGAAAUGAACUUUGGUCAACGUAUCAUUGUCAGAUGAACAUCUUACCCGUGAUCCUCCCUCUUAUUUCCGCUAUCGUAAGUCAAAUUCUGACGUUUAAAGUUGAAAACACAUACUUUAGUCCCCAUUGAACAACCAUUCACCAAGUCCACGCUUCUCAUAUUUUUCGCCUUAAACUUCGUUAAUUACGACAAAUGGCAGUCUCUUUAUCCCUCCAGAAACAAAGCUCAAACCUUGAACACCCGCAGGAUGGAUAGCUUGUGUCUUUGGCUUGUGACAGGAAGUUAGGUUCUGCUCUUCUCAGGCUUCACGGUGGCAGUUGACACCAUUGAUGCAUCUCAAUCGUUAAGCGACAGGGAGACAAUAGCUUCGAGUGGGGGAACUUUUGAACUGGGAUUUUUCAGUCCAGGCAGUUCAAGGGGCCGUCACGUGGGAAUUUGGUAGAAGAACAUCCCAGUUAGAACUGUUGUUUGGGUUGCAAAUAGAAGCAAUCCAAUCAAUGACUGUAGUGGCAUGUUGAUGAUAUAACACAGAUGAUAUAGUCCUACGCCACAACAACAGUGUCGUUUGGUCCGUGAACACUGCUGGAUGGGCCGAGAAUCCAGUUUUACAGCUCUUAGAUUAUGGAAAUCUUGUGCUGAGAGAUGACAAGAAUGACAGUUUGGAUACCCAUUUGUGGCAAAGCUUGGACUACCCAACCGACACUUUUUUGCCGGAAAUGAAGCUUGGAUGUGACUUAAAGACCAGUCUCGAUUGGCAGUUAUCUUCCUGGAAGAGCCCAGAUGACCUGUCACCGGGAGAUUUCACUUGGGGGAUGGCCAACAGUAAUUUCCCUGACGUUGUAAAAUGGAAGGGCUCCGACACGUACUUUAGGAGCGGACCAUGGAAUGGCCUUCGUUUCAGCAGCACACUGCAGCAAGGGUCCAAUUCCAUUUUCUGGUAUAAUUUUGUAUCUGAUGGAUACGAAAUUUACUAUAUGUAUCAUGUCACCAACAAAUCUGUGCUUGUGAGGAGCAUCUUUGAUCAAACGAACUACUUGUGGGAGCGGUCCACAGGGAGCAAAGCGACUCAAAGCUGGAGGCUCUUCCUAACAGUUCCUAACAGUUCUGAAGGACUGCUGCGACACCUAUGGCAUUUGCAGUACCCACAGCAAAUGCAUGACUAACCAGCUGCCAUAUUGCCAAUGCUUAAAAGGAUUCACACCUAAAAACCCGGAUGAAUGGAACUCCACUGAUUGGUUGCAAGGAUGUGUUUGGAACGAGCCUCUGAACUGCAGCACCAGCGAUGGAUUCAUGAAAUAUUCUAACAUGAAAUUGCCGGAUACUACUCAUUGUUUAGUGGAUAGUAUCUUGAGCCUCGAAGAUUGCAGGACCAAAUGCUUGAACAACUGUUCAUGUGCAGCAUAUGCAAACUCAGAUAUCAGAGGACGAGGAAGCAGAUGUGCAAUGUGGUUCGGUGAUCUGAUAGGUAUGAGACAGUAUCCAGAUGAUGGACAGUUUCUGUAUGUGCGAAUGCCAGCUUCUGAAAUAGGUACUAUCUUGUUUUGGCAUCUCUGAAAAAGGUAGGUCUUGCACUAGAUUUCCUUUUCACCUAUCAUUCUUUUUCCUUUCAAAUGUGAGCACAAACCUUUCCAUAGUUACCCAUUAUAUCUGGCAUUUAUAUGUUUUUAAUGCUGACUUUUCAAUUGAGCAGGGAAGAGUAAGUCCAAGGUGUGGAUAGCUCUGGUAGUUGUAUUAGCAAUUGCCAUAGCUAUUGCCAUGCUAGUCGCCAUCUGUUACGCCCGCAGAAGAAGGAAAAACUUCGGCAGUACAUAUUUCCUUUCAUGACUUUCCUCACAAUACUAUGUUUUCAUGCAAAAGAGAAUAUUUGUGGUCUAAGAAAAGAGAGAGAAUAUCGAAAAUUAUUACUCUUGAUUUGAUAACUGAAAAUUUGGCAUAGUCAGAGAGUUGCAUAGUCAGAAAAUUAUUAGAAGUGGGACUUACUACACAUGCUUCCCUGCCUUCUUUUUGCUUGAGCUAAGUACCUCCGAUUUUCCACAUCAGAGAUAGCAGAAGAUAUAUCUGAAGGUCAAGAGAGUAAACACCCUGAUGAUGACUUGGAGCUCCCAUUAUUCGACCUACACUCAAUUGUUGAGUCCACAAAUAAUUUUUCGAUGAGGAACAACCUAGGUGAAGGCGGUUUUGGACCUGCAAGAUAAAACAAAAUUUGGAGUGGACUAUCCGAAACAUAGCACAAAGAUCCGGCCAUCAGAAUUGAAUCUUCCCAUUGUUGUUUUUAUCCAGGGUAUACUUUUAGAUGGAGAGAAAUCGCUGGGAAGAGACUCUCAAGGAGCUCUAGGCAAGGACUGAGGGAGUUCAAGAAUGAGGUCCUACUAAUUGCAAAUCUUCAGCACCGAAAUCUUGUAAAGCUUCUUGGUUGUUGCAUUCAGGGAGACGAAAAGAUGCUGAUCUACGAAUUCAUGCCCAACAAAAGCUUGGAUGCCUUUAUUUUUGGUAACCUAGUUGAUGUAUUUCUAGUUAAUUUUAAAAUGUAGCCAUUGCCUGUAAAGAAAAAAAUAUCACGAGACAUGGGACUGACUUGACUAAAACCUGACGGAUAAAGAGAAAAGUAAGUUAUUGGAUUGGCACAAGCGGUUCAAUGUCCUCUGCGGUGUUGCUAGGGGCCUACUCUAUCUCCAUCAGGUUGAGGAUAAUCCACCAGGACCUCAAAGCGAGUAAUGUCCUACUUGACAACGAGAUGAAUCCAAAAAUUUCAGAUUUGGGAGGCUAGGAUAUUUGGAGGGGAUGAGAUGGAAGGAAAUACCAACAGAGUGGUUGGGACAUAGUAAGUAUCUUACAGUUAUCUUACAGUAUGGUCUGCAUAGAGUGAAAAAGGGUGGUUCUGAUUCCAUUUUAAUGCAUGUUGUAAUAUUUUCUUUUGUUCUUCAGUGACUACAUGGCACCUGAAUAUGCUAUUGAUGGGCUAUUUUCAGCAAAAUCGGAUGUGUUUAGCUUCGGUAUUUUGGUCCUCAAAACUGUGUUUGGAAAAAGGAACAGGGGAUUAUAUCAUUCGAAUCAGUCUAGUCGGCCAUGUGAGUAAUUUGUUUUAUAUAAUUUUUUGUAAUCUUAAGUAGCUUUAUGGUCCAAUGAAGUUCGUGCAAUUUUUCAUUUUGUAGGCAUGGAAGUUGUCCGAAGCUGGCAAGUCUUCCGAACUGAUCGAUUCAUGCUUGGUGGACAACAUCCAAUAUAUCUCAAGUGUUACGAUGUGUUCAUAUUGGUCUCCUAUGUCUGCAAGAACAUCCUGAGGAUAGGCCUAGCAUGUCGUCGAUUGUGACAAUGUUGAGCAGUGACAACGCAUUGGCUGUGCCUCAACAACCAGGUUUCCUCGUGGAGAGUAAUCCGCACAGAGGAAAUUCCUCGUCUAGCGUUGGACUCGUCUAUAGUCAAUGAAAUGACUUUUACACUUCUAGAGGCCCGAUGAGAAGACAGGAACUUGCCACAGUUUUGCAUUAUUCUGUACUUGUUUAGUUCAUUAAUAUACAUCAUGGAUUUUUAGAAUUCAUGUUAUCAGUUGAGCCUGUGUAGCUGUAAAUGGUUUGUUAGCAUUGAAUGUCUUAAUAAUCUGUCUUCAUCUCAUGAGCAUAUCUCUAAUCGGCUCGUAUUGUGUUCCCUAGCUGAAACAGACCUCAUUUACAUUGACCUCCUGAUUGUUAACAUCUUGGUGGAGACCCUGGUGAUAGACUCGCCAAUCUCAGAAGCUAAUCUCAGAUCUUCAGGUCGUGGUUGGUACAAAGUAGCUAAAACUCAAACUGAUUAUUCCUUAUUAAGUCUCAAAAGGGGAUAAGAACGCUUCAAGUGCCAAAAGUUGGCACAAAGGGACACUUAAGUGCCAAAAGUUAUGAAAGUGACACUUAAGUGCCACUUUGUAAGAAAAGUGGGACACCUGAGUGCCACCUCCGACGAAGGCAGCCGGAAAUCAUACGUGGCAAUUAAAUAAGAUUAUUUCUCGUCGAGGUGGCUCGCCGGAGAGCUGAGUCAGCUCUAAUUCACCAAAAACGACGUCGUCUCCUCAGGUUGGCCAAAAUGGAGCCCUUAAAUCAACCAAAACGACAUCGUCUCCCCCAUUGCCCCAAAUCUAAAACCCUAAAUCCAGCAAAUUGCCAUUGAAGCGUUGGAGCCCUAAUCCCGAACCCUAACUCGAUUUGCCCCAAAUUCUACGGUUGGAUAUUAAGAAUGGAGAGCAGGACUUUCAGCAGCGACUCAAAUUUCUCUCGCCAAAGCGAAGGAGAAGGCGAGCGUUUCUGUUUUUGUGGGUUACCAAGUCCAAGAAGAACAUCGUGGACGCGAAGGAAUCCUGUGAGAAGAUUCUAUGGAUGUGCCCGAUACAGAGAAGGGUCGAAGUGCAAAUAUUUCGAAUGGGUUGAUGCGAAAUUCUCUCACCGAGCCACAGAGGUGAUAUUGGACCUACUUGAUGGAUGUCAUCAACCUCCAUCUACACCUGUGGACGAUUUGGACGAGGUUGACUCAAUGCAAGCUCAAGCAUCUUCUGCUAACCAUUUGAAGAAUGAAGUUUCAAAGAUGAAUAUUGAACGAAAGUGUUACCGAGCAUUUAUUGUGUUGCUGUUUUUUUGUCUAUCCUAUUUUAUGAUGAAAUGUAAAGUAUUGGAAAAUGAAAAAAAGUUUCUCCGACUGCCAUAGUUGUAAAUGAGGUCAAGGAAAGGGAAUGAAUGAAUGAAUGAGAUGCUGUUUGAAUGAAUGAGAUGCUAUUUGUACUAUAUUUUUGCUUAUUCUCGAAUAUAAAUCGGUGAUGAUGGAAUGUAUAUUGGGUGGAUGUGUUGUGGUGACUUCUUUUCUUCAACUGAAUGUAAACCAGUAGCAAUGAAUCGAAUGGAGUUGGCAUAAGUUGAACAUUCGUAUAUAUAAACCAGCAGCUUCUUUGGUUUGCUGCAAAUCAUCAUUUACAUAGGACAAACAUGAGUGAUUACUCGAGUGCUAUAAGUUGUAUAUAGUGAUCACUUAAGUGCCAGUCGUGAUUAAAAAAAAGUCAUUUAAGUGUCAAGUUAGUAUCAAAAGUGAUCACUUAAGUGCCAUUUGUGAUUAAAAGUGAACACUUAAGUGCCAUUUGUGAUUAAAAGUGAACACUUAAGUGCCGAGUUUUUUAGAAUGUGAUCAGUUAAGUGUCAAUUUUAUUUGUACGUUUCAUCUAUAAACUGCACCAGCCAUCAGCUGCUAUCAGCCACCACGACCGCCCACCACUGGCCACCAUCGGCCUCUAGCCAUCACCACCAGCCACAUCAAGCAUUCCAGGCAUCCACUUGAGCCAUUACUAUGCUGCUGGUAUUCUGCAGUGCAGAAGUUCCUAGUGCCUUACAUCAGCUUGCACCAACACUACCUGGAGCAAGAUGUGUGCAAGAUGUGCAUAUUGCACACUUACAUCUUGCACCAAGUGCAGCACAAACCCCCAACCCCCAACCCCUAUAAUAGACCCACCAGCCUAUCAGUAGGCAUCGGCACCAACAUCUUAGCUACCACACCAGCACGUAGCCACCACCAUAAACCCACCAUUAACAGCCACUGUUGGUGGUGGGUCGUGGGUUUGUUGCAAAAGGGGUUCAUGCAAACUAUACUAGUUACAGCAAAAGGCCCCAACCCAAUCCACAUAGCGGACCCACCACCAUCAAGUUUCACCAACCGCCACCACCAGCCACACAAGCACCCCAGUCACCACCACAGAUCCACCACCAGAAGCAGAAAGCAAUAAGUAAAAGUAAAAACAAAAUACAAAAAAUGAAAAAGGCACCAAAGAUGACAAGCAACAAAAUCAUUUCAUUGAUAUUGAAAUGAAGUCUCACAAAGUCGAUGACAAACUAUUUAAAAGAAAACAUCCACAGUAAAACAAUUGACUCGUCAGCCCCACAAACCAUAUCCCAUCCCAUUUCAUUAAUCAAUAUGCACAAUGCCUCCUGUUCGUGCUCCUUUCACUUGAUUCAUAAUCCUUGUGCUUUUUCUAACUGGACGUGAGGUUUCUUCUUCAACUGUCUCAGGAUGCGUUGAUUCUGAUGGAGGUGCAAUUGUCCUAGGCUGAGCUGAUUGAGAAGGAGCUGGAGCUGCAACUGUCGUAGGCCGAACUGAUUCAGAUGGACCUGUAACUAGGUUUUUCUUACUCUUCUUUCUUGUUGGCGCAACCAAUGUCUUCUUCUUUUUUGUUGGUGCAGCCGUUGAUUCUUGAGUUUGGCCUUGAGAGAUAAGAACCUCUGAACUUCUCCCAGGCUUCAAAAAGAAAACUCAAUUAUUAACAAAAUUUUGCACCAUAAAUUAAAUUAAAUACAGCCUAGUAAGCUUAUAAAACUUACAUUAAGAAUAACUGUUCCAGAACGCUCAUCUGUAUAAAGCCCAUAACCAUACUGUUUUAGCCUCUUUCCAAGAGCUCCUCUUGUUCGAAGGGGAACGUCAGUUUCAGGUACUUGUGAUUGAUUAGCCCUUCUUCUCGCAUGUGAUUUCUUGGGCUCUUAUUGUGGCUGUUUAGCUACAGCAGGGGCUUCUUCUGGGCAUUCGAAUGUUAGACGUCUUGUAGAUGGCCUUCUUGUAGGUGGCUCAUGAUUUGGCUUUCUUUUGGUUGUUUUUCUAUUUAGCCCUUCAGCUUCAAUGACACCUUCUGUUGGCUUUUGUGGUGGCCCUUGUGAUGACCCUUUUAGUGGCCUUUGUGGUGACCUUGGUGAUGGAUCUUGUGGUGACCUUUCAGUUGGGCCCUUUGUUGACAGCUGAGCUCUAGCUUGCCUUCUUCGAACCUGAGAAAAAGACAAAUGAUAUCAUAAAUAUAAACAUCAGGCCAUUGUAAAGGAAAACUAAACACAAAUUAUUUAAGUUACCGGGUAUUUUUUUCUCUGCUUCUGCUGAAGAACAGUCGACUUAACUGGCCCUCCAGUUGCUUCGGCCAAUCCUUGAGCUGGCUGUCUACCUGGCCUUGUUUGAACAGACCCUUCAGUUUCAGGUAUAGCAGGGGCUUCGACCAAUUAUUCACGUGUCAUUCUCCUGACCUGACAAAGACAAAAACAUUAUGUCAAUUAGUUGUACAUAUCNNNNNNNNNNNNNNNNNNNNNNNNNNNNNNNNNNNNNNNNNNNNNNNNNNNNNNNNNNNNNNNNNNNNNNNNNNNNNNNNNNNNNNNNNNNNNNNNNNNNNNNNNNNNNNNNNNNNNNNNNNNNNNNNNNNNNNNNNNNNNNNNNNNNNNNNNNNNNNNNNNNNNNNNNNNNNNNNNNNNNNNNNNNNNNNNNNNNNNNNNNNNNNNNNNNNNNNNNNNNNNNNNNNNNNNNNNNNNNNNNNNNNNNNNNNNNNNNNNNNNNNNNNNNNNNNNNNNUCGUUUUCGCUUUGGUCUUCCCAUUCUCUUCUUUAAUGGCAAAGGUUGAGGUGCUUCAUGAUCUGUUGGCUCCCAGAACUUGGCACCUCUGAUUGGCUGCAACAUGCAUUGGUACGAAGCAAGAUAUCUCGGUUUCUUGUACCAAUCAUCAAGGUAGUCUUCUGUGUUGUGGCCCUUCAAUUGAAUGGCACAUAUGGCAUGUGCACAAGGAAUUCCACUUACUUGCCAUGCUCCACAUGAACACUUCCUCGUACCUAAAUGGACAACAUACUUAUCAGAGCCCUUCAUUAUCUCAUAUCCUUCAUCCCCAUUCCAAAUGGGAUGACAAUACCUACUCGUAGCCAAGUUCUCAUCCAAUUUUUUAGCAAUCCUAGGACCACAUUGCCUAGUCCAGUUUGCAGCCUCAUCCCUUUGUUUGUGCAACCGAGUCAUAACCAUAACCCUUAUGUCUUCAAGCAUCAAGAUAAUUGGUUUGCAUCUGGCAUCUAUUAUUCUUCCAUUGAAUGAUUCGCAGAUGUUGUUAUUUAUGUUAUUGCACUUGAAUUCCUCACUGAAGAACGCCCUACACCAAUACUUUGGUUCUGUUUGGAAUAGUGCAUCAUAACAUUCCCUUGUCAAUUGAAGCAGUUCUUCUUUGGCCAUCCUAAAAUCAGCCAUAUUCGUGCUCUUUGCUAGCUGCCAAAAUUUGAACUGCAGCUUAUCCCCUUUAUAGUUCUUUCCCCAAUUUGCAUAUAUGUGCCGCGCACACAUUCGAUGCUCGGCAUAAGGCAACAACUCAGCUAUAGCUGGAACCAGUCCCUGCAAUAAUUCAAAAAAAGAAAAGAAAUGUAAGCAAACGACAUGUUCAUAUCAACAAGCAAACAAUUGACCAAAUCUUUCAAAGAGUACCUUCUGUUGGUCACUCAUGAACGCCCACCCUGCACCAUUUGUUAUCUCCAAAUCAGCCAUCAAAUUUUUUAGGAACCAGGACCAAUUGUCCUUGUUCUCUACCUUUACAACAGCCCAAGCCAGUGGAAACAUCUGGUUGUUUGCAUCUAUUCCAAUUGCAGCCAACAAUUCUCCCUUGCACAAGCCCUUCAAAAAACACCCGUCCAAUCCUAUAAUCCGUCUACAACCAGAUAAAAAUCCUCGUUUGCAUGCAUCGAAGCAAACAUAGAACUUAUCAAACUUGGUCCCAAUAUCAGGAAGUGGUUGAGAUAGCUAGUGUAAGCACCUAGAGGGGGGUGAAUAGGUGCACAAACAAUUUAUCGAGAUACGUAAGCGAUUCUUGGCAAAUGAUAGAAAUGAAGUUUACUAUGAUUAACGAAAAUGAAGUACGAUCAAAGUAAAGAGAGUAAGGAAGAGAAAAUUGAACACAUGGUUUAUAGUGGUUCGGCUUAUUCCAAGCCUACGUCCACUCUUCCGCACUGACAGCCCACCGGCUGGAUUUCACUAUGAUCAAAAGAGAAGUUACAGCACAGCUUUGCCUUGAUUCCACAGUGUAGAUGUUCUACCACACCUCCUCAAGGUUUCUCACAAAUAUAGACUCUCUUUUGUAUACAAGUAUUCGCUCAAAGUGAUUGUCUAAACAAAAAGGAGCUUCAGACUUUGGAAUUCUUCUAUCGCGCACACCUUGAACAACUAAGACCGUCUUCCUUAUAUACUCCUUUAUGCCAUCAUACCCGUUGGCACUUACCAAAGGAAUUCCUCUAAUCUACCCAUUGGACGGAAUCAAUUAGGAAGAUUGUUCGAGCUAUUAAAGGAACGUGUCGAUAGCCCAUUAAUCCUGUUCGCCCAUACAAUCAGGAUCUCGGUUUCCAUAAGUAGAACCUUCCAAGAAUAUUUAGGCAAUCAUCGAAUCUUCAAUCAUCGAAUCAAUCUCGAUCAAUCAAAGGAUUUUGUUACGUCUUUUCCAGCCACGAGAUCUUCUCCAGUUGAUAAGGUUAAAUCCUUGACGAAACAUCCAGUUCUGGAUAACCUUUCUUCAACGGAUUAGAGAUUGUCAAUGAGGAUAGACUUUGAGUCUUGAGUCUGGCUGUCCGGAGGUCUUCAGACUUUAAAUAGCAGAGUCUGCAAGCCUUCAGACUAGACUGAUGGAAACGUUUUGUCAGCUUCAAAACACUUCAAGAAGAUUUCUCCAACAAUCUCCCCCUUUUUGAUGGUGAUAAAACUUUCCUGCAGAUUUGGAUAACUUUGACCUGCAAAACAUUUAUCAAACACAUAUGCAUAUCUUAUAGAGAUAAAUGGCUAAAUGAAUAACAAUAGAAUCUGCAACCACAGAAAAUAGGUUAGCAGAAAAUAGGUUAGAUUAGUAUACGAUAAAGCCAUCCAUAAGAUAUCAAUAGUAGUUAAUAAAAGCAGUCAAGUCCAAGUCUAGUUCAGUUCUCAUCCAGACACAAAGUCAAAGUCAAACAAAACAAUCCAACAAACAGUCCACACGAUUAAAAGUUUAACGAUUGAAUGUUUGAAAGUUUGAUCAAAUCUUGCAUCUCUCCCCCUUUUUGUCAGCAUUAAAAAGGUUGAGAUGAAGUCAAGAUUGCUUGGGAAUGCGGACAAGCUGGAAAUCUUCCAUAGACUGAACGAUGCCUUCCAGCCUUUUCAAGUCUUCCUUCAGUUGUGCAAUCUCCUCACCCUUGGCAUUGGCCUGAAUCUGAACAGAGAGGGCUUGGAUCUUAUCAUUCAAUGAACAUGAAGAAACUUGACCCGCAUUCUGCAAGUUUUGAACCUCGCAUCCCAAGGCAUAAAUUUGACCUCGCAUCUCCAAGAGAAUAUCUAUGAUUCUGUGAAAAUCUGCUGUAUUAUCAAUCUGAGUACUUGCUUCGGCCCGAUCUGAUGGAGUAAAUGCAGAUGAUGGUAGAUCAGCAUAAUCUCGCAGGUUUGGCGAUGAAACUUCAUGACCUUCUUCUGGAAACUGAGAGGCAUAAACAUCUUCUGGGUUUGCAGGUGAGCGACUGACUCCUUCACUUGCAUCAGGAUAUGAAGACUUCCCUCCUUUCUCUUGAUCUCCCCCUGUUUUCAUGCCUACAGGUGGAGAAGAGAGUUCCUCAGGUUCUCCUUCUUCUCUUCUUUCUUCUUCAGGUCUUUCCUCCUCUGCUUCUUUUUCAGCUUCUCUUUCUUCUUCUUCCUUCUCCUCUGCAUCCUUCUCCUCUGCUUCUUUUGUCAUUUGUUCCGAUUCUUUCUGUGGAACAGGACGACUUAAAUUCUUCAAAGCCAUUGCAGAGAUGGUGAUGUCUUCCUCAUCAUCUUCAUCCUCAACGAGGAGAGCUCUUCUUCUCUUGGAUGGAGCAACCAUGGGCUCCUUCCCUUUUCUUUUAGCUGCAGAAGAGAUUUGAUGAGUUUUGGCAGGAGUCUUCUCCUUGAAUUUUUCCAACUCCUUUCUCAAUUCCUUCAGACGCAUUUUGGUCACCAUUUUCAGUCCUACCACCAUAUGAUCACAUGGUCGAACACAAAAGAUUUGCGGAGGCUGAAUAUUCAGAUGUCUGAAUAACUUCGUAACAAGGCUUGGGUAAGGGAGUUGACUUCUGUCCUUCAUCAUUGCUCUAUACAUGUGAAACAUAACAGUGUGAGGGAGAGAAAACUUUUUCCCAAAGAGGAUGGCAUACAUCAGCUUUGCCUCUGAACUUGAAACAUCAGUUUUGGAAGUUGAUUUCGGUCGGAGGCAAUUAAUCACAAUCUUGUGAAGUAAGAUAUUGAAUGCACUCAUCCUUAAGUAGGUGAUCUUCUCAUCUGUUCUCCUGUCCUUCACCAGUUCCAGUGUGGCUCGAGCAAUGGAAACUUUAAUUGGCUGAUAUCUUCCUCUUUCAACUCCUAACGCAUCUGCCAGCAUAUUCAUAUCCACAACAUAGUCUUGGUCUUUAACGCUGAAAGAGAAUCUAUUCGCAUCCAAAAAGUUAAGAUUUGAAUAGAAAUAUGCAGUUAAUCCAGCAUAGGCCUCGGUAGUGUCAGAGCAGAACUUUUCAAGUUGAAGAUAAUUGAACUUUUCCCUCAAGUUCACAUUCACAGCAUCCAGAAAAUCAAAAUCCACACUCCUAGGGUUUAUUACCCCACGCUUCAGCAAUUUCGAGUACAGAUCCUUUUGUUCCUUCGAUCUGAACAAAUCUCCCAUUUUUCCUUGAUUUUCAACCGCAAUACCCAUUUUCGGUUGAAAUAGGCUGUACAAAUUGUCAUCAUCAUUCCCAUCUACAGGAUUCGGCCCUCAGUCACGAGGAUCACUUGGGAUAUUCGCAAGGGUUUCCUCAGCCACCCCUUUACGAGCAAUUCCCAAACUUUCCAUUUUUCGCAGAAAGAUAUAUUUGUUAUUAUAUCCUUUGUCUUUAAGAAAAUCAUCAACAUAGUUCAAAGGAGUACGAGUUCCUUUUAAGGCACGAUAUAGCUUGUAAAUAUAAGCGGGCUUUUGAACUCUUACAGGGUCUGCAUCCUCGAUGAUUUCUUCCUGUUGUUGAUGAUCAACGGUUUGAGGACUAGAUGGAGGAGAAUGACGCUGCUGAGAAUGUUGUGGGCUCGGUUGCUGUUCUGGAGACACUUCUUCCUCAGUAAGAUCGAAGUGCGUAGGCCCCUCACUCAUUCGCCGUGGUCCCCUGCUUGCGAUUCUAGAAGACUUUCUUGAAGAUGACAUCUUUCUCAGUUUUUGGAAGAUUCCUUGCUUGACUUUCCCAAGAAAGAUGACAACUUUUUGAAGAUUAAACAAAGAAGACAAACGAGAAUGGAGGAUCGAUGCUUUCUAGGGUUUUUGAGAGUAAAGUGAAGAGGAAUCAACAGUGCACGAUCGGUUAAAAAGAGAGAUAAAUGAAUCGUCACAAAGGAAGGUAAAAAGAUGCCUUUUUGAAAUAACUGUCUUUUUCCGUGAAAAUAGUCAUUUUAAAAAUAACUUCUUUUUGGAAAAUGAAAUGAUGCAAUAAUUACGUCGAUUAAAGAUAGCAAUAAAACACGGUUACCAAUCGUACCUUUUCAAGAUAAGAUUCGAGAGAGAGAGAGAGAAAGACUAACUUACAGUCUGACGGUCGUACCAAGACUAACUUACAGUUAAAGUCUUGUAUGUCUGAGUCUGAAAGUCUUUAGACUUUGAUUUCCUCAUACCUCAAAAUGUUGAGUCUGGAACGGAUGGUUUCGAACUGAUUUUUCUCCAACGGCUUUGUGAAUAUAUCCGCCAGUUGGUUCUUUGAGUCAACAAAUUGAAUUGAAACAUCUCCAUUUUGAACAUGGUCUCUAAGUGAUGUCGAAUCUCUUUAUGCUUCGCUCUUGAGUGUAGAAUUGGAUUUUUGGUGAGAUUGAUAGCGCUGGUGUUGUCGCAAUUAAUCUCCGUGCAUGAGUCUUCAAUUCCAAAGUCUCUUAGCUGUUGUUUCAUCCACAGAAUUUGCGAACAACAACUUCCGAGAGCUACAUACUCUGCUUCUGCUGUAGAGAGAGCUACUGUGCUUUGCUUUCUUGAAAACCAAGACACUGUCCUGCCUCCAAAUAGUUGACAAGUACCCGAGGUGCUCUUUCUAUCGACUUUGCAUCCAGCAAGGUCUGCGUCUGAAUAUCCAAGAAGAGUAAAGUCUCCCCUUUUUGGAUACCAGAGACCAAAGCUUGAAGUUGAUGAGAUAUAUUUGAUAAUACGCUUUGCUGCAUUUAAAUGAGAUUCUUUUGGGUCUGAUUGAAAUCUGGCACAGAUGCAAACACUAAACAAAAUGUUAGGUCUAGAAGCAGUAAGAUAAAGAAGAGAUCCGAUGAUACUCCUGUACAGCUUUUGAUCAACUUUCUUCCCUUCUUCAUCUUAGUCUAUCUUCAAGGAACUUGACAUUGGUAUGUCAGCCUUUUUGCAAUUGUCCAGACCAAACUUUUUGAUAAGAUCAUUUGCAUACUUUUCUUGAUGAAUAAAAGUUCUUUCCUCCAAUUGUUUUAUUUGAAGUCCAAGAAAGAAGGUUAACUCACCCAUCAUGCUCAUUUCAAAUUCUUCCUGCAUAAUCUUAGAAAAUUUCUUGCACAGACUUUCAUUAGAGGAUCCAAAGAUAAUAUCAUCGACAUAUAUUUGAACAAGCAGAAAACUUUUGCUUUCGCUUUUAAUAAAAAGAGUAGUGUCCACUUUACCUUUAACAAAUCCAUUUUGAAUUAAAAACUUACUUAAUCUGUCAUACCAAGCUCGAGGUGCUUGCUUUAAGCCAUAUAAGGCCUUUUUGAGUCUGAAUAUUGAGUCUGGUUUCCUUGGGUCUUCAAACCCUGGUGGUUGUUCCACAUAGACUUCCUCAUGGAUGAAUCCAUUUAGGAAAGCACUUUUGACGUCCAUUUGAAAUAACCUGAAAUUUUUAUGACAAGCAAAUGCAAGUAAUAAACGAAUUGCUUCUAACCUUGCUACCGGUGCAUAAGUCUCGUCAUAGUCGAUCCCUUCUUCUUGUGUGUAUCAUUUGGCCACGAGUCUUACUUUGUUUCUUACGACUUUACCUUUCUCGUCCAUCUUGUUUCUGAAAACCCAUUUAGCUCCAAUAAUUGAUUUUCCUUUCGGUUUUGGAGUUAAUUCCUAGACAUCAUUAAUUUUGAAUUGUCUGAGUUCUUCUUGCAUAGCUUCAAUCCAGCUUUCAUCGGAUAAAGCUUCUUCUAUGCUCUUGGGUUCUAUUUUAGAAAUAAGAGCCACGGCACUAGACUCUUUUCGCAUUUUGGAUCUUGUGCGUAUUCCUUCAUUGAUGUCGCCAAUAAUAAGAUCUUUGGGAUGACUGGACUUAUGUUUCCAGUUGCUGAUUAAUUGAUGAUCACUUCCUUCACUUGAAUCUUCAACAGUUACUUGUUGCUGAUCCUUCAAAAUCUGAGCUGCUUCUUGAUAUUUAGACUUUGUUGAGUCUGGAGCAGAUUCAGUCUCUUCAAGAUGAGUCUGAAUGGAUUCAUUUUGAAUGGAAUCUUGGAAUUUGACAUUCAUUGAUUCUUCCACAGUUUGAGUCUUCUUGUUGUAGACUCUGUACGCUUUACUUGUAGUUGAAUAUCCAAGGAAGAUGCCUUCAUCUGACUUUUCUUCAAACUUACCAACUCGAUCAUUUGCAUUUUUCAAUAUGAAACAUUUGCAUCCGAAAACAUGAAAAUAUGAAACAAUUGGCUUCUUUUCUUUAAAUAGUUCAUAAGGGGUUUUUUCUAGAAUAGGCUUUAGAAAGACUCUAUUGAUAAUAUAACAUGAUGCUGAAACUGCUUCAGCCCAAAAUCGUAAAGAGAUAUUGCUUUCAUUUAAAAGAGUUCUAGCCAUUUCUUGAAGAGAUCUAUUCUUCCUUUCCACGACUCCGUUUUGCUCUGGAGUAUAUGGAGAGGAGAACAAAUGUUGAAAACCAGAUUCAUCACAAAAUUUUGCAAAGUCUUGAUUUUCAAAUUCACCUCCAUGGUCUGUUUUUAUACUUGAAAUGACAUACCCUUUUUCAUUUUGAACCUUCUUAGCAAAUUUUUCAAAGUAAGAGAAAGUUUCAGACUUACUUGCCAAGAAAUAUACCCAAGUAAAUCGUGAGUAGUCAUCCACAAUUACUAGGCAAUAUUUCUUACUUCCAAUGCUCUGCGUUCUUGUUGGUUCGAAGAGAUCCAUAUGCAAGAGCUGCAGUACACGGUUAGUGGAAACUUGAUUUAUUGGUUUAAAGGAAUUUCUUACCUGUUUUCCCAAUAUACAUGGUGUACAUAGAUCGGACUUUUGAUAUGAUAAAUUGGGUAGACCACGAACAAGCUUCUUUGCUGAGAUUUUGGCUAUUUGCUUCAUGUUGAUAUGCCCAAGCUUUUUGUGCCAUAAGUUCGCUUCGUCUUGGAUUGAGAUUAGACAUUGCGAUUCAUCUGGUUUCACGUCCAAGAGGUAGAUAUUCCCAUGUCUUCGACCCAUGAAUGACUGAGUAGAGUCUUUACUGGUUCCUGAACAAAUACCUUCUUGAAAGUUGAUUCUAAAACCGGCAUCACAAAGCUGACUGAUACUGAGCAGAUUGUAAUUGAGCCAUUCAACUAAAGAAACAUUGCUUAUUGUGAGGUUCCCAAUCUUUACAGUUCCAACUCCCACUAUUUUUCCUUUGCUGUUUCCUCCAAAUGAGACUUUUCCACCAUUCACUUGAAUGAGCUUUAUGAAGUAAUUUGAAUCUCCUAUCAUGUGUCUGAGCAUCCACUAUCCAGAUACCAUUUCACUUUUUUCUUGAUAGUGAUCUGCAUUCAAAAAGAAACUCAAGCUUUCUUUGGUACCCAUAUUUUCUUGGGUCCUUUUGAGUUAGUCUGAUAUACAGUUUUUGCCCAGACUUUAUUGACAGGUCUCCAAACCAUAGGACAUUCUUUCUCAAAAUGAUCUGCACUAUUGCAUUUUGAACAUCUAAGAGCAUUGCGAUCUACUGGUUUUACAAAGUUCAUUUCAAAAUGAUUUUUGUAAGCGUUUCUUGUGGGUCUUUGUUUGAUUCUUUCUUUUACUUUAGGAAAAUCGAUUAAAGGAAUGGUUUCAGCAGUCAUUCCCAAUCCAGAUUUAUUGAAAUAAGGUCUUUGAGCAGAAAGUAUUUUCUCCAGUUUUUCAGAACCUAAAGAAAAUCUUUUGGAAAUAUUUGAAAUAUCAUUUUUCAAGAAUGCAUUUUCUUUUAAAAGAUUAUUUUCACUUUCUUUGAGAGAAGAAACAUUCUGGUCUAAGCAUUUCACUUUUUCCUCCAAAGCAUUCUCUUGUUGUUUUAAAGCAGAAUUUUCUUUUUUGAGUUCGGAAAUUCUUUUAAGAGAAGUCUUAAGACUAAAACAUAAUUCAUCAAUGUAUUUUGAAACUUUAAUAGGGAUUUUAAAGUUACUUACCUCGAAUUCACUUUCUGAAUCUGAAUCAGUCUCGGAGUUUGAUUCUGAAUCCGAUUGUGCCAUUAGACAUAUGUUGGCAUAAUCAUCAUCACUAUCUUCGCACUCUGUAUCACUCCAGGUUUCAGCUUUGACAGCUUUUCGAUAUCUUUCAGUUUUUCCUUUCUUCUUCCUUAGAAGAGGACAGUUGGGUCUGAUGUGUCCCUUUUUCUUACAUUCAAAGCAGACUACAUCUUUGUUUGAUUCUUCAUCUUCAGCAGACUUGGUCUGUUGCUUUUGAAAACUUUGUUUCUUUGCAUUGAAUCUUCUUCCUUUUCUGUUCAGCUUUCUGAAUCUUCUUAUCAUAAGAGCAUGUUCUUCAUCAUCCACGUCGUCUUCAGAAUCUGUUACAUCAGAAUCAUCAUUAGAUUUUAAUGCAAUAGAUUUCUUACCUUUAGGGUCUUCGUCUUCAUUGAUUUGUUCCACUUCAUAGGAUUGAAGAGUCCCAACCAACUUAUCGACAGACAGUGGCAUGAUUCUUUGGGUCUCCCUGAUUGAGGUCUUUAUGUGAUUCCAAUCCUUGGAGAGUCCACGCAGUAACUUGUUUACUUUCAUGGGAUCAGAAAUUGGUUGGCCUUGAUUUUCAAGACCAUUCACGAUAUCUGUAAAAUGACUAAACAUGUCAGUUAUAGAUUCUCCUGGUUUCAUUCUGAAGGCUUCGUAUUGACCGAGAAGAAUGUUGAUUCUUGUCACUUUCACUCGAUCGGUUCCUUCAUAAGUAAUGUGUAAUCUAUCCCAGACUUCUUUGGCUGUAUCACAAGAAGAUAUUCUGUUAUAUUCAGUAGGUGAUAAAGCACAAUAUAAAGAAUAAAUUGCUUUUGCAUCAAGAGCUUGUCUCUUGAUUAUCUCUUCCUGAGUCAUUUCGCUAGACUCAACAGAGUCUUUUCCUCUUUCUGAGACAGGAGCAGCUUUGGGAACGAUUCAUUUUUCUACAACGUCCCAUUCCAGAGGAUCCUUUGAUCUUAAGAACGCCUUCAUCUUGUUUUUCCAUAUGUUGUAGUCCUUUCCAUCAAAAUAAGGUGGUCUGGUGUUGCUUUGCCUUCUACCAGCCCUGGAGCCAACAUACUAGCCAUGGAUCUUUAACUCUGAAGUAAAAUACUUCAAAAAAAGUGAGUACACGAGCUCUGAUACCAAUUGAGAUAGCUAGUAUAAGCACCUAGAGGGGGGUGAAUAGGUGCACAAACAAUUUAUCGAGAUANNNNNNNNNNNNNNNNNNNNNNNNNNNNNNNNNNNNNNNNNNNNNNNNNNNNNNNNNNNNNNNNNNNNNNNNNNNNNNNNNNNNNNNNNNNNNNNNNNNNNNNNNNNNNNNNNNNNNNNNNNNNNNNNNNNNNNNNNNNNNNNNNNNNNNNNNNNNNNNNNNNNNNNNNNNNNNNNNNNNNNNNNNNNNNNNNNNNNNNNNNNNNNNNNNNNNNNNNNNNNNNNNNNNNNNNNNNNNNNNNNNNNNNNNNNGGUUUCUCACAAAUAUACUCUCUUUUGUAUACAAGUAUUCGCUCAAAGUGAUUAUCUAAACAAAAAGGAGAUUCAGACUUUGGAAUUCUUCUAUCGCGCACACCUUGAACAACUAAGACUGUCUUCCUUAUAUACUCCUUUAUGCCAUCAUACCCGUUGGCACUUACCAAAGGAAUUCCUCCAAUCUACCCGUUGGACGGAAUCAAUUAGGAAGAUUGUUCGAGCUAUUAAAGAAACGUGUCGAUAGCCCAUCAAUCCUGUUCACCCAUACAAUCAAGAUCUCGGUUUCCAUAAGUAGAACCUUCCAAGAAUAUUUAGGCAAUCAUCGAAUCUUCAAUCAUCGAAUCAAUCUCGAUCAAUCAAAGGAUUCCAUUACGUCUUUUCCAGCCACGAGAUCUUCUCCAGUUGAUAAGGUUAAAUCCUUGACGAAACAUCCAGUUCUGAAUAACCUUUCUUCAACGGAUUAGAGACUGUCAAUGAGGAUAGACUUUGAGUCUUGAGUCUGGCUGUCCGGAGGUCUUCAGACUUUAAAUAGCAGAGCCUGCAAGCCUUCAAACUAGACUGAUGGAAACGUUUUGUCAGCUUCAAAACACUUCAAGAAGAUUUCUCCAACAGUGGUCUCUCCACAACCUCUACAUACACUCUACUUGAAGGAUUUUGCAGCCUACACUCCCAAGCAUAAUCCCACACCUGUCCAUAUUCGCUGCUGUAUUGAUCAAUGAGUAUCUUCAUCACCUUUUGCUUCGUUCUUUUGCAUUGAUUCUUGCUUAUAUUGAUGCCAACCUGCUCCUUCACCAGCAACCUGAACUGAGUACUAUUCAUCUGAGGCAUCAUCUUAAUCAUAUUAAAGAAGUGCUUGCACAACCAUGCACUUGUUACCCUUUUAUUUUCAAAAUUAAUGGAACAAGUAUGUUCCUCUUCGUACGCUCUAAUCUGGAAAGAUCCACUUCUCCUAACAAAUGCACCAUAGAUCCUCCAUGGACAAUUUUGCUGCGAACACUUAGCUCUUACAAAGGCCUUAGUGUUUCUAAUGAAGUCAAUGUUCCUCUGUGCAGCAAUGGAGUUCUUCAGUAUAGCUUCCCUAAAUUGUUUUGCAUCUUGAAAUUUCAUACCUACCGACAAAGUAGGAGAGGCAACGGAUGGAUCAUAAGAAGGAAACUUACUUUUCCUUCUCCUUGUAUGCACAACUCCUUCAUCUUCUUCAAGCUCAUCCUGGGAAGUAACAUUCUCAAGGCUUUCUUCAUAAUCAGUCUCCUCACCAAUGGCAACAGCAUCUACAGAGCCUUCGGCUUUAUUUGGAACUUCAUCAGCUACCUGCAAAGCUGCAAAUUUAUCUGUCAAAAAAUCCCUUUGCCUUUUUCUUGACUGUACAAGCUCCUCGUCGUCGUUAUCACUUGUGAAAUUUGCAGUAGGCAACCCUUCAUCAUCAUCAUCACUUGAUUCAGCUACUUCCCAAUCUAAUCCAGUGAUUGUGACAUCACCUAUGUCAUCAUCACUAUGGUGAACUGCAUCUGCGCUCCUCUCCUCUCCAUCAUGUCUAUCCUGCCUUUCUUCGACCCUAACCUCAGUACUACCUUGAAUACCAUUUCCUUCUUGUUCUAUUUGGGCACUUUCUUCAUCAUCAUCUUUAUCCUCACUUUCAUUGUACUCAACAUAUAUUUUUACCUCUUCACCAUGAAGAUAAUGGUAUAGAAUAUCCCUAAAGCCGUUAUCGUUUUCUAAGGUUCGCAAACCAUCUCUUAAACCUUUCCCAGGAAUACAAUACAACAACUUCUAAACUUUACAAGGCAAAUAAGUUAGUAUAUCCCUAACAAAUCCUAUAUAAGAUGCCUUCUUAAUGUCGACAAAAAUGGUGCCCUCAUUUCCACCCUCAUACUCCCACUCAUCCUCCCCAAUUACAAAUUCCCCAGCAUAGCAAACUAUGACAGCGACAUAAUCCUUGGCAUGAGCCAUUUCUGCACCAACAACAAGACAAAGAAUAAUUAGUUUUGGGACCACAUCCACAAAGAACAAUAGACAAUCGCACAAGGGAGUCCCCCCACUCUCAUAGACUUUAUUAAACAGGUCCCCACACUGACAAUAUGCCCAUAUAUGACAGCCAAAAAAGAGGUCGACACUUUAAUAAUUUACCUUCCCUUCCUCUACAAUAUUAAUAAAAAACAGAGGCCCCCACACUGAGAAUAUGCCCCUUCAUGACAGCUAAGAGGUCGCCACUUUAAUUAUUUUGCCUUGCCUUCCAUUCCCUUAAAAUAUAAACCAAAAACAGAGGUCCCCACAACAAGCAUAGGUCCCCACAUUUGCUGAACUAAACCUGCGAUGUGAGAAUGUACAUCCACUUAAUCAAAUCUAUUUUUCCUGUGAAACACAUAGAAUUUCAUUAAAGCAAGCUUGAUGUAAAAUUAUAGGGUAAAAGUUCUGUUUCUCAUCCAGCCAAGAGGAGAAAUCAUACCCCUAAUCUAUAAUGUUUGGCCAUUAAUAUAUUGUGUCAAGAGGUCAUUACACAAUCCAAGCCCUAAAUUUAUCCAUUGCACAGUAGACUAAUACUACAUGUCAAAAGAGCUCAUAGUUUAUAAACUUUAAAAUGAGGUACUUACAUGUGGUUUCAAAUUUGUCCCUUGCAGGUAAAUGAACUUAUAUAAAGUAUCAAAACAAAUUUUGCACUCCUCAAUGCCCUGCAUAUAUGUCGACUAUCUGAUUAGAAACAACAAUCAGGAAAGAAGACUAAAAGAACGAAAAGAUCGGAAUCAAAGGAACAAAAGCAGAUUGAUAGCAAAGUUGCGUGCUCUUUGCAGAGCACUUAAAGGCCAUUAUUCCAGCCACCUGAUUCAAUAACUUUUCACUCAAACACAUUAGUUCCUAGUUCCACAUUAGUCAAUAUUUUGUCUCACUCGAGCCUUGACUGCAUAAAUCAUCGACUGAGGCAAGCAUCUCCACACAAGGGAGUAACCAAACAGAGCGCGCACAUUUCAACAGCAUUUCCAUCGUAGCCUUAAUAAAAUAAUCGAGCGAGCCCUAAUAAAAUAAUCGAGCGAGCCCUAAUAAAAUAAUCGAGCCCUAAUUUCAUCACGAGGGAGGGGGAAAAGGGGCCCAACCUAGAGGAGUGACGAUGGUGAGCAGGGAUGACGACCAACGAUGCUGAGUGGCUACGACAACCAACAACGGCGACCGAUGACCACCUAUGGGCGUGAACGGCGACAGAGAGAAGGGCGGCGACGGCGUGAACAGCGAUGGAGAGAAGGGCGGCGACGACUGAGAUCUAAUGUGAACGCAGAUGGGAAGGAACAACGACGGCUAGGUGUGCUUAAGCCAAAAUGACCUAAACGACGUCGUUUAACACCAACGAAAAACGACGUCGUUUAGGUCAGCUCACUCAGUGUGGGUGGACAACGUCGUUUUGUCGUCCACGUGGGUUUUUUUUCUUUAAACGUUUGCCACCUCAGUAAAAGAAGUCGUCGGGAAACGCCACGUAUGCAAUUUGGCCGGAUUUUAGCCGGAUUGGCACUCAAGUGAUCAAUUUUGCUCCGAUUUUGGCACUUAAGUGUACCUUUCGUAACUUUUGGCACUUAAGUGUCCCUUUGUGCCAACUUUUGGCACUCCAGGGGUCCGUGUCCCGUCUCAAAAGGAUCACUAGCUUUGAUUGCCCCUUUUCACCAUUUAUGCCUUCACCUAUAAGUUCCAACCACACCAAUGCAACAAAAUUUAGUGCUUAAGGACUACCAUCACUAGGUUACCUGACUAUCAACUACAAACAGGGAAAUUGCAUGUCUCAGCUGGAAAAUUGCAUCAAUUUAGAAUGUCACCCGAACAAAUGUAUCUUACAUUGAGCAAUAUCAAAGGGAUAUACACAGCAAACAUCCGCAAGGUCAUCACUCUAAAUGAAAACCUUAACUUAUGAUACUCCAGAGAACAUGGCAUGUCCUGUAGGGUCGAGGAGGGCACUCAAGCAACAUUAUAAAGGUGUUCACCAAAGUGUGAGAUAAAUUGAGUGAACUUCAUAUAUAAAAUCGUGGUAUUGAUCUAUGAGCAAUAUAAACUGAGGAAAAGCCAAGGAAGAGUGUCUUAAAGAGGAUGUAAUGCUCCUUGGAACAAAUUCUUCAGCCAUUUCAACACAGAAAUCAGAGAUACUUAAAAGUUCAAACACAGAGGAUAAAAUUUUAACCAAACUUCUUUUUAUACUGCUUAAAAAUGAGCUGCCCUUUACAAGCAUUGAGGGGUUUAUUUCCAGGAGUAUAGACAAUCAGAACCCACGAUCACUUCUUUCUCUUCCUUUUUGUUUGGUCAUUUCUAGUAUGAACAAGAGAAGCAGGAUGAGAGUGAUACACUCAUACUCCACAAAAGGGUCCAGCAGCUUGCAAUGAUAUAUCUGAUAGAGCUUAAUUGCUAACAAAUUCAAAAUUAAUCAACCUGAGGUAGGAAUAGUAAUGGCAAGGAUAAAAACAUCUCAUAACACAAUUUUCAAGAGUAAAUCAAAAUGAUGGGUAAGCCAAACUCCAUGAACACCAGGUGAUCAAUAAACAAGUGGACAAAUUUCAUGUAUCGAAUCCCAUUUUAGGGUAGUCACCAUUCUUCCACUACAAACUGAGGAUUCAAUUGGCUAACAUGUAGCCACAAAAGCACAUUACACAGAAAAUGAGGCAGAUGGUAUACGAAGCAUUAUGUAAAAUGCAGUUCUUGUUACCUAAAAACUUCAAAUUGCAUUUGAUGAAUGCCAAUGUUCAGAGUGGAUAAAUCACAAAAGAACAGAACAAGGGAAGCCACUCUCAAGCAGAGGAACCCUCUUCAAUUUUGGUAUAUUCCAUAUAUAUCCACUGGAUAAAAUUGCAAAUCGUGGUCCCAUCACAUAUGCUCCAGUUCUAGACGAUUCCAUAGAGCCACGUGAGUUAACUUUGGGAAGGAGGAGUGCUCAUGUUGGCUAAUCAAACCUAAUCAAAUUAAAUAGAACGAAUGUAAACAAUCUAAAGACAUUAGAGACUUCUCUGGCCAAUCGAACUUAAUCAAAUAAAACAGAAAGUGAUUUAGUGUGCAAAUAUGCAAUUGGAAAUACGAAGUCCAAGAAAAGUAAGCAUUUAUCUGAAAGACUAAUUUACACUGGUUUAAUUUUGGCUUAAAGUAUAGUGAUUGAUUUAAAAAUCAGAAAGGACUCGACAGUGAAGAUAGAUAGUACUGGAUGAGCUAUAACAGAAAAGGCAAUUAAAAGAAAAGGAAGAAUGGAUUGACAUGCUAUCUAAGCACUCCCAACUAAUAAAGCAUAAGUUAAGAAUUGACCCGAUAUUUUAGCACUUUAAGUGUUAUAAUAAUUUACCUGAAUGCAUAGCCCUUUGAUCUACUUUAUUUGUCAGUGGCCCAUUUGACACGUAUCUAAUUGUUAAAGUAAUGAAACAUUUUUCUUAUUCCAGUUUAAUGAAAUUUAAAAAAAAAAAACAAAUUUUACAUUUCUAGGCUUCAGCAUCUUUCUAACAAGGGUGUCAUAAUCAAUUAUUUUGUAUAUAUGAGAAAUGGAAGACAGAAAAUAUUCCUACACUGAUAGUAACUUUUCUGCAGCCAUUAAUUAUUUGUUAUCUCCUUAUUGUGAUCAUUUUGACCCAAAAAGUGACUGUUUGACGUAUAAGAAUUUGUAUCAGUCUAUCCAAAAUUUUUGUAUUCUUAGAAUGGCUCUUAUAGUAAAGUCGGCGAGAAGACCAUCAUUUAAAUGUACAAAGAGAACCUUGCCCAAAAAAAGGAAAAGCGUGGACUAUUGCCGUUGUUACUCAUUCAAUGUUAAGGGAGUAUUUCUAGUUUCUGAACAACACCGUAACUAUUAAGUUUCAAUAAUCAUAUAACCAUUUUGCUAUACUCUCAAGCUGUAAUAAGUCAUUUAUCAGUGAGUAGUACGGGCAGUUCCUAAGUAGUGAUGUGGUAUACAACUUGGUAUAAAAAUUUUGGGGAAAAAACCGAACUUCUGUACCGCGGGAGAUCAAUCCUUAGAAGGCCCCGUGGGAGAUGGAGAGGAUAACAGAGUAAAAUUUGUAGGUGACUCACCAAGAACAUUCGACCAAGUGUUCUAAUGAAUCACGGGCAAGGGGAUUGUCCCACUCCAGCGACUCCCACGUCUGCUGAUCUAUCUGAAUCUCCCAAAGAGAGGGGGGAGGAGAAGGGAGCCCAUUGUCAAGUAGGGACAGCUGCAGAGGAAUCCUCCUUAGUUUCGGACAAUUGUAUAUAGAAAUCCACCGGAGGGAAUUGCAACCCAUGGUCCCAUCACAUAUGCUCUUCAGUUCCGGAAGAUUCCAUGGACCCAGGUGAAUUAACUUUGGGAAAGAGUGCGUCAUGUUGGCAGUGCCUAUUAUCACCUCUAUGCCCUUGCAGUCUUCGAUUGAUAUCUCUAGGAGGAAAAGGAGGUGAAGCGAUAUGUCUUGCGUCAGCAGCCUCUUCAUGUUGUUGCAUCCGUUUACUUCGAGAUACGUGAGAAAACAAGUGGCACCGCUUGGUAGUGACCCACUAAUUAUCUCCUCUAAUUCAUCACAAUUAUAUACAAUAAUCUCCUCCAGUUUUGAAAAGCAAGUGAUCAUCCACUCCCAUCCCAUCACACUCUUCAAUUUAUGACACCUGGACACUCCCAAUGAUUGCACACUUUCUGGAAUAAGAGCACAGUGAUCACUGCUUGUUCCAUCUAUGCUUGCAAUGAUAUGGUCACAACUAUUGAUGAAUAUACGCCUGUAAGUCUGAGACUCGCAGUGAUACGGUGCAUCCAUCACAAGCUUGUAUUGUUGGGAACUAUUUUGCUCAAGAAACCUCAUGCAUGCAUUGAAUGUUUCCACGUCGGGAACAGAACAAUCAAGUGCUUCCAACUUCUUUAAUUUUGCUACUUCUCCUGCCCUCACCUUUUUAAUCAUAAGGUAUUGCAAAUUCACCAGAUUCCCCAACACUCCUUGUGUUAAUGUCUCGAUCUUUGUGCCAUCUAAGUCAAGGUACCUCAGGUUGACCAACAUCUCCAUUCCCUCCGGCACUUCAUCAAGGCUUGAACACCCUUGGAGGUCCAACUUUCUGAGGUGUCCCAACUUUCCUACAUGAGGAAUAAGUUUUAAUGCCCGACACCUCCGCAGUAGCAGUACUUCCAAUUUGUCCAAGUGACAGACGGACUCCGGCAAUUCCGCGAUUUGGGUGUUGCUGAGAUCUAGAUUCUUCAGCACCUUCAAAUUUCUGAAGAAAGAAGUGUGGAUAUUUCCCAACAUGACAUUGUUAUUUAACAACAACCUGGUAAGUUUAGGGCAAUUUGGCGAUAUGCCGUGUGUAAUUUCUUCUAUUUUGUUGCCUUGUAAAUAGACUCUCUCUAGGCAAUCGGUCCAGAAUACUUCCUCUGGUAUUUCUUUCAACCCCAUAUAGGCCUUAACCAUGUGAGUUGUGCUCGUCACCAUAUGCAAUGCCAUGUACCUUGUCAAUGGGUGUAGAUAUAGACACUCUACCUCUAGAUCAUCCAACAGGCAAGCCUUUCUCAUUUUAUCCAAUAUGGUGUUACCUUGGUCAUGCAGUUCUUGCAAGGUUGCAAGUCCAUCUAACAAACCCUCAUCUAUGAACGACUCUAUCAAAUGCUCUCUACUAGUUUCUAAAAGGUCUUCACCAAAACAAAGUGCUAAAUGCAAGAAACACUAUUGCACUUGAUGAUCACCCAAGUUCAUGUAACUGAGUUUCAGUCCUUUGAACGCCUCAAGUUCUAUCCUUGAGUCUUUGAAUUUUUGCAACAUGCCUUUCCAUUCGUGAACUUUCUCUACUCCCCUCAUGCGAGUCCCUAUAUCAAUGAUCCCAAGUGGCAAACCAUCACACUUGUGCAUGAUAAACUUCGCAAUUUCUUCAAUAUCUGAAGGGAGUUUUCCAGCGAAGCAAAGUACCUUUAAAAAUAACCUCCAAGACUCUUCCCUCUCAAGAGGUUUUAUUUUGAUUUGCUUUUGACAGAGCAUCAUAAAACACACAUCUAGUGAUCGAGUAGAGAGCACCAACUUUACACUGCCCAUUUCAACUGGAAUUCCCACGUCUUUAACUUCGAAAUGCAUCCACAGGCCAUCUAAAAUUAGAACAGAUUUCUUCAUCCUCAGAUGUCCAUACAGUAUGCUUGCCCUCCUCUUCACGUCCUUCUCAUUUGAGAUAUUGUGUAGCCCGACUGCAUUGGCAAUCUCUUCUUGCAGUGCAUAUGUGCUAAAUUCCAAAGGCACAUUGACCCAUAAUACAUCAUCAAAAGCACGAUUCUCCAAGAGUUUAUUAUGGACAUGCGUCAAAAUGGCUGUCUUGCCCACUCCAACCAUUCCAACAACACCAAUGAUGGAAAUGUUCUCCUGCACUAAAUAGGAAUAAAUUUCAUUAAUCUUUCGGUGAGUCCCUCCGCCUACUAAUUCUGUUGUCACUAAGGGAGAUCUUCUGCUGCAUCCUUUAGCAAGUGUCGUUGUCUCUUGGAGGAAUCUUUCUAGAAUUGGAAGAAUCUCUUUAAAUUCUUUGACUGCCUGCCCCAAGCUGCAACAUCCUUUUAAUUUCCUCCACUUUGACUCAUUCAUGUUCUCUACGCCCCUGCUCGUAAGUUCUUCCCGCUUCCUUUUGAUAGAUUUCAUAUUCUCGAUGGCAGGCCCACAAGUACUUGGUUUACUCUGUGUUCUGGCAUCUAACGUCAAUCAUAAAUAAAAAUUCAAUAUGUGCUUUUUCCUAGACAGUUUUUAUAGAAAUGUGACGCUCACAGAUAAAUAAUUCGUUUGUAACAGUGUAUUCAACACUUUCAUAACAAAUGUAUCAUUUACAACCUCCCAUCAAAUAUAUAAGGAAUAAAGGCACUGCUAAUCCCCAAUCCUCUGCAAAAUAUUCAAUCAUGUCCCUGAAUUCUUGAACUAUAUAUUCUGGGACAGUUUCAAAUGCAAAAUAUGCGCAAUCGUGUGGAACAUAAUUUUUUAAAUACUUGACAUUUAUUGUCAUGACUCCGAUGGAGGAACUUGUUCGGUCAACUUAAUAUUUCUGACUAUAGAUCUUUGAGAUGGAACAUAUGGAUGAUUAUAGAUUUCUUAUCAAAACAUGCAUAAGAACCUGGAGAUGCAGAACUGGAGAUUCAUUAGGAUUAACGAUUUGCUAAAGUGAGCAUGAAGAAUAAAUGCAUUACCAGGGAAAGCUCACAAGUGCACGUGCGACAUGCCUCAACCUUGCGCAGAAUUACUAGCCACUUCUAUAGAUAUAUGCAGAAUUGGAGAUUUGCUAGGAUUAAAGAUGUGCUAAAGCGAGCAUAAAGAAUGAAUUACUACGUAAAGCUCGCACGUCGACCUUGUGCGAACUUCAUUAGCCAUUAUAUUAGAUAUGGAUAGAUGUUCGAGUGUGGAUAGUUCCCCAAAACCCCACACAAUUUGACCAACUCGAUAUGUUGAAAGCUUCCAAACUUAGCAACACAUAAUUCGCUGCAACAUCUACAACCCUUUUUCUAUUACGAAGAAAAGUAGAAACCAGAAAGUGGUUAACCAGAUACACGCUAGCGCCCUUCUAUGCAUCCUCCUUUUCACUUUGGAAGUAAUUUUAGUGAUUGAAGUGAUAUCCACAUAGUUGAAAUAUGUUCAAAAUUUUGGUACAUGAGAAUGAAAUUAAACUGGUGCUCUUGUGUGUACUGAUACAAUCGUCCAUCUCCAACAAAGUCGGCCCACUAGCAACUUAUAUACAAGUGCGAGAUUAUCACGUGCUUAGAUAGAGAGCAAUGAAUGGCUUUUCGAGAUUUGAACGUCAGGAUUAAAGGCAUUUGUUCCUUCAUAUUGGAAGGAUCUAUUAAUCAUCAAUGACGGACUUUUAAGUUCCUCUCUUCCUAUUCUAUUCUGUGUCUUCUAUUACAAUUAGAAAUCUAGACGUCCUGCCUUUAUCCUUAUUACCAGGUAAGGAUUGGGACACAGAUUACGGGUCCGAAUGAGCUUUAGAAAAAUGGUAAAAUGGUGAAUUUGAAGAUGCACGUACCAUGUGGAAGAACCCCUAUACUGGAUUCACCUUCAUCUGCAUUCGGUGGGAUUAUUUUAACCAAGGAUACUGGGUCGAAUGAAGAGUGCGUCUCGGUCAUCAUGCGUCCAGCAGGAGUAAAUGGGAACGGCUGAGGCAAUGGACAAACGGCAGUGCUUAUGACACCGGAGCUCACGUAAGGCAUGGCAGCCGUUGCAUCUUCAUUGCUCGCGGUCGCAGGCUGGUGCGGACCCUCCUCAACAUCGCAUCGCCCGUUGCUCGAUUCCACCGCUAUUUUAGCCUUCAACGCUUCUCCGGCUUCUGAUCUAACUCGGUCGUCGCCCAACAGGAACCUAUGAAAGAGGAAGUGGCCCAUCAAUGCCUGCAGUCCCACAGACUGCUUCCCGCAUAAUUUACAGCUCCACCCAUAAUCAUAAUCAGGCAGAGCUCCGGCCCCAACAACCUCCGUGGCGGCUAUCGCCAAUGUCCUGUAUCACGAAGAAGAGUUCGAGUGACUGGAGAACAGGCAAGACGUAUGAAGCAGUUAUCAGAUUUUGCUCCUCAGAUUGGAAACUAACCUUUUGGUGUCUUCAUCAAUGUUUUCUUCCCUUUCCGAAGGCGGUUUCCUCUCUUGUUCUGCUUCUGCAAUCUCUCUGUUCGGAGAUUUCUCAGUCGCCAUGGCCUUGCUGCGUUCCUCCAGGCACCGGUUCCGCCGUUGCCGAAAGAAAAUUCUGCAAGAGGAUGCAAUCUCACUGGCAAAUCCCCCUCGACCGAGCUCCAAAAGAUCUCGCCCUUCGCCCCAACCCAAAUCUCGCCAUUGAAUCCCGCUUUACCGCAAAAUACGAAGCGGUGCGAUACUGCGAGACUCGCCCUGGAUUUUGCCUGCCGCAGACUACGCAAAAUAUAUGAAGAUUAAAAGAACCUUCCUACCCAAAAAACAACAGAGAGGGAGAGAGAUUAAAAUAACCAAAAUAAAUCGAUAGGGAACGUGGCGUUCGGAACGUCACCGUCCCCGAGGUUGUCUCACGGAAACGUGCUAAUGGUAAUGGGGCCAUCCACGCCGUUAGUUUCGAAGAAGCAAAGGAGCAUCGUUGGAUAGAUUACAGCUUAGAAGAAAUUACAGAUUAACAUGGGAAAAAUUUUAUCUGGUAGGAUGUAUCUCAAAUUAUAUAAGAUUUUCAAAGAUUAUUACCUGAUUUAGGAUAGAUUCUUAUUUCUUUUUUAGCAUCGCGAUUACUUAAUUAUCUAGAAUAUUAUUGAUUUUAAUUUAUCUUAGGAGAGAGUUUACUUUCUCAAUCGAAAAAAAAGUUUCAAAUAAAUACGACAAACUCUCUUUCACUAAAGAUGUAUGGAAAUUACUAAUCGUCUCAUGCUUUCUUAAUUUGGAUAAAUUUCAAUUUCUGAGGGAUUGUAUUCAUGAUCUGACGACAUUUGGCCAUCUAUCGGACUCUCUAACGGUGGUCUGUAUCUUGAAUGCCAUCUUCGGUUAUUUGACGGCCCUGUCUCCGGAUUACUGGACCUAUUGCCUCCUCCGCUUCAUUACUGGAUUUAGCACGGGCGGGGUCGGCCUAUGCGCUUUCGUACUGGCCACCGAGCCUAUUGGCCCAAAGAAGCGCGGGGCGGCAGGAAUGUCCACUUUCUACUUCUUCUCAUGCGUCAUAGCUCUUCUCUCCGGCAUCGCUUAUGUGUUUUGCUCAUGGCGGGAGCUCUACAUCGCUUCCUCCAUUCCGUCCAUGCUCUUCCUCGUGGGGGUCCUCCCUUUCAUCUCAGAGUCCCCACGGUGGUAUCUCGUCCGGGGAAAGAUUGAUGAGGCCAUGAAGCUUAUGCGAGCUAUCGCCAAAGCCAACAAGUAACACCUCCCCGAUGGGGUCAUCCUCGCACUUGAUGAGGAAGUGAAUGAAAACUCGAACGAUGGUCCAUCCUGCAAAGAUCAGAUGGACACAAAGGAUGCAAUAACAGGGUCUCUCAUCGAUGUGGUGAAGUCGCCUGUCACUCGGAUUCGCCUUUUCUUGGCGGUGGCAAUCAACUUUCUUUGUUCGGUCGUGUACUACGGCAUUAGCCUAAACGUUGUCAAUCUCCAGACCAACCUUUACCUUAGUGUGUUCCUCAACGGCGUGGCUGAAAUGCCAGCCUUUACAAUAACGGCCCUAUUGCUUGAUAAGUUCGGGAGGAAGCCGCUGGCAAUCGGAACACAGUGGUUCAGUGGAAUAUUCUGUCUUAUAGGGAGCUUGGUGAUGAUACACGGGGAAUGGAAAGUGGCGAGGAUGGUGUGCGGAAUUCUUGGGAUUUUCGGGAUGGCCGGCACGUAUAAUUUGCUCUUCAUCUACAUGGCUGAGCUGUUUCCGACCGUGGUGAGGAAUGCGGCUCUUGGCUGUGGAGCUCAGGCGGCGCAAAUGGGUGCGAUUUUGGCGCCUUUAGUGGUGGUCUUAGGAGGCGGCUUCCCCUUUGCGGUCUUUGCGGUUUGUGCAAUUCUGGGAGGGAUACUAGCAUUUUACCUCCCGGAGACACUGAAUCGGCCUUUGUAUGAUACAAUGGCUGGAAUGGAAGGUGGGGAGAGUGUAUGAAGGAGCUCAAUCCUCUUACUUCAAACUAAACUUGAUUAAUGUAGGCUUAAAUGACUCUUCUUGAUGAUAGGAUUUUCCUUUUUUUCCUUUGGGACAUGAGAGUGCAGGAUGGCAGAAUCUGUCUCUUAUAAAAGGGGAGAACGUUUGUAAAAGUGUAUCUUUCAAAUCACUCAUGUUGCCUUAAGGCAGUUGCCAUCACGUGAUGAGAACACAUUAUGCUGACCUUCGACUCUUAGUGUUGUCAGAUUAAUGCAUUAAACUCCACAUAAUGUUGCUAUCAGCAUCACUGAUCCUACUAUCGAUAUGUUGAAAAGAAAACGUUUGUGUCUGAUCAUUCUGCCUUCGUGCAAGAGCAUCAAACCCACCGGUUCUUUGAAAUAAAAGGCGAGUUCACCGCAAGAUUAGUGCUUAAGGGACUACCCCCACUAGGUGGUACAGUCGACUCUAUCCUGAAUAUGCAGAAAAUUACAUCUCUUAGACGAGGAAAAGAUUCUGCUUUUCAUCUUGUACUUUCGCACAUUUACUAAUCAAGUUAUUUUAGUUUCAUAAUAUUUUAUCGUCUUGGCACCGAAUCUGACCAAACCAAGCUGACGUGGCCGUUGGAUGAUACCAAAGUAUGAGGCGGAUACUUAUGUGGACAUGGGUGGAAAAAUAUAGCCAAUGUAGACGUCGGAGUUGAUGUGGAUAAGACUUUUGCCAUGUAAACGGUCAUGCAGACGUCUACAUUACAGAAAUAUUAUCCCCUCACACUAUGACGUUGUCCGGGGCUGUGUCAGCUGAAUUUGACCAAAUUUGAUGUUGGAGGGACUUAAAUAGAAAAUGUGAAGAUAGACAAAAAAAGAAAAGUAAAUUGAUUUAAAAAAAGAGCGUAAAAGUAUAUGGAUGAAAAGUAGAAAUAUUUUGACGAAGCUGGAUAGAAUCUCGUGAGUUUUGGCAUGAUGGAGGAGGAAAAGGCGGGUCAGUUCAAGAAAAACAAAUGGGACAGUUGGCCAGUGUUCUCCAUACUGAGGAAAUUACAUGCAACUGUGAGAAAUCCAAAGUAGGGUUCAUGCAGAAUCAAAGUGGUGAAGGAACUCAAUUGUGAAGUUCCUUUUUCUCGCGUUUACUCUCUACUUUCUUUGUGAUUGUGUGACGAAUCCUAACAAUCGUGAUGUUAUAGAACUUGGAGUCUCAAAUAGACAAAGGUGCGCAUAUGCGCAUGAAGUAGACAUAUACUCUUUGAGAGCUUCACCUCUCUUCACAUUCUCUUUGUCCUUUCAUUUCCUCGCAAUUUCAAUUCCUGUUUGUUUUCCUUUCCGAUGUACUUCAAUUCCCAUGAAUUUCCCUUUAAAGUAGCUUCAGUUCGAUACAUUUGUCUCUAUUGGCACUUGGUUUCGAGUUGAUUCAUCACUACAUCCAAAUCCCAUUUGCAUAUUUUGUGUUUGAGCAUGAAACUGCGGAGCCAAUCGUCUAAAGUUCGACACAAUCGACUGACUUGUUUUUCGUCGACUGCAAUAAAAGGUGACUCUACAACAAUAUUUAGUGCUUAAGGACUACCAUCACCAGGUGGUACAGCUAACUCCGAAAUGGAUAGGCAAAAAGUUGUAUCUCUUAGCGAACAAGAUGCAUGCAGGGGAAACCAAAAGAUGGAUUUAGAGGACAAAAAUGUUAAAAAACAGAGGAGAUGCAGAUAUGCAGAUAUGCACAAGAGUAGCGUUAAAAACAGAGGAGAACAGAGGAGAUACUGAUAUUCACAAAAACAGAGGAACCGUUUGCAGAACCACACACAUAAAAAAUUGACACCAUAGCCUUUAUAUAGGCUUUACAAAAACAAAUAACCACCACAGCCCACUAACUUCACACGUACAACAACCAAUCCACAUAAUAGAAGUGCUUAAUAGACUAUUAACACAUAAAAAACAAACCAGAAACAUUGACUCGUUCAACAUUCCCUCCCUUAAACUGAUGUUGCAAACAAUCAGUUUAAAGGACCUUCUCUCAAUUUGGAAUAUCCAACAAACGAACACCAAUGAGCUUUCUCAACUUCUGAAACAUGGACAACUUUAGGGGCUUGGUGAAUAUAUCAGCCACUUGAUCUUCACUUCUACAAAAAACUAGGUCAACUACUUCAUCCUUUGUAAGAUCUCUUAAGAAGUGGUACAUCGCAUCUAUAUGCUUGCUCCUCCCAUGUAGAACUGGAUUUUUGGACAGCUUGAUAGCUGAGCUAUUGUCACAAUAGAUUAUAGUUGCUUCUUGCUAUUUGAACUGAAGCUCUCCAAGAAUCUUCCAUAACCAUAUGGCUUGACAGGCGCAUGAAGUUGCAACAACAAAUUCUGCUUCAGUUGUUGAUAAAGUAACAAUUGAUUGUUUCUUUGAAGACCAUGAAACCGCCCCUAAACCAAGCAUGAAUACAUACCCUGAAGUACUUCUUCUAUCAUCAACAUCUCCAGCAUAAUUGCUAUCUGUAAACCCAAACAAAUCUUACUUUUCUCCCUUUUUAUAGAACAGCCCAAAAUUUUUAGCUCCUUGCAAAUAGCGAAAAAUCUUUUUUGCAGCUUGUAAAUGUAACUCUGUUGGGUGCUCCAUAUACCUGCUUAUAAGGCUCACAGCAUGCAUGAUAUCUGGUCUUGUCCCCGUCAAAUACAUCAGGCUUCCAACAAUUUGCUUGUAGAGAGUGCUAUCCACCUUACUUCCAUUAGGAUCUUUCAAGAGCUUCAAUCCAACUUCAAUUGGAGUAGUCACGGGGUUACAAUUAUUCAUUUGAAACCUGUCCAAAAUCUCUUGAACAUACUUCUUUUGAGACAUAAAGAUUCCAGUUGCAGAUUGAAUUACUUCUAUGCCCAGAAAUAAUGCAUCAAUCCAAGAUCAGUCAUCUCAAAUUCAUCCAUCAUAGACUCCUUGAAUUUGUCAAACAUGGCACUAUCACUCCCAGUAAAAAUAAAAUCAUCCACAUAUAAGCAUACAAGAAGCAACUUUCCACCAUCACCAAUUUUAAUAAAGAGUGUAUGCUCAUAUGGACAUUUUCUAAAACCUUUCUUCAAGAAAUAGGCAUCAAUGCGACUAUACCAAGCUCGGGGAGCUUGUUUUAACCCAUAUAGUGCCUUCUUUAAUUUAUAAACUUUAUAUUCACUACCGAGCUUCACAUAACCAGAAGGUUGAUCAACAAAUACCUUUUCUUGAAGAUCACCAUGCAAGAAUGCUGACUUCACAUCCAAUUGGAAGAUAGGCCAUGAAUUUUGUGCUGCUAAUGCAAUUACUAAUCUGAUUGUGUCAAGUCUUGCUACAGGUGCAAAUACUUCUUUGUAAUCCACUCCAAAUUCUUGCUUGUAGCCUUUCGCCACCAAGCGCGCCUUAUACUUAUCAACUUCACCAUUCUUGUUCAAUUUUGUCUUGUACACCCACUUGACUCCGAUUGUUUUGUGUCCUUUUGGAAGAUCUGUUAACUCCCAAGUGUUAUUCCUCUCAAUAGUUGCAAUUUCUUCAUCCAUUGCUAUCCUCCAAUUUUCUUUUUGUACUGCUUCAUCAAAAGUUGUUGGAUCACAAUCUGAAAACAAAGCAAAAUGGAUAAGUGGAUCUUCAUAUUGAUCAACUCAUGUUACUUCAUAAUCACUCAUCCAUGCAGGCCUCCGUCGAACACGAUGAGGCUGAUCUUCAGGUUUCGCAGCUGCUGCUGUACUUUGGACACUGCCUGUGGCGAUUUGGGUUGUUGUGGAUUGCUACACCAGCUCAUUUUCAUCUUCAAAAUUCGUUGGAAUUUGCUUACCAACACCUUGCUCACCCCACGGCCAAGUUUGUUCUUCAUCAAAAAUCACAUCACAGCUGAUAAUGAUUUUCUUGAUCAUAGGAUCAUAAAGUUUAUAGGCUUUUGAUUGAUCACUAAUGCCAAGAAAAACAUAUUUGACUCCCUUGUCAUCUAACUUCUUCCUCUUUUGGUCAGGAAUAUAGGCGUAGGCAAUACACCCCAAAAAUCUUGAAGUGAUCUACUGCAGGUCUUUGGCCGCUCCAUGCUUCUUCCGGUGUCAUAUUUUGAACAGCUAGAGUGAGACUUCUAUUUAAAAUAUGAAUGCUCCAAUUAACUGCUUCUGGCCAGAAAUUUUUUGGAAUUCCACUUCCCCUCAAGAGACUUCGCACCAUAUUCAGAAUGGUACGAUUCUUCCUCUCACAUACGCCAUUUUGCUGUGGUGUAUAGGCUGCUGUAAGUUGUCUCUUGAUGCCAUGCUUUACACAAAAAUCUAUAAACUCAAGUGAGUUGUACUCUCCACCACGAUCCGUGCGAAGGACCUUUAUUUGAUUUCCUCCAUCCUUUUCAACAAGUUCUUUGAAGUUCUUGAAAGCUGCAAAAGCUUCAGAUUUUUCUUGUAAAAAAUACACCCAAAUCUUCCGGCUAAAAUCAUCGAUGAAGGUAAUGAUAUACCGUUUACCUCCAUUGGAAAUUGGAGAUAUUGGUCCGCAAAUAUCUGAAUGAACCAAUGCCAACGGACUUUUUGCUCUCCACGAUUUUCUUUGUGGAAAUUGAGCACGAUGUUGCUUGCUAACAACACAAUCUUCACAAAUUUCCAAGGAGUAGAGAUUUGAGGAAGACCCUCCACCAUCUCUUUUUUAUAUAGUGUUCGCAACCCACCGAAAUUAAGAUGCCCAUAGCGAAAAUGUCAUAACCAAGCUUCCUCCUUCAAUCUUGCAGAGAAACAUGAAUUUGUAGUGUUGUGGAGAUACAGUGGAAACAUCCGAUUGCCUGUCAUUUUGACUUCGGCAAUUAAACCCAACUUCUCAUCUUGGAUUCUGCAAAUCCCACCUUUAAUAGAGAUUUCAUAUCCCUUCUCUUGCAGCUGACCAUCACUUAACAGAUUAGUCUUCAAUUCAGGGGCAUACAAUACAUUUGAGAUAGUUUGUACCGAAGUCCCUUUUGGAUGAAUUGCCACUGUUCCUUUCCCCAUCACUGACACAAUGGAAUUAUCACCAAACUUUACGAUGUUGUUGUACGUUUCGUCUAGAUCAAAAAAACAUUUUCUUGUCUCCACACAUGUGAUUGCUACAACCAGUGUCGAGAUACCACAUGUUUGGUUGAGUUUCUUCAUUCUCAUGGCACACCAUCAAAAGAGAUACUUCUUCUUCUUUUUCAACAAAGUUAGUUCUUUCAAUUCUUUGUUUAUUCAAAUUAGUUCGACAUUCAGAUUUGUAAUGCCUAUACCUGUGGCAUCUAAAACACUCCACUUUGGAUUUGUCUGCUGACCUUGGCCUAAAACCAGUUGAAUGUCGUCCUCCACGACCUCUUCCUCUCCCUUGGAAAUCACGAUAGGAAUAGCUUUCAGACUUUUGAUCAAAGAUGAAGCUGCUGCGAUCGUUGUUCUCCCUUCCUCUGCCUCUUCCUUUGUUCACCCUUGCUGCUGAUGAAGAAUGAUCUCCAGUUGAGACCUUCAAAGCUUGCUCUUCCGUCUCUUGUUGUAGUAGUUUUUGUUCAUGAACUAACAAGGAUCCUUGCAACUCAUCAAUGGAAAGUUCUUCAAUGUCCUUGGCUUCUUCUAUGGAACAAACAAUAAAGUUGAACUUUGGUGUCAAAGAUCAAAGAAUCUUUUCAACGAUGAUGACAUCCUCCGUCUUGUCGCCAUGAAUCCGCAUCUUAUUAACUAUUUCCAUUGUCCGAGAGAAGAAAUCUGUGAUUGUCUCUCCCGACUUCAUUCGUAGCAUUUCAAACUCCGAACGAAGCAUUUGAAGCUGCUGCUUCUUUGCUCUUGCUGAGCCUUGAUACUUUUUCUUCAUGGAAUCCCAUAUUUCCUUGGAGGUAUCCUUGCAAAGAAUUUUCUCCAAAAUGGAUCUGUCAAUUGCUUGGAAAAGAUAGUUUUUGGCCUUGAGAUCCUUCAAUUUUAAUGUAUCUAAAGCCGUUCUUUGCGCUGCCGUUAACACAGCUCCUUCAUCAGGUUCGGCAACUCCCAAAGAAACAACAUCCCAAUACUCCUUGAACUUGAGAAAAUUCUCCAUUAGCAUGCUCCAAUGAUCAUAGUGACCAUCAAAGUGUGGAAUAGCAGGUUGUACAAAUGUUUCUGAGGCCAUUACUGCUGUUGCAAAAUAGAACCACCACAAAAGCAACCUGCUGCUGCUACAAACGAAAAUAACCUGCUGCAAUACUCUCCUUUGACUGCUGCAAACGAAAGUACUUGCUGUAAUAAAAACUCUCUUUUGGUUCUCACCUUUUUACAGCACUCAAACACACACUUUUCUUCCUAACCUCGGCUCUGAUACCAAUGUUAAAAAACAGAGGAGAUGCAGAUAUGUAGAUAUGCACAAGAGCAGCGUUAAAAACAGAGGAGAACAGAGGAGAUGUUGAUAUUCACAAGAACAGAGGAACCAUCUGCAGAACCACACACAUAAAAAACUGACACCAUAGCCUUUAUAUAGGCUUUACAAAAACAAAUAACCACCACAGCCCACUAACUUCACACGUACAGCAACCAAUCCACAUAAUAGAAGUGCGUAAUAGACUAUUAACACAUAAAAAACAAACCAGAAACAUUGACUUGUUCAACAAAAAACACGAUGUGGGGCCGUCAUGUAUGGACACAAGAAAAGAAAUCAACAAAAUAUUAACUUAGAUGGCAAGAAAUUUAUUCCUCUUCUUGUGACCUUGAGGUUUAAGCCUCGUUGGGAGUAUUUCACAAGUAAAAUUCUAUUUGAAUGUCCUAGACUGUUAUGGGAAAGUGCGCCUUUAAGAUCUUUUGAGGAGAUAGACUUGGCAAGAUGUGCCAAAGUUAGCUUGGACAACCAUUUAACUGUGAAUAUUAAAAAAAGAAAGAAGGCAUAAAUCAAGCACAUCUUAUUACGGGAACCAGAAGUACCUAGACAUCAAUCGAGCCAGAUGACUUAGCAAUGGCGAUAACUUUUGAUGUCCACUGCUCUCAACAGACGAUUCAUCGGUGGGAUCAUCUGUGGAUUUCAUCAGUCUGGAUGCAGAGGUGAUUGGUCUGCAACGUCCCUCACUGUAAUCAUACCAAGAUCGUCUUUGUCCUAGAUAGAAUGUCAUGCCACACACACAUUAGCUUACAAGAACUUGACUUGUGGCCCAUUCUCUUGCUAACCCCAUCUAAUUUCUAUCCAAUAUUGCUUCCAAAAGAUCAGCCCUCAGAGAUUUCACAAAGUCGUAAAGAAAGUUAACCACUCAUCUCCUUUUCACUACAGAAAACGAUUUAAAGAAAUUAAAGUUAGUCGUACCACCUAGUGAUGACAGUCAUUUAGUUAUUUUCACCGGAUAACUUACUGUAGGGUAAUUUAUCUUAAUCUAUCAACAACGUAGAAUGAUAUCGAUUACAACAAGACAUGAAUGUUAUAUGUUUGUUUUGAGGAAAUGAAACUAGAAUAGAUAUAAUGGUCUCGGAAAAUUAGGGUUUUAUCAAUUCCCCCGAUUUGGUUUUCAGUUUUUGGUUCCUAAAAUGAUGUAGUUGGAAACCAGACCAGGUCGAAAUGGAGCCUGGAACCAGACCUAUUCCCAUAGGUUUGGUUCUCUGGUUCUCAAAUCUACUAUAGAACCAUGCUCAUCCCUAAAUAUAUCCUAUCAAAUAUUUUUUUCCCAUGUUUUUGUGAUUUUGAAAUUGCAAUUGUAAAUUUCUUCCUUUUGGCAAUUACUAAAUUUGGUAUGGAGUUGGCAACUUAUUUUCUCAACUUAUGAGUAAUCUGCAGAUACUAGUAAAGUUCCUAAAUCAUCGGUGAUUUGGGAACGCCGGAUAGAAUUUUCGUAAAAUCAAUUUCCGGAAAUUUUGAACACAAAGAAAUAAAUGUCUCAAGAAUCUAACUGGAAAUUUGAAUAGCAGUUUUGGAGUUGCUUUCCUCUUACAUAAUCCGACGAUUGUCUUUGCUUGUUUGAAAACAAACGGUGUAGAUGUGCCGAGCAUGAUUAUUGGUCAACCCAUAGGAACGUUGGAGGUUGCACAAUCGAGGGCACUCUCGAUUUGGUGAAUCGUAGAAAUCAAGAUGGAUAUUUUUAUCUCCUUUCAUGUAAAUUAUUUAAUAUUAAUGAUAUAUCAAUAUAAAUGAACUUAAAAAUGCGCAAACAAAGAUUAUAAUAAUCUUUUAUAAUUCACAGCCAAUUCUAGUAGAAGAGAGAAAAUAUAAUCAUUCAUUUUUGUGAUUAUAAAAAAUAGUACUUUGACUUUCUCGCUACUUUGAAACUUCAAUAAUAACCACAAAAUUACAGAGGAGUUUCGACUCUUUCUUGAACUUUUGACAUGAACUAGAGAGUUACGAAAGAAAAGAAGUUCCGUCUCUUUUGCCAUUUUCACGGAACAUUGACGUGAACUAAAAAACCAUGGAGGAGCCAUGAAAUUUCAACGUGAACUAGAGAUAGAAAGGAGAUGGAGAGGGAGAUGGAGACGGUAGGUUUUUAUUUAUUUAUUUAAAUUUCGUUGCCCUCAUUUUUCGAGCAUUAGAAUGAUCUUUUUAAGUUUGAAUUGGUUCAUUUAAAAUCUAGGUUCUUCUACUUCAUUUUUAUUUACUUAAAUCUUUUAUUCCCCUCCAACAUUCCUUAAUAAAAAUUCUAUCAAAUAAUAUAUUAUACUAUUAUACCUAAAAUAUGUUAAAAAAUGAUAUAUUGAGGGCUUUGUGGCCCUUGCUUAGAGGGGGUUGUCGGCCCUCACCUAGUGGCCACCGACCAUGGCUAACCCUUUGAACUAAGAAAGAAAGAAAAGAAAAAAAAGGAAAUUUAAAAAAUAAAAAUUGAUAAAAAAAUAAAAAUUUGUUAAAAGGCUAACGCCUAUGCUUUUCUAAUUACGCUCUUAUUCUUUAAUAUGCCUAAUCAAGCCCUUCUACUUUUCAAUUAUUUUAAUUAACUCCCCCAACACCAAAUUCGAUCAAAUUCAGCUUAUAGGGCCACCGGAUAACACUAAAGUAUGACGAUAAAAUAUGCGGAUGCCCACAUAGAGGUGCGAGGAAAGCUAUAGCCAUGUACACAAUAUCAAAGCUUGAUAUGGAUAUAAUUUAGCUACUCUAAAAUCAAACCUACUAUGGCAUAUCGGGUUGAGACUUGAGAGAGUAUCUAUUCAAGCAACGAAAAUAGAGGGAAGUGACAAGUAAGGAAGACAAAUCGAGAAAUACAGAGAGAGAUGCUUAUCACAAAUAGGAUAAGAAGACAAAAAUAAAUUAAGCAUAUGUCAUCACAGAAACCGAAGGUACUUCAAAAAUCAACCGAGCAAGACGACGUAGAAAUGCUGAUAACUUUGUUGUCCACUGCUACAAUUCAUCCUCAGCUGAUCAUAUACGGAUACUGUGACGGCCCGAGCGAUCGUCCUAGGACGUGCACAAGGAAGGGUCCCUCUCUUCUCUUGUCUAACAUUGCCUAGGGAGGGAGGUUUUGGUUAGCUUAUAAGGCUUGGGUUCCUCUAAUAUUUGUAACGCGUUUUAAAGCCGUGAGGGAAAAGACCAUGGCUGGGAUGGCGGUUCGUCCGCGCUAGGACGGGUGACCCAAAGCGGACAAUAUUACACAGUGGGGCCCGGAAUGUUAUAGAUACGCUCGCCCCAGCAGUCUGGGUUUAGAAUGAUUACAUUUUGUUAGUCAUUUGCUAAUAUCAUCAUCGUCCUAUGUAAAAUAUCAUGCCACAUGACUAUUAAUGAAAAAUCUAUCAACAUAUGUAUGGCAAUGCAUUUUGAUAGAGCUUAUAAAAACACGAUCUCUGGCCCAUUCCCUUAAUGACACCUAAAAAUGAGAAAAAAACUAAUUUACAUUGAUUUCAUUUUUUAUUACAGUACAACAAUUAGUUUAGAAACCGAAAAGGAGUUUGCAAUUGAAAAUAGGAGUACUGGGCGAGCUAAAAUAGAAAAGGUAACAUAAUGAAAAGGUAAAAAAAAAAAGAAACGUGAAAACUAAUAAAGUAGAACUUAAGAAUUAGACCCGAUAUUUUGGCACUUUUAAGUGAAAUUGCCAUUAUUAUUCUUUGAACAAUGCCACAGCAACUAAUUUUCAAUGAUAAUAUAACCAUUUUGAUAUACUUUCAAGCUAUAAUAAAAGUUAUAUGCACUAGGCCUAAUAGUUAGUAUAAAGUUCGGAAAAGAAGAAAAGUGAUUUUUCCGUACCAUGGGAGAUCGAUGGUUAAAUGGAGAGAAUAAAAGAAACCAUGGGAGAUCGAUGGUUAAAUGGAGAGAAUAAAAGAAACGUGAAAAUUUUGGGUAACUCACAAUAAAUAAACUCGAUGAAGGGUUCGAGGGAGAUAGGGGCAAGGGGAUGGUCCCACUCCAGCGCUUGCCACGUCGCCUUGUUAUCUAUGAAAAUCUUUCCAAGGGAGGGGGGAGGAGAAAGGAGGCCAUUGUCAAGUAGGUGCAGUCGCAAAGGAAUACUCUUCAGCUCCGGACAAUCGUAUAUUUCAAUAUAUUGGAUGUGAUCGCAACUCUCCAUCCGAUCACAUAUCCUCUUCAGUUCCCAAAGAUUCUUUAGAGUCAAGUGUGUUAACUUUGGGAAGGAGGAUUGCGUCAUGUUCGGAGCAAUGCCUAUUAUCACCUCUAUGCCCUCGCAGUUUAUGAUUAUUAUAUCUCGGAGGAAAGGGAUGUGGAGCAACAUAUCGUGCGUUAGCAGCACCCCCUUCAUGGUGUUGCAUCUUACAAUUUUAAUCUCCAUAAGAAGACAAGUGGCACCGAUUGGCAAUGGCCCACCUAUUAUUUCCUCUAAUUUCUCACAAUAAAUUAUUCCAAUGGACUUCAGAUUUGGAAGGCGAGUGGUCAGCCAGUCCCAUUCCACCACUCUUUUCAUUUUAUGACAACAUUGCACUUCCGCAGAGUUUAGAUUGGGCGCAGCUAAAUCGAUCCCUUCCAGUUCCUCUGAGCCUGUGAUUGUAAACCAGCGUAGAUGUGGAAGCCCCUGUCCCUCCACUGAGAGACGCUUCAAUUUGGAACAGCAAUUGAUGUCCAGUCCCUCCAGCUGAGGGAAGUGGACAGCACCCAGCUCCUCCAACUUCUCGCAAUCUAGAAUCUUUUAUAGUCAGCUCCUUUAGAUUCUCCAGUGGGCCUACCUCACUCAAACUUGUCACCCCACUGCCCCCUCCUACUUCCAGUACUUGCACAUUUCUCGGAAGCAAAUUGCGGCCUUCCCCACCGAUAAGUCCAUCUACCCUUUGGCGUAAUAGCAUCGCGACUUUCAAUACGUACACAUAUCCUCUGCUCAUGCCAAUUGGAAACGCCUUGUUCACGAGGUUUUACACAAAACAAUUCAAAGAAAUUAGAUACUUGAAUGUAAACAACAUGAAGAAAUUAGAGACUUCCCUGACUAAUCAAGCUUAAUCAAAUUAAACAGAAAGAAAUUCAAUAUGUGCAAAUAUGCAAUUGGAAGUCCAAGAACAGGUGUUCCUUUCUAAAAACGAGUAAGACUAAUUUACACUGGUUUAAUUUUUUGAUUAAAGUGCAGAGAUUAAUUUAAAAAGCAUGUUAGAGUUCGAAAGCGAAAAUAGAAGUACUAGAUGAGGGAAAACAGAAUAGGCAACAAAAAGAAAAUGUAAAAAGCAAUUAACAUGCUCCUUUAAACUCGCCCAACCCAUGAAGUAGAAGUCAGGAAUUGAUUCUAUAUUUUGGCACUUUUAAACGUCAUAAUUUACCAAAAUGAAGAAGAAGUGUAGUAUUUUUAAGGUACAAUAGGUUAAAAAGAGAGAGAGAGAGUGAGGACUGUUCAGUAUUAUCCUUUCAAAGUGAAAGGUGUGUUUUCUUUAUCGAAAUUUCAAUAAUAAUAUAACCAUUUUGAUAUACUUUCGAGUUGUGAUAAAAGUCAUACACACUGGGUCUAACAGUGUGGUAUUAAGUUUCCCCAAAAAAAAAAGAGGGAAACUUACUGUACCGCGGGAGUGCAUCCUUCGAAAGGCCCACAGGAGAUGGAGAGGAUAAAAGAAAAUUAAAAAUUUGCGGGUGACUUACCAUAAUCCCAGGCUAAGUGUCGAAGUGAAGGAUGGAAAGGGGAAUGGUCCCACUCCAGCGACUGCCACGUCAGCUCAUCUAUCCAAAUAUCAUCAUCUAUCCAAAUACCAUAAUCAUCGCAAGGACCCUUGUCAAGCAGAGGAAGCCUCUUCAGCUUCGGACAGUCUUCUAUCUUCAUAUAUUGGAUUGAAAGCCAACUCACGGUCCCUUCACAUAUGGUCUUCAGCUCUGGAAGAAUCCUUGAAAGUCAGGUUUAUUAAAUGUAGGGGCUGAACGAAGCUCAUUAUCGGCUCUACGCUAAUGCAGCCUGGGACCACUACAUGUUGGAGGAAAGGAAGGUUGAGCAACACGUCAUGCCUCAAGUUGCUGCAUCCUUCUAUAUCAAUCUUUGUAAGACAACAAGGUGCACCGAUCGGCGGUAGCCCACCUACUAUCUCCUCUAGUUGCUCGCAAUCUUUUAUUUUAAUGGACCUUAGAUUUGGAAGGUGAGUGGCUAGCCACUGCCAUUUCACCACCCACUUCAUUUUAGGACACCUGUACACUUUUAUAUUAUAAAGAAAAGGUGCCGCUAUAUUAAUCCCCUCUAGUUCCUCUGAGCCCUCGAUUUUUAACCAUUGUAGACAUCGGAGCUCGUGCCCCUCCUUCAAGAAAUGCUUCAGUUUGGUACACCGAGUGAUAUUCAGUCUCGGUAGGCGAGGGAAGUGGACAGCACCCAGCUCCUCCAGCUUCUCCCAUUCCUUUAUCUUCAGCUCCUCUAGAUUAUUAAGUGGGCCUACCUCGCACAAAC
rnacentral:lncRNA from 1 species